rnacentral:lncRNA from 1 species
GAUUUCUCAUGCAUAGUCAUGCGGUAUGCAAUGAUAUUGGGUAUGAGUACGAGAAAGGUCCUGGGGGAUCAAUUGCUCGCCAACUAUAGAAAAACCCCUCUCCCUCUCCCUUUCUCAACUGCUUUUAGGUCCUUUGGACCCACUUUGCGAGCUACUAACAUAAGAAUAUUUCUGGUUCCAGACUGAUGAAGCCAUGGAGGAUCCUUCUGAGUAUGAAUUGUCUUCUGAUGGCAGUGGACAUCAACCUCAACGCCAUUGCUACAUCAAUGUGCUCGAUUUAUGUUUAAAGUACCUCUGAACUUUGUGAUGACAUAUGGUUAAUUCAUGCCUUAUUUUAUAAUCUAUGAUAACUACGUCAGGUUUCUGGAGUCUUGGGUUUGUAUUAUCCCUCAUUUCUACCUCGUGAAACAUUUCUCUGGCCCCCCCCCCCCAACCCCCCCCACUGAAUCGUUUAAAGAAUUGAUGUGGAUAUGAAUUUGAUUGUCUACUACUUUAAAGUAUAAUCUACUGUGGGAGGUGCUCUUGGUUUGGAGCAGAUUAGUGGCUAUUUCACUUGACGCGCUUUAAUGGCAUCCGCAAUGUUGACCAUCUUAGAAAUCAUGUGAGCAGCCAGCUUGUGACUAAUGCUCUCGAGAAGGUUUUCAUGCAGAAACCCAUUCUCGUCCUCUGGUUUUAGCAGGGAAAUCCUAGCACUUAAAUUCAGAACACAACACAGAGGAAGACGCCUGACGAUAUGAACUAAACACAGGGACGUCUUGGCACGAUGAGGUUUGUACCUGUCUCUGGCUGAGGAAAAUAUCUAAUGGACCCUUAUAAGUUUAUGGACAGAUGGUAUCUACAGCAAAUGUUUGAUCAAAAGACUUGACGUUUCCGAGCGUCCCCCUAGACCGGGCUUCAGUCAGUUGAGUCUUGAAUAUUUAGUGCUAACCAUUGGUGCGAUCUCCCCAUGUGCGUAUCUCCUGCGUGUGCAACGAAGGCAGAAGCAGACUGAGUCCCGCAGAAUGAUAACUAUUAAAAGUUCUCAUUUCUUCUGUUAUUGUGGCUGUGGUGAACACCGUGGUAACGGGGCAUUAGCUUGUGGAAUGAGAGCAUAGGGCAUGGUAAAUUGAUUUUGUUUCCUAGACAUAAUUUGUAUGCGUGACUUUCAUGCUUGAGACAAAAAGGGGUGGAAGCUAAAUUGACCAACAGAUCUUCCGGAGGAUGAGCUCCUACUUUGUCAUUGAAAAGGUAAGAUUGUCUCGGGAUUGCAUGAUUUCCUAUAUCCACGAGGAGUCGAUACUUAAAAGUCAUUCACAAGGACCUGAAAAUAAGCAAUGCACUUUUUGAGCGCUAUUCUAGAUCUUAAAUUUUCAGGCUUAGGUUGGCAAUAAGAAAGUUGCAGAAAGGACAAGUACAAAUAAGGAUACCUAGAAAGUCUGUAGCUUGUUUUGUAGAGGCCCACUGGUCUACUUCCGGACAGUUUAGAGACAUGAUUGUUCGAUAGUGGCUUAGCCACCAACACAUGCCUUCGAUGAUUUAGAGUAAAGUCUUAUGAAUGUGGAUUGCUUUUGGUAGACAGCAGUAAAAGGAAUAUAGGAGAUUUAAUCAAAGUCAUCACCAUUUUGGACAUUCAAGGAGCAGAAUAUAAUAGUAAUGUUGUAUGUCAGUUUCUUUGAUUUCGUUAAAGCUGUGGGCAUUUAUUUGCAAGCUAUAGCUUCUGCUGCUGAUAUUGAGCUGAAGGGGACGGUAUUAAAUGUGAAUAUAGAAGACAGAACAGUUGACAAAAAUGUGAAAAUUUUGAAUUUGGGAGGGAAAUAACCUUGCUUGUAAUUGAAAAUAGACUAGGCGGGAUUCAUUCAGGCAUAGCCCUUAUAUGGAGACUGCUAUACGAAUGACAUUGUUCUUUUUUUUUCUUGGAAAUCAUAGUAAUGAUCAUUCCAAAAUUUGCAUUAUCCAGAGACAACUUGACCAGUGCACAUGAAGUUAGACAAAUGAGCAAGACGUCAAUAUAUUCGCAGCAUUCAAUAUUAACAAAUCCAAUUGUGUGAAAGCACAUCAGGCAUUGGAUUUCGAGAAAAUAUAGAAUGGAGUGAUGGUAGGAUAUGUUCAACGACCUUGGAACCAUCUAGCUCAAACUGAAGUUGUAUACUUUAAUUGCCAUGUCAGAAGAAAGUGGAUGUUAGUCGUAAAUAAAAAUUACGCAAAACUUCUUGCUCUGACUUUAGUUUCGUUUGGACCAGGAGAAAUUCUAAAUUAGUGACGCAUCACUCAUCUUAAUGUACGUGCCACUGUUAAUGGCAGUCUUCUUGAUCUUGCGGCAACUUGCAAGGUGGACUACAUAUGAACCUUUUGCCUUUCAUGACCUGAAACAAAAAUGGAUUUAAUCGCGGGGAACAUAAAAGAUUAGUUUAAGUCUUCAAUCAAAUGCAAAAAAAAAACUCCUUUUGCCACUUGCACUUAUUGUUUUAUCAUCUUCGUGUCAUUGUUGGGUCCUCAUCUGGAUCUAGUAUUUGAGUUCCAACUAGUCUAUGAAAGAUGGAGAGACGUUGGUCUCUUCAGGCCAAAGAUUUGAGCUUGGCUUCUUCUCUCCAGGAAGCUGCAAGAACAGAUACUUGGGCAUUGAAACAAGAUCACUCCUCAGACAGUUGUUUGGAUUGCUAAAAGAGACAACCAACGGAUUCAAAUGGUGUUAUGACAUUCAGCCAUGCAGGGAAUCUAGUUCUUCUUAGCGGAAAAAAGUCACUACAAAUUUCAUGACUUACGUAUGGUGCUCACAUGAAAGUCAUAUUUUUUUCCCGAUCAGUUGGAUACCAUAACUUUCAUACGGCGGUUAGUUGAUUGUCAUAUAUAUAUAUUUUACUCAGUUGAGUACCGCAUAAUUUUUAUUUGAUCAGUUGAGUGCCAUAUAAUUCUUCAAUGGAUCACUUCAUAACUAUUUAAAAACGUUCACCACGAGUGCCAUGCCAUGUCAAAUUUCUGGCAUUUGGGUCAAUACUUUUUAAAAGUUAUGGCGUUUAAAUGAGUAUUGUAUGGAAGUUAUGACAUUUGUGAUAAUCUUAUCCCUCUUCUCAACUAAUCAAAUGAUUUCAAUGGGUCUUCAAAUUCAGCUCACAUUCUGAUGGUGCCUAUUAUUGGCAAAACUUUGAGUACCCAUCUGAAAUGGUCUUAGUAGAUAUGGAAUUGGGGUCGAACUUGAGCUGGAUUUAAAUGGUAUCUGACCACCUGUAAAAGUGUGGAUGACCCUAUCCCUGGUCAUUGCCACUUCAGAUUAACCACUCAGGGAUUGCCACGAUUUGAAGUGUUGAACGAUGGGUUCAUCUGAACAUAUUGCGAUCGGGAGGUGGCGUGGGAUCCAGUUUGAUGGCGUCUCGAUGCCAGUGGAUCCCAUUGUAAGGCAAACGGUGGUUUACAACCAGACGGAUGCCUACGCCGCGUACCAUCAGCCAUCAAAUGAUGAAAUCCUCACCAGAACACCAAUGUAUGGAUCUGGUUUGGUGCAAUGUUUGUGCGGAAGAAGGGAAGCUUUAGUUAGUCUAUCAUGCAAUUGCUUUCUAUUGAUCCCAUGACGGCUAUGCACUGUGUGGUUUACAAUGGUUUCUGCAAAAGUUACGGACCUUUGAGAUGCGAGUGCUUGCAAGGUUUCCUCCCAGAGCCGCCAGAAGAGUGGCAAAUGCUUUAAUUGGACCAGUGGUUUCUUGAGAAAGUUUCCCCCAAAUUGUUCUACAGGAGAAGCACUUUUCAAACUCUCUGAUUGUAAACUACCAGAUCUGAUCAACCAUUGGUUGGCCACUGGCAUGAGCCUUGAAGAAUGCAGGGUUCAAUGCACACAAAAUUGUUCCCGUAUAGCUUGUGCUAAUCGAUAUAUAUAUUAGUUAUUGGAUCAAAAGCUAAGCUUUUGUGGGUGCUGAAUAACUACAUAUCAUGAGUGGUGCUUCUCAUCAUUGCAUGGUAAGGGCGCUUUAACAUUAUCGCUGGAAUUGGUCUAGGUCUUCUUUGAAAGUGCUAGUAUUACUACCUAGAGGGGGGUGAAUAGGUAUAAAGACAAAUUUGGCCAAUAAAAGUAAUAAAAGUUAUUUUCUCAAAUAAGGUCUUAUUAAUAUCAAACUUCUAAGUUCAAUUCAGACUCAAAUAAGAUAUUUUGGAAUUUACCAGGACACAGAAAAAUAUCGCAAUAACCAAAUUAAGUCUAUGUCCACUCUCCCACACUGACAGCCUUCUAGCUGGAUUUCAUUAUGGAAUCAAAAGAGAAUUACAGUGAUUUGAGUACAAUCACUCAGUGAAGAGUUUGUUUCUCUCACUAAGUCACUCCUUUGUGUGUUUUUUUUGUUGGUAAAAUUAAGAAUGUCACCCCUUUUAUGUUUAUCUCUCUUUUGAGUACAAUUGCAAGCACUAUUGGUGAAGAACAUAUAGUUGGAAAUGCUUCAAACUUUGGAAUUUUAAUUCUCACACGCUAUCUCAAAUGAACCGAAUGAUUUCCUUAAAUACUCCUCCAUGUCUUUCUAAUUGUUGGUACUUUCCAGAGGAAUUUAUUCCAAUCAAUCCGUUGGACAGAAUUAAUUAAGGAAAUCUUAUAGCCAUUUGAAGAUUGAGGUAAAAAUCCGAUGAUCCUAGUCGCCCAUACAAUCAGAAUCUAGGUUUUCAUAAGUAGAUGCUUCUCAAAAAAGAACUUUUCAAAAUUGAUUUCAUCAAUCCAUGAUUGCUUUCAUCAAUAUAUUUAGAAAAGAUAAGUGAGAUUCUCCGCCAGAAAGCCAAUUAUGUCUUGAUCAUACUGAAUUCUAGUUGGAAGAUCAAUAAGCUUGAGUAUGAAUAUGUCUUCAUUCUAGACUGGGUUAAGUCUGGAUGGGAAAGACUUUUGAUGUAAAAAGACUUUGACAGCAUUCCUCGAUAUAACAUCGAAGUCCAAUGUUCCUCGGAACAAGAAUAAGAAUAAGAAUAAGAGAAGAAAGGUUUUGUCAACUUCAAAACCAAAUAGGAGUUUUCUCAACAAUCUUUACCUCCACGAAGAUUCAAAACUUCAAGUCAUUCACGGAGACCUUAAAAUUAGCAACGUCUUAUGGAUGACAAUUUAAAUCCAAAAUUUUCUAACUUCAUUGACAAGAAUCUUUUGGAAGUGAAGAAACAAAAGCAAGAACUAGAAGGAUCAUCGGCACUUGGUAAGUGCUCAUCUCAUUUCGUGACCUCCAAAGUUCAUGAGUUCUGAAACAUCGGGAGAAUUGAGACAUGAUUUACUUGAUGCAGUGGCUAUAGGUCCCUAAGACUAUGCCUUGGAUAAAAAAUUCUCGACGAAAUCCAAUGUACUAUGUAGUGCUCUUCUUGGAAAUGGAUAGUGGCAAAAGCAAUAGAGGAUUCUGCCAUCCGAGUCACCUUCACAACGUUCUCGGACAUGUAAUGCUAUUUCUUCUUAUACUUAAUUCCUUCUGAUGUUCAAAUCAUUACAGAUUCACAUAUUGGCUUCUAGUCGCUUAUCAUGUUUGGCGACCAACCAACUCAAGUUGAUCCUUCCUAGGCAUGGUUGCUGUGGAAAGAGGGCAUUGCCCUGUGUUGGGAAUGACUGAUCCCCGAAAAACCGGAUUCGAUACCGAAUCGAACCCCUAAAUCAAUGCGGAAGACGAAGCCCGGGAAAUCACGUAUCACCGAUCGUAAAGCACACCACGGAUUCGAGCGUACCUUGUUAGCCACAGAUUAAGCACCGACGCCGAUAGAGGAAGAGAUUUGGCCUUGUUCGAUCCGAUGACGCCUUGAAGGGAAGAAGAACGUGCCUUAUACUUACUGUUUCUUCUUUUUGUUUUUGGAGAGAGAGAGAGAGCGCGCGGGAGAAGACGUACGUUCAUUUUCUAUUUCCAAAAACCAUAUCAUCUCUCUCUCUCUCUCCUCCCUUUUAUACUUUCCCCCAUCCACGGGCCCUAUUCCCGUGGGCCGGGCCUUUUGGGCCCAGCAUGGGCGGACGGGCCUUAAGCCCAUCACCAAUUAAAACCAUCAUCUCCCACUCGCACAUGGUGGGCUGAACAUGAUUCUCUUUACCUCUCUUCAACAUUCAUACCGGUGAAUAAUCCGUGCGACCAGCAUACUUUGAGAGCUCGUUACUAUACAUCUGUUAGGAAUAUAUAGCAGCUCAUAAUGGGCGUCACACUCCGAGUAGAUUUAGUAUGCAGUACCCUAGAUCGAUCAAUCACAUCUAUAUCUCUCUUGAUCUCUUUUAAACAAUGAUAUAUAUAUUGUAUUCACAAUUAUAAUUAUCACAAAGACAGUCAUAAUUGGUCGACCGGUGAAUACAAAACUAUAAUAUGAUUCUCCAAAAUCGAUCUUCCUCUUCCCUUUAAACUCUCAAUUUCAGUUCAGCUUGCUAUUCUAGAAAUGCCCCAUUAGAUCGAAUCAUCUCAUGACCAUUGGCAACACCCUAAGAUAGCAAACACUAAAUAAAAAUCUUGAGAAUAAGUAAGAGUCAUGAGGGGACUAAAAAUUGAGGAACUCUUUUCCUCAAGAGUUUCACACGUCAUAAAAGUUGAGAUCAAACUUUUUGCCACUCUUAUUGGUCGUCUCAUGCAUACGUAGUAUGAAAUACGUAUUACGGUAUUAACUCCUUUCCCAUGGAGCGUAUGUCUACACCUUUCAAUACCGUACAGAUGAUAGUUCAGAUAUACCCAAUGUCUAACUUGAGUUCACGUAUCUACUCAUUCACAAAAUUCAUCAGAACUCACAUCUGGCAUUUUAGACAGAUAAAGUAAAAUAUGUGGGGUAUUUUACUUUCGGACAUCGUAAGUAUUAUGUCCUCAUCUUAACACUUAGUUAAGGCGACAUACGUAUUUUAAGCUUGAGCUCUCGAUUAUCACCUAGAUAAUAAGCUUAAAAUCAGUCUCAUCUCUAUUUAUCACACAGUAAACAUAGGCGAUUACCCGUGUGAGUGGGCUAAUCUUUUAUCUGUCCGACAUACUUCUCAACUUAAAGUAAUGCACUAAGCAUUAAGAUGCAUAAAGAUCAAACAAAGAUUCAUAGGCAUUAAUGAUGAAAACACAAAUUCAUCAAAUGUGAACACUUAGGGAAAAUACAAUAUUUAGUACAUUAGUCUCUACGCAAUCCUAGAGAUUUCAUAUGGCCACAAAACACAUCUCUAGGUAUUGGCUUUGUCAUAGGAUCUGCUACCAUUCUGUGCGUAGUAUGUACUCUAAGUUCACAUCCUUUUGUGCAACCAUAUCCUUUACAAAAUUAUACUUGGUAUCUAUGUGUUCGGUCUUGCCAUGAUAUUUUGGAUCUUUGGUGUACGCUAUAGCUGCUUGGCUAUCACAGUUAACCAAUAAUGGAUUUGCAACUUUCUCAAUAACACCUAAAUGAUCUAAAAAUCUCUUAAGCCAAACUCCUUCUUGUACCGCUGCUGAUAAUGCCACGAACUCAGCUUCCAUCGUGGAAAUGCUAUACACGUUUGCUUUUUACUGCUCCAUGAUAUGGCGCCAUUGUUCAAUAAGAAAGCAAAUCCAGAGGUAGAUUUUCUUUCAUCUAAAUCUCCUCCCCAAUCAGCAUCUGAAUAGCCUUCAAGUCGCAGAUCCUUUCCUUGGUAAUUCAACUUGAAAUCAGCAGUUCUCUUCAGAUAUCUCAGUAUUCUCUUGACGGCUUUCCAAUGUGCUGGACCUGGAUUGGAUUGGUAUCUACUCACCAUUCCAACUGCAAAACAUAUGUCGGGUCUUGUACACAUCAUAGCGUACAUCAAGCUCCCAACAGCACUAGCAUAAGGAACAUGUUUCAUUUGUUCCUUCUCUUGUGGAGUCCCUAGACACAGUCUGUGGCUCAAUCCUUCACCUUUUGCAAUAGGAGUGUCUAUGGGUUUACAGUCUUGCAUACGAAAUCGUUCAAGAACCUUAUUUAUAUAGGUUUCUUGCGAAAGAGACAACGAUCUCUUCGAACGAUCUCUCGAAAUCUUAACUCCUAGAAUGUAUGCAGCCUUACCCAUAUCCUUCAUCUCAAAGUUAGAAGACAACCAUCUCUUGACAGUAUUAACCAACUCCAUAUUACUUCUGGCAAUCAGUAUAUCAUCAACAUACAAUGAUAUGAUCACAAAUUGAUCCUUGGAUCUUUUGAUAUAUACACAAUGAUCCUCAUUAAUCAUUUUAAAAUCAUAUGCCAUUAUGGCAUUAUGAAAACGUAUAUACCAUUGUCUUGAUGACUGCUUAAGACCAUAUAUCGACCUCAAAAGUCGACAUACUUUUUCUUCUUGGCCUUUCACUAUGAAACUAGCAGGUUGUUCCAUAUAUAUUUCUUCCUCUAAUUCUCCAUUGAGGAAAGCAGUCUUUACAUCCAUUUGAUGUAACUCAAGAUCCAGACUAGCCACUAUUGCCAGAAUAAUGCGAAUCGAGGUAAAUCUUACUAUAGGAGAAAACAUAUCUUCAUAAUCAAUUUCUUCCUGUUGAUUAUACCCCUUUACCACAAGGCGAGCCUUAUGCCUUUCUAUCGAGCCAUCAGCCUUUCGCUUUAUUUUGAGAACCCACUUGUUCCCAAUAGCUCUGCAUCCUUUUGGAAGAUCAACCAGUUCCCAGACUUGGUUUGAUUUCAUUGACUCAAUUUCCUCUUCCAUUGUAUGAAUCCAUUUUUCCUUACUAGGGCAAUUCAGAGCCUCAUUGAUAUUUCUUGGCUCAUCCUCAUCUUGUGGAGCAACUAUAAAAGUUUCCCCUUCAAUGUCAAAACGUCGACGGGGAAUACUUUGGCGAUUUGUUCGCCGUAUGGGAGAUUGUACACUUUGCACAUCAUUCCCUAUUAUGCUCCCACUUGGAUGAACUCCACUAAUAUCAUUAUCUUGAUCCAAGGUCUCAAAUAGGGAGUGAUCUUCCCUUAUUUCGCCCUUCUUAGGAAACUCAUCCUCUAAGAAUGUGACAUCCCGUGAUUCAAAUUCAGUUAUACUCCCACUUUCCUACUCACCAAUGAACAUAUACCCUUUCGAGUGUUCCGAGUAUCUUAUGAAAAUACUCUUCUUUCCUCUGGGACCCAAUUUCCCAAACUUGUGAGAGGACUUAUGUGUAUAGGCAGCACAACCCCAUGGCUUAAGAAAACUUAAGUCCAGUUUUCUACCUGUCCAUAACUCAUAUGGAGUAGAAGUAACUGAUUUAGAAGGCACACGGUUAAGUAUAUAGGCAGCAGUUAACAACGCAUCAUUCCAAAAGGUAAUAGGUAAGUUAACAUGCGCCAUCAUGGACCUAACCAUUUCCAGUAGGGUUCUGUUUCUUCUCUCCGCAACACCAUUUUGUUGAGGAGUAUACGGAAUAGACAACUGUCUUUCUAUUCAUUUUUCAUCACAUAAUUUUAUGAAUUCAUCAGAUAAAUAUUCUCGACCUCGAUCGGAUCUCAAUGCUUUUAUUUUCUUAUCUAAUUGAUUCUCUACCAGGUUCAUAAACCUUUUGAAAGAACUUAUUGCUUCAGAUUUAUGAGAAAUCAAAUAGACAUAUUCGAAUCGAGUAUAAUCAUCAAUAAAUGUGAUGAAAUAAACAGCCCCAUGCCUUUCUCUCACAUUCAUUGGACCACAGACAUCAGAAUGGAUUAAAUGCAAAGGAAAUUCAGCUCUUUUACCUUUCCCAAAUGGUUUCCUUGUCGUUUUCCCUUAUAGGCAAUACUUACAUAUGGGCAAAUCGACUUUUUCAAUGUUGCCUAACAAGCCUUCUUUGGCUAGUCUAUUCAUACGUUGUUGGCCAAUGUGACCAAGUUUAGCAUGCCACACAUUCACAUCAUUAUCAUAGGUAUUAGGAGAUGUGAUAAGGGAAUAACAAACAUUUGCAUUAACAUACUCAACAUCUAAUACAAUGAAACCAUCCAGAAAAUAACCACAACUAUAGUAGUUUGUAUCCAAAUACAAAUCUACACCUCUAUUAUGGAAGUUCAUAUUAAAACCUAGUCUAACCAACACUAAAACAGACACUAAAUUCCGACGAAUCUCUGGAGCAUACAAUACAUCAUGUAGGAAUAAAGUGCGUCCACCACGCAUAUUCAGUUGGCAUGUGCCAAUUCCUUUCACUUCAGCUCGGGAGUUGUUUCCCACAUAGAUCCACUUAGUUCCAGUUGGUACUCGUCGGAAUUCCAUGAAGGAUCCUCUAUCCUUCGCUACAUGGUCUGUCACUCCUGAAUCUACAGUCCACAAAGGAUUAGACUCAGUCAAGAAUACAGAACUCGACACAAAAGUAAAGUUCUGAAAAGUACAAGGGGUGUUUACUUUCUUUGGCUCACGACAGUUGCGAGCAUAGUGACCCUUCUUGUCACAAUUGUAACACCUCACCCUUGACAUUUUCUUCACUUGAGGACAUUUUCCUCUCUUGUGUUGGUUAACUUUUGAUUUCUUGCAACAAGGACUUGAUCCUUUGCAAUCCCACAUAUUGAACGAAUCAAUACCCUUGCGCUUAGAGCUCAAAACUCUUUCUGAGCUAGAACGAGCAUUGUAAAUGUCUACUUUCGACUCAAAUGCCAUUAGGCGGUCCUCUACUAGCUCAAGGUGGCGCAUGUCAUCCUCAAGAUCUUCCAUAAUAUGGUCAAGAGCUUCUAGUGCUUCUUGCUUUUCCAGCACAUAUUGGACUUUCAUGUGCCAAAUUUCAUAGUUAUCACCAUUGAGCUUUUCACCUUUGUUCAGCUCGGCAACUAUGCUCUUUGUGGCUGAAGCCAUUGAUCUGAACACAUCAGACAUAUGCACGAAUUAUUAAUGCCUAUCAUUUAUGCAUCCUUUUUUACAUAGACCCAUCAUAUUAAUGAAUAAUUUCAAGUAAGGCUUCAGAAUCAAAAGGUCACUACAUUUCCAAUCAUCAUCCAAAAUCCUAACUUAAAACUAUCAUUAAUAUGAUCGUCAUAUGCAAAAUCAAUUCUAUGAAGCUACAAAAACUUCUAAAACUACCCACAGCUAAUUACCCACAGCAACCAGCAAUAACAGAAAGCAACAGAUAAUUGACAUACAAUUAAAAAAUAAUAAUGCUUUCAAUUAAUACAACUAUACAUUACCCUAAGCAAUAUAUACAAAGAAAAAUAUCAACAUAGAAAGAGAUAUUCAAUCAUAAAAACAUCUCAUAACUAAUCUAAGAAAUAAAUAGGGAAUGUCUCUUCUAAUCUAUCAUUCAGAAUAUCUAAGAAAUUUGAAGGCACAUUUGCCAACCAUGGAUAAACUUUUGGAGAGCUUUCAUGUCGCCUCCAAGGCGCAUUCACUCUGCGCCAUGUAGCGCUCAAUCUAAGGGUUGAAGUUUUGGCCAACUCAAUCCUAUAGUACUCUCUUACAAAAGCUUCCACUAGCCUUCUAUAACCCGGGACCACGUUGACCUCCCAUAGCCGAUCUAACACUACUUGCCAUUCAGCUGGAAGAGUGUUCAUCAGAGCCGGCACCUUCUCAAAAUCCGGCAUAAGAUAGCCAUUGCAAAUGAUUUCCUGUAUCAUCUGAUUGACCCUGACCACAUGUGAUACUAAAUCACUGUCAUGCCACCGAUAAUCAGCUAACUCUGUCAUCAGCCUUUUAAGUCUUGCAAUUCCCUCGUCCGUUCUCGGGAUUGCAGGCAUCCUUGCAUAACGCAUCAUAGUUCCUGCAACAAAUGCAGAACUAAAAAUGGAUUACUUAUAAUCCAUAAUAUACAAAAGGGAAAAUACAUAAUUUUCCAUAAUUCAUGCAACAAAUGCAGAAUAAAAAAAAAAUGGAUUACUUAUAACCCACAUAGGCAUGACUGAAAAAGAAACAAAAAUUUUUUUUUUUUCCGGCUCAACGGUGAAAGUCAACGGUUGUCGGUCAACGGUCAGUCAACGGUCAAGGGUGGUCAACGGUCGUCGGUCGAUCGGGCCGGUCGGGCCGGAGGGGCCGGCUCGGCCGAACCGACGGCACGUGCCGUGCGCGUGCGCGGGCUGACGUCACGCAGACGUCAGUUGGCACGUGCGACGCGUGUGCCGACGUCCUCGGGUUGGGUCGCCGGCCAGUGACCGCCCGGCGAAACGUUGUCGUGCUGACGUCACCCUAGCGGUUACUGACCGUUGGGUGACGUCAGCACGCAUCGGUCCGCGGACCGGCGCGUGCCGGUUUGCCGGCCGGCGGCGUGCACGCGCCGGUUCACCGACCGGGGCGUGUGCCACACGCGCUGGGCGAUCCAACGCUUCCGGGUGCGUCGCGCCCACGCGCAGUGCCUUCCGGCCGCGUGUGUGGGCGCGUGCGGCGUCGCCCGGCGGCGCUCGACGUAUCGCUAGACUCGUCUCGACGUCGCCUUUCUUCCUAUGCCAUCACAAUUUGAUUUCAACUUACGAAAACUCGGAAAAAUGGCCGAACAACGCUCGGGUGUCGGGAUUUCUCGCCCGAUCCGUACGGCCGAAUUGCUUUUGCGAAUAAUCAAUCAAAAAUCGUCAAACAAGUCGGGAAAACGUGAACUAGGACUAGGGCUCUGAUACCAAUGUUGGGAAUGACUGAUCCCUGAAAAACAGGAUUCGAUACCGAAUCGAACCCCUAAAUCAAUGCGGAAGACGAAGCCCGGGAAAUCACGUAUCACCGAUCGUAAAGCAUACCACGAAUUUGAGCGUACCUUGUUAGCCACAGAUUAAGCACCGACGCUGUCACGCCCCGAACCUCGAGCACGCGCACAUCCCACUGCGGUCGAUAGAAAUGCGACUUCCCAGGACACGUCGCCGACCCAUUCUUUUUAAUUACACAUGCGGAAGCGGAUAAAUAGUCCCCAGACAAAACUCAAUUGGGAUAGAAAAGCAGGAUCACAUUUUUAAAACCAACCACAUACUUUUUAUACAUAUCAAACCAGUUCAUUUACAGGACUAGGCUAUUUACAACAGAUCUAUAGAAGAUCAGUCCUCAAAAACUAGGCUGUCCUAAGAUCAGCUAGACAGGUCCAUUCGCCAGCUCUUCAGUCGGGAUCGGCGAAGUCAAAAAAAUCCUCUCAGCGACCCUCACUGGUCUACCAAAAAGCUCCGGAGGAUCCGCCAUCUAGGGACCUGAAAUAUUAUCCCACAACUGGGAUGAGACGAUGUCUCAGCGAGUCCUACCCUCUAAAACUCAAUUAGGAAGAAAAUAAGCCCCAGGGUGCUCUAGCCACACAGAGAAUAGAGGACUUACCUCGCCUCAGUCCUUCCUGCACGUCAGUGCAACUCAUACGUCGAUAAAUUCAUACUAUAUAUCAAUUCAUAUCAUCUAUCAAUUCAUACCAUCUAUUCAUCCAUUAAUAAAUCACGGCUCACACAAGCUGAUAUAGAUGGUAGCUCGCACAAGCUGAUAUAUGCAUAGAUGAUAGCUCACACAAGCUGAUGUAUGGAUCGAUGCUCUCACAAGCUGACAUAUAUAAACCAAUUGCUCGCCAAAGCGGAUAAUUCAAUAAUAAACCAACUCAUAUCUCAAUUCAAUCAAUCAAUCAAUCCAAUCGAUUCAAACUGGUCAUACAAAUCAAUUACGGUGCUAAAAGCUAACACCGGGUAUUUUCAAGUUAAAUACCACAACUUCAUCAAUUUCACACAAUUCCACACUUUUGGAAUUAUUAACCAUAAUCAUCAAUCACUUAAUUUCUCAAUUUAAACAUACAAUUAGCACAAACCGACCGCACUGCUGCGAUCAGCGCGAAAUUCUAACGACCGGCCAUCCCGGCAAAAUUUUCGAAAUUAUUAAAUAAUUAAAUUUAAUUCCGAAAAUUAAAUAAUUAAAUAUUAUAUUAUAAUAAUAUAAAAUAAUAAAAUAAUAUUUAAAAAUUCGAAAUAAUUAUUUAAUUAAAAAUAAUUAAUUAGGGCUUAAAUUAGAUUACACUAAUUUAAACAUACUAUUAGCCCUAAUUAAACAUCCCUUAAACUAAUCAUACAACUAAUCUAAUUUACAUUAAAAUAAUCUAAUCUAACCACCUAAACCUAAUUAAACUAAUCUAAACACCCCUUAAGCAUGAUUAACUUGCUAAGCAAGGUUUAGAGGAUAAACUCACCGGUUUUGCGGGCCGGUGAGUUCACGGCGACCACGACACCAAGGCGGUCGAUAAACCCCAAAGCGGCGACAACAACGAAGGCCGGGAAGGGCUUGAAAACGGGCCACGAAGUCUGGAACUUCUUGCUGUCUUCUGCUUCUGAUCUGGACUGAACUGCAGAGAAGAAACCAGCAACUUCAACGGCGAAAACGGGCUGAUCGGAGCUCCGGCGAGCGGGUGGCUGGCAACCGGUGGCUCCCGGGGGUCAAGGAAAUCUUAUUGGAGGUUGGUAUGGGUGGAGGUAGGGUAGAAAUGGGGAGAAAAUGGCUGAAAACCGCGAAACGGGCGGAACAGGAGGAACCAGGCGAGUCCAGACGGUCCGGCGAGCGGCGGCUUCGGGCGGCCGUACGGGACAGCCGGAGAAUCGUUCCGGCGAGCGGUGAGGUGCUCCGGAACGGGAUGGAUGUCUUCUUCGCGGUGAUGGGUGGCUCGUUCACUGAUUCAACCGGAAAGUUAACUUUUUACUCGGAUCUUUGGCGAAAGGUCGGCUGGAGCAGAAACUGGAACGAGGGGAAAACAAGGGGAAAAAGAGGUCCGGCGGGCAAGAGGAAGCUUCGGGCGGGUCCCAGGCGGUGCUGUGGCUGUCGAACGGCAAGCUAGACGGCCAGAGGACGCGGGACGAAGGCGAAGCAGCGGCUGGACUCGCGGUUGCAUGGGACUGGACGCGACGAGCAAGCUAGCUGCUCCGGUGGGCUCGCGGGGCUUCGGACCGCUGCUGGUCGCUCUCCACUGGUUUCUCAAGCUUUUUCCCUUCCUCAACCAUGGAGAAAGCUGCCGCACGAGGGAUUCAAGGAAGGAGAAGCUUCGGCUGAAGCAAGGGGCCCCCAAGAGCUCUUCUAGCUUCAACACUUGUCAAUCUCUCUCUCUCCUUGCCCCCACCAUGGCCGGCCCACCCUUCAGCCUCUUUCUCUCUCCUCUAGCUUCCCUACAAGCUAGUUAAUAGGUCCAAAAUGUGGUGUGCCAAGGGGAUUUCGAAUUUUGAACAUUUGUUCACUUAAUUCACUCAAUUGCCAAUUAAUUCCAUCCAAUUGAAGCUCAAUUAAAUCAACCCAUGUGUCCUCGGCCUUCUCAUGACAUUUCCCCAUCAAAUGAUCUAACUUGCAUCCCGAAGAUUCGAUUAAAAACGGCCCUCUGACAAUCCCGAACAAAAACGGCCUUACUUUGCUUUUCCGCCAAAAAUCUCGGUUUGUAGAAAAAAUCUUCCGGAGAUGAGUUGACGUUCCUAAAAUGAAUUGUGACAUGCCAGAACCUUCAAUUUCUGAAUCCGGGUUUAAAAUCACGGUUAAUUUCAAUCUGGCGCGAUUUGAGCGCGUCCUAAUCUACCGGGUAGCUUUUAGGAAAUUUUUAGUGCAAUUGACCGUGGUUGAUUAUUUUCAAGCCACGACAUAAAUCUUCGACACAUUAGCGACUUUCGAUUGUCGUGAAAAUCUCGAGGUUUCAAAUACGGACACAGGGUACCCAAAACGACAGAAUAAUCAGUUCAGUGCCGGUCGACGAGGAUAUUGAAAUCAGGUGGAAUCACCCACACUCUAAUUACAUAUCUCAGUCGAAUCGACCUAUUAUUGAUCUCUGUUCGAUUCUGACAGUGUCGUAAUGAUCCUUGCAGAUUUAUACGGUCGAGCAGUCGGUUCAUGGUCAGAUUCUCAAGCCUAUUGCAUUUAAAUUCCUUAACGGCUUCACCUGAUAAACUAGUUAUCUCGUGAGUGAUCAGCUCAGAGAAUUGAACUAUAAGCGCGUCGAUGAAAAGUCCGUCUCAUUUAAUUGAAAACAGAAUCAGAAAUUUGGGAUGUCACAGACGCCGAUAGAGGAAAAGAUUUGGCCCUAUUCGAUCCGAUGACGCCUUGAAGGGAAGAAGAACGUGCCUUAUACUUACUGUUUCUUCUUUUUGUUUUUGGAGAGAGAGAGAGCGCGCGGGAGAAGACGUACGUUCGUUUUCUAUUUCCAAAAAGCAUAUCAUCUCUCUCUCUCUCCUCCCUUUUAUACCUUCCCCCAUCCACGGGCCCUAUUCCCGUGGGCCGGGCCUUUUGGGCCCAGCAUGGGCGGAUGGGCCUUAAGCCCAUCACCAAUUAAAACCAUCACCCUGGAACUUAAGGUUGAUUCUUUAGGUAACUUUCCAUCGAAUCUCAAGCAAAGAGAUGUAUCUAGGUUAGUCAGCUGUUCAUCCAAAAAUAUCCCAGAGAGGCCAUGGGUGCGAUCCAUGGUUAUCAUGUUGGCAAAUGAAGAAGCGACAUUGCCACUGCCUAAACAGCCCGAUUUCUUCAUUGGAGGAAGUCCCACAAACUAGGUUGUGGCUUCACCAAGAGAGCUCUUGACAGAUAGCAUGGUUGCACAUCAUGCUGCUAGAAUGUCAAUAUACAUACCGUUCAUUGGAAUUGUUUGUCUCUAGGGAUGUAUUUAGGUAGGGCUAGAUUCAUCAUAUAGAGGGGGUGAAGAAGUGACAAUACGGAAUCAAAGCAAAAUUAAGAUGAUAUUGCUAUAGGACAACAUUUGAUAACACUGUGCAGUGCUUAGAUCUUGGCAAUAUGCAAUAAAUCUACCACAAAAUAUAUAUAGGAGUUUAAGGCAUAGAAAAUAUUGCACACAACAAAUUUAUAGUGGUUCGGCUUUAACAAGCCUACAUCUGCUCGCUUGCACUAACAACCUAUCGAUUGGAUUUCACUAUAAUCAAUCAAUCAUAGGUUACAAGGAUUGAGUAUUCACUACUCAAGCUCGUGUAAGAGAUUAUUCCUUCUCACACUUACGACUGUUGAGAAAACUCCUAUUAGGUUUUGAAGUUGACAAAACUUUCUUGUUCUUGUUCUUGUUCUUAUUCUGAAGAAUACUAGACUUUUGAGCUAUAUCGUAAACUUUUGUCAAAAUCUAUUUAUUACAUAAGUCUUUCCCACUCUGAUGUGAUUUAGAUUGAAACCAAGUCUAGAACAAAGAUAUAAUCAGACUCAAGAUUAUUGAUCUUAUGACAAGGAUUUAGUAUGAACGUUAUAGAGAUUUAUCCUUAAUAUCUAGCUUUCUGGUGAAGAAUCUCAUUUACCUUUUAUAUAUACAUUGAUGGAAUUAAUCAUGAAUUGAUGUCAAUUAAUGUGUAACUAAUAAUUUUAGAAAAAAAAGACGUCACCGAUGAGGCAUGCGGUUUGACAAUAUUCGCCAGCAUGACUUGACUAAUACAUAAGAAUAUAUACGUGCGUCCAUAUGUAUGUGUUUAUAUUAUAUAGUCAAUUCUAGCAUGAAAGCUAAGUUGCGCUGCCGUAUGAACGUGGCGAAAGAGGACCACACAAGGUGUCCAUCCAAAGUCCAAGAAAGGGAGGAAUAGAAAAGUCUAAAAUGGCGGAUCAUAAGUUGGGAUUUACACGACCGAGAUGAGCACAGAGGACUUAUCAAAUUCGAUUCCAGAGGAGGGAUCGCAUUGCCAGUCAACGUCCUAGUUCUUUCGCAUUUUAGGAAACUUAUCUAGGGGAUUUUGCAUCGAUUUGACUUGACCAAAUAUAGAAGACAAAAAAGACUCACGCGGGUGGUGAAUUCUUUUUCCACUUUAAAAUUGUUCAGAUCUCGUCAUACGAAGCUUUUCUUCACGCAAUCGAAUCGUCGAAUUAUAUAUUUGUUGUAGUGGAAUCCCACCGCAUGAAGUACUUUGAAUUCGAGUAUCUAUUGGAAGAUCAUGUGGUAAAAUAAAUACAUAAUGUACUUCACCCUUCGUAGGUAGGAUUCUAGUCUAGUUGUAACUCACAACUUGAUGUGGUCCUAAAAUUGAUUUUUUUUGUUUGUUUGUUUGGAUAGUCCUAAGAUUAGUUGACAUUGAUUUUAGGUGCUUUCGCUCUUAGCGUUUGAGCAUAUUACAUGGUGAAUAAUUCUUUUUUAUUGAUGCAAUUCGGUCAUCCUAUGAAAACUUAAUAAAUAUUCUAGCGUAAUAAUUAAUUAUCACGUUGGGCAUUUUCAGCAGCACGUAUAUUCUAAAAAGUCAAAGCAAAAGAGUUGUCGAUAAGGAUCACCUAUCCUUAUCAAUUGUCACGACAACAAUAGGGGUAAUGACCCUCACCAAACUUAGGCAAGUCAUGCAAGUUUGCCACAGAAUCCUGGAAACAAUGUUUAGCAAGGGUUGGCUCCUUGCUGCCGCUUGCGGGACGAGGAAAGGUGGCCUGCACGCGACAGCGAGGGUUCUUGGACCCUCCUCAAUGGUUGAGGGUGCUCGUCCCGCCUAGCCUUCCCCCUCAUCUCUCUCCAACCUUUUUUCCUGAUGAUUUUUUUUUUUUUUGUUUAUGUAUCGUUAUUGCACAUCAACAAUUAGCCCGGGGAAUGCGCGGGUCCUAAGUUGAACGUGAAUUGUUGCGUCGAUGUUUUCGUCAAACGGGAGAACUAACAAAAAAACAAUAAAUAGGGAAGUCGCUAUUUCCAUCCCAUUCAUUCAUUGCCCACUGAAAAAAGGAAUUCCCCUCUAAUUGGCUAUCUUGUCUCCCAAACCUUUGUUGGACAUCUUAUCUGGCGAUGUGGACGGAUUCACUUUUGAGUUAAUGCAAUUUCCCUUUUACAAAAAAAAAAAAAAGAGGCCGAAAUAUCUUUUAAAUUAAAAAAAAAAUCAAUUUUUGGGCACUUAAUAAGAAACCGUUUGAGGUAAGCGUGCCAUUUUCCACGUACUAUUAUUUUUUUAAUUAAUACUUUGGAAAUCGACAUAUUAAAAUAUUGACUAUAAUCAACAAGGGCCACUAUCCAAUUCACAAGACCUAGUGGUCUUAGGCUUAGGGUCGGUCUAGAUUCACUCGUGAUUUGGAACCUAUUCUAUUGGAACCAAUUUGCUUAUUGUUGGAACUUGAAACUAACCAUGUCAAUCAGCUCCCAGGUUUAGGAUUGAUUUUGGGGUCUAUCGAGGAAUCAACCAAUUUCUUUUUUCUCUUUUUAAUUAUUUUUCCUUUUGUUUGUUUCAUUUUUAGUUAAGCAAAAUGAAAAUGAACACAAUAACAAAAAUCCAAUAAUUCAUAAAAGAUAAACAAAUAGAAUAAAAUAAACAAUAAAAGUUGUAAAACACGUAAACACGGUUUACCAGUUUCUAGUUCCCAGUUUGGUUUUUCGGUUCGUUCCUUAACUAGGAAUUGAGAAUCGAAACUUAUGAGGGGAAGUCGAAUUUCAUAGAGUCACCUACACUGAUCCCCCUGCCCUUUCUAACCGAUAAAGAAGAGCCGAAAAGACCGAAGCUCUUGUUCUUUUUAGUUUCAGUGUCCUUGCCUCUAUUAUCUCUCAAACGGUUGUUCUGUUCUGGAGAUAAAUAAUUGAAAUAUCAGAACCGGUUGUUCUGUCAUUUUUUGCUCGGUCACUGGUUGGCCGUCACGAAACAUUGUUUAGCUUUAAAGUAAUUAAGUCCUCGAUAGGAGAAAUAUGCAACAUAAAGCGGGAAACAUGAAUUAUUAUCGGAGGUGAGUAGUCAAUUGCCAUGGUCCAUGGAAAUCAAUUAUAUAUACAAACAUCGAAGUUUCCAAGCUGACCCGGUUUCUGCUUACAAGGAUCGGUUAGAAUAGGUUAUUCUCCUGUUUAGUCCCGGCCACCUAAGCCAUGGGUUUCGACCGCAAUUCUUGAUUGUUUUAUAAUGCUGCUAAACUUGCUUUUUUUUUUUUUUACCACCAAUGAGCUUUAUCAGUUUUUCUUUCUGCAGGCAUUUCUUUGUAAUCCUUCACAUUUCAUCCAUGCGAUUGCUGGCUUAAGUUUGCGGAAUUGAUCCUCUAGCAAAAUAGUAGUUGGGAAUGGGAACUGAAGAACCGAAAGACCCUUUGAAGGGGAUGGACUGGAAAGCCAUCGGCAGUGACCUACAGAAGGAUCCUUCUGCUAAACCAAUUGUAAAGAAGCGAUCGCCAAGAAAGAUUAAGCAAAUACCGGACUAUUAUUUUCUUUCUUGAAGAUCUUUGGCCUCAACUAUUGCCUUUUAUGGGGCAUGCAUUGCUGGUGGAAUUGGUGCUGGAAUGCUGUUGGAGAUCUGGAUAAACAAGAAAAUCAAAGGUGAGUGAUAUUUCAUUGAUUUCUUCGUUUGUCUCACAGAUGCUCAGAUCAGACAAUCGUGGUCCUAAUUUCCAUAAUUUCAUUGAAAAUAAUAAUUUCACCUACUAAGGAACAUAUCCUGCCACGAUGUGGAAUCUAGCCUGGAGCCUUUUUCUGUCAAAUGACCUCAUCUCUUUGCACUUGAUGUAUGGAACAUAGCUGGUUUACUCUUGAAUGAUUUAAGUCUUAAACAGGAAGAAUACAUGGGAGGCAAAGCUGAAAAUGGACAGUGAUAAGGACUUGCUUUCUUUUUGAUGCAUUGCAUAAGAAUAUGCAUCACUAGAAUUGAGAAUUUCCAAGACUUUGCGGUUCUUUUAGAAUACAUAGUGUCGGUACGAUUCUCGUCAGGCAGAUCUCCGGCCUUCGCAUGCUUGAAGUGCUCUCGGCCGUCAAAUGUUAACAACUUUCUAUGGACAUGUACUUGUGUACUUCAUAUUAUGUUUUAAUCUAUACAGCAAAUUCGUCAUGCCAUUUGCACAAUGGAAUAAUUGCUUUAUUACUUCCACAUUGCAGAGGAUGGAGGCAUGAUUUGGGAGUUCAACAAGUAGAGGCAGUGUGGCGUGCUUGCUUGGCAAAUUAAUCAACACGGUUGAGAUCAUGCAUGAAGUGUAAAGUGGUUUUACCUCCCGUGAAGCUGAUCAUGUGGAGUGUACAUGGAUUCAUGGGAUAUGGGUUUCUUCUGAGUAAUAAAGUUCAAUAACAGGAUCGUGAGAUCCACCAAAGAAGUUGGUACUUUAUGCAGACCAAGUUAUUAUGGACUGCAUUCAUUUUCAAUUCAGUAUUUUUUUUGCCAAUCAUCGUAACACCUCGAGUAUGACAACAUGGAGGGAUUGCGAAAUGAUACCUGAGACGAAACACGGUGCAAGAAAUCUCCACUUAAGUACUCAUCUUAGGAGUUUCACCCUUGUGCUUAGGCACGAGUAGUCACUAACAUGGCUGUAAUAGUGUGAUGUCUUGAGAUUGGUGAAACAUAUAUAUAGCACCUUCUCGUUUCACCCUUGUGCUUAGGCACGAGUAGGCACGAAUAGUCUACUUAUCAAGUAUGGAACCUUGGUCUAUCUGACUAUAUUCUGUUGAGGUUAUCUCAGACUUUGGCGGUCGGUUUAUAAAUGUAAGAGAAACUCUCUCCUGUAUGAUUGUUGGGUCUUGACUUGUUUGUUACCUAAGAGAUACGGGUUGUUGCUACUCUAACAUGAUGGGAAGAUGGAUCUCAAGCAUGAAUAUCAAGGACGAGAUGGUUGUUGGGUCUUGACUUGUUGGUUACCUAAGAGAUACGGGUUGUUGCUACUCUAACAUGACGGGAAGAUGGAUCUCAAUCAUGAAUAUCAAGGACAAGAAGAAGAAAUUAUGGUCGUCAUUGAAAGACUGUGAAUAAGGCGUUAAAAAAUUUCAACAUGGAUAAGGCAAAACUGAUCACAACUCCUCUAAUAAGCCACUUCAAACUUUUCAAGGAUAUGUGUUAGAAUACUCAAAGAUGAGAUGGUGGUAGUCAAAUAUGCAUCCACAUUGGAAAGUUUGAUGUAUAUCAUGAUGAGCAUAGGACCAAACAUUACAUGAGAGUGGGAGUUGUGAGUUGAUAUUUGCAAAACCAGGCAAAGAGCAUUGGAGUGCACUACAAUAGAUAUUAAGAUAUCUAAGGCAUACCCUCUCACAAACAAACGUUGCUGCCAAUUCAAUGGAAGUCUAGUCUCCUUCAACAUAGUCAUCACUUAGCAAGUAUGCAAUUCAGUGGAAACAGAGAGACAUUUAAUGGACAUUAACAAGUCAUGAAGAAAGAGCCUUCUGUAAUGGAGAUUUCUCUCACCAAAUCAGAAAAAUUGUGAGAAAUCAACCAUCUCUUAAGCAUCAGCCAUCAACACUUUUACAAACAAAACAAAAGUGUACACACAACUGCAUUUUGCAGAGACAAAAGAGGCUAGAGAAAAGCACAAAUGCACCUACUGUGAAGAUCGGCCAGGAUGAACAGGUGCCCCGAGAGUCCAGCAAAAUUCUCCUCUGUAAAUGCGAGUAAUACAUCGUCUGAGCUACUCCACAACACCUCACAGGCACGUUUUUCGGUGAUUACAUCUUCGAAAUCAGACACAAAAAAAAUCGAUUAGCAGACCUAAUCAGUAUUCUCAAGACUGCAAACAAUUUUUUUUUUUUUUUUUUGGUAAAGGACUGCAAACAAAUUUUGGUGUCUCCUAAAAUUGAUAAAUAAAAUCCUUGCCAAAUCUCUAUGUAAGGAAAAAAAUUGGCAGGGUACCUACCAAGGGCUAGCUAAGUAUGUACAUUGUUCUUAUAUCCACAGGAAUGACGACCCUUGCCCAUAAUUCUCCGGGCACCGGCAAUGUUACUAAUCAAGUAGCUAGCAAAAUUUACUGCUGCACUAAGCUCCAUUAACUUCGAACAGAGUGUCUUAGUCAAGUACGAUAAUCUGCUGUCAUCCUUUCACUCAUUAAUUGUAGAUCCUGAGCCUGUUCACGUGUUAGUACUGUGUAAAGUGGCGACGGUCCAUUAGUAGAGUGCUCGUGGAAGCUAUUUAAAUUGCCAGGCAAACUGAUUUUUAUUAUUGUCAAAGUUAACUCUUGGUAUGGUCAUUGACUUUGGGUCAUCAUUUAGAGGAUCGAAAAUGACCAUGAAAUUCCCAAAUGCUAAAUCAGGCUUCAGGAACAGAUCCACCAGCAAAUCGCUGCUUGCCCCGAUAUUUCUCUGCACAAACUUUCUUGGAGUGGUUUCCCAAUCCUUGGCAGCAUGAGAAAUGUGUGAAGCUUCUUUCAAGCCACUCAAGAAGGCACCAUGCAUGCUGGCUGGGUAUUGCCCACUUGUGGCUUCCCCGGCCAAAAAAGGGUUGGUUCCCCACGCUCUCUCCAAGUACGUCAUAAUCUCUACCAAACGAGUUCACCCUUACAAGGGAAUAUGAACCAUAAGAAAGAGGAUCGCUUCCCCAUCUUGUACAUAUAGAUUGUAUAACCUCUAUGCAUGGCAAUCAACCUACGUAACAUAAAAAGGAAGGCAAUUUACUUGCCUGAGGUCCUAGGUGAGUGUUGUCGUGGUUUGGUGAGGUCUCCGAAGUCCGAGGUUGCGGCUGACAUUGUGUGUAUCUGACAUUGAACGAGUGAAAGAAAGAAUGACAAUUCAUGGUUGAAUCUGCAUACAAAACCACAUCAAAAUCAAAUGGUUAUGACGACAAAGUAAGAGUUGAAGCUCCAAUUUCACUUCUGGGUGAAAAAACUAGAGAUACUUGCCCUUCUUUGUCAUGAGCCUAUUAAGUUUACAUCAAAUGUCGAAUCUACACAAGAUGCAGUUGCGGAAAAUCUCCUCUCUAGUCUUCUUAUGAAUCUGACCUUUGUUUAAAAACUCGAGGUUGGACGAUCAUUUUUAAUGGUAAAGGUUUUGAUGAAUUCAACUGCGAAGUACAUUUGAUCAGUAGCUAAUUACUAUAUCUAUCAGACGAUUUCUUUUGGGGAUCAUGUUAUUCAAGUGAUUAACCAAACAAGAAAGAGAUCCUAGAAUAGGAAGGUUUUAGAUUUCACUACUGCGAUAAGUCACCAAUCUACUAACUAUCCCAUCAAAUAAGUCGAAGAUUCGUUAAACUACGAAAUCUUAUUUUGCCGUGAUGUGAUAUAUUUCCGAUGUGAAUAAAGUACCAAAUGAAUGAUUAAGUAUUCCUUUAGUUGUUGAGACAUAUCAUUCUGUAUGAAAGAUGGCCAAUGGGUUCAAGGCAUAACAUUGGUAAUGCUAUGUAUGCUUUUGUUUACCAAGGGUUUGAAUCCCUCUCUUUACGCACCUUGAAGUAAUUUACCAUUGAUGCUAAUCACAAUGUAUCAAAGAAAAGCACAUACCCUAAUUCCAAAAGUUAAAACUUUCUUUGAUAUGUAUUCUCUAUUUCCAAGUCCCCACUCGAAAAUUCUGAUUGGAGGGAAUAAAAUAACCUGGUGAGAUUUAAUUUUCCUUAAAUUGGCCCAGUAUGGGUUAGUAAAAACUUAUGAAUAAAAUCUUAUGUUCAUGAUUGACCGGGGAAACAAUUUACGAUCAAUAGGGCUCCAGUGAACCAUAGUCAAGCAUAAGUGUCAUCUUGCAAGAGAAAAAUUCCGCAUUCCCAUAGUUAUAUGUUAAUUCAUAUCGUGAGAACAUUUAGCAUUUUACCCAUGGCGAGAGUCGUGAUUAUUGUACUUUCCUAUAAUAGAUGCAAAUCAAGCAAUCAUGAGAUAAUUAGUUUUUCUUUUUUAUGCAUCUCGAGUAAUUUUUCAUAUAGAAAAAAACAAAGAAGUAAAUUUAAAUGCAAAUUUCGUCCUUUCGAGGAUUAGUAAUUCUGGUCAAUGAUUUGGGAACACCGGAUGGUUUUUUUAUGGAAUCAAUAUUCGGAAAUUUUGAACGCAAAUAAAAUUUUUCUGUUUUUUUUUUGUGUGUGCGUGUUUGGUGCUCUUUCUUUUCGGGGGCAGGGGGGGUGAUUUACAUAAUCCAACGAUGGUCUAUGCUCGUUUGAAAACGAACGGUGCAGAUAUGCCGAGCACGACAAUCGAGGGGCACUAUCAAUUUCUAGGGUUUUUUUAUACAUAUUAUAAAUUCGAACUACCAAACGUAGCGUGUAAGCCAUCGUGGUUUCUUCCUCCUCUCAUCUUGUCUCUUCCUUAUUUCCUCUCGCCGUAUCCCACCUCUCCAAAUUUCCAUGUGAACGAGAUCGAGAUCGAGGGAGAAGAACUCGAGCGGGCAGUUGAAGCCGGGCCAUGGAAAUUUUGCUGUAACCGGAGUCGAGGGCGUGUGAUCAGGGGCUGAAGUAUCGACGCCAGAGAUUAGCAACUGGACCGGAACUUCAGUCCUCCUCAUUGUACGUUGUCUUUCGGCCUCGUUAUGCAAUUGCAUGCCUGUCCGAAUUUUCUGUUGCAACUCGUGACGCUCUAUUAUAGGAUUUUUCUACUUAAAUUUCCAGAUCUUUUAUAUCUGUAAGAAACAUAAGACACUUAAAUCGUUUAAUCGGCCAAAUAUGGAACAGAAAAAAAGCAAUAAUAAUGUCUGGUCUUGUGUCUGGAGCUUUUUCCCGGAAGGCGUUCUCUAUCAAAUAAGAUAAUUAAUGUUCCCGUUGAGCAAAGAGCGAAGAUUUUUAUUGGUUUAUCAACGCCAAGUUACAUAAUUGGCUUGACUGAUGGCUUCCACUUCAAUCAUUCUCAACUCCAACUGAGGUCGAAAGCCUUUGGUCAAGCCAAGCCAUACUAGAUGCGGGCAAACUUGAUAGUUUACCGUCCAUCGUUACAAUUGAUUGGCAUUAAUAGUAAUCAAGCAAAUUGAAGAACUUGAGGGUGCAGCUGAGCCGGGGCCACGAAAUAAUGUUGAGAGAGAAUCUUAGAUGUAGCAGCAAAUUGGACAAUUACGUUGGGUUUUGGUGAGCUUGACUCAAAAUUUCACUCUUCAUGCUCACUUCACCAAAUCUUUUUUCCUUACAAAUCUCCAAUUCCGUGUCCCAUUUUUUCAUUAUGAAUCUAUGAUUUCACAUAUAGGUUCAUAUAGGCUGAAAUUUUGAGUUGGUAGAACAAUUUGCUGCAUCCGAGUCAUUCACAGAAAAACUAAGCCGGGCUUGUGUAUAAGAAGCAAACGACAGAACAAUAGCUUUUAAUCUGAAGAGCAAAAUUUGAGGAUUGUUUCCUGUCUUUUCAAAAGAAGUUCCCAGGGUCUUGCUUGUUGGUACCCAGUCACUUGAAACAUAUCUGUUCACUCUUCUGUGGGUUACAGGCGAAAUGCCGAGUGCGACAUUUAAAUUAUGGGAGCUUGUUUGGUUUCUGCCUAAUAAAUUGUUGUUGAUUUGUCUGACAUGCCAUGCCCACUGAAUAACCCAAUGCAGAGGAUUUGUCUAACAUGCCACGCCCACUGAAUGCAGAAGAGGAAGAACCCAAUACAGAGGUUCCCCAAGGUAUGUGAAUCUCCCAAUUCCCCUUUUGUAAAAGCUCGUGCAGGAUGCUUAAUUUGUCUUCUAAUCUUCACCUAAUAAUAGGGGUAUAGGCAGGACCUCAGAUUUCUGAUAGUUAUAGAAAAACACAAAAUAAACAUGAACUAAUAGGAAGAGAGGAGCUUAAGAGUCGGUCAUUGACGAUUAAUAGAUCUUUGAAAAUGGUCAGAACAAUACUCCUUAAGUAUGAAAUUUAAAUUUUGAGAAGCAAUGGCUCUCUAUCCCCUCAGAUCACCUACAUAAAGAGCAUUUGCUUUUUUAAAACAGAAGCAAAUUAUGGUUUUCAAUCUGAAGAGCCCAGUUUGAAAUCUGUCUCGCGUGUAUUUUAUAUAAGAAAGCCUCCAUCCGUUUACCCUUUCGUGGGAUGCAGGAGAAAUGCCGAGAGCAUUGGAUCCACUUCCAGUUGUUGAGGUUCUGCCUAAUAACAAGCGGAAGUGUAACUUCUGCGGGAAUGAGUACGUUGGAGACACGAAGAGGAUCAAGGCGCAGUUUGCUGGGGUAGGAGGAUGUGGAAUUCUUGGCUGUAAGGUCUUCAAUGACCGAGUGAGAUCAGAAGCACCAGAGGUGCUGAAGGGUGAAAGAGCAGUGGAAUCGAGCAAGAGACAAGGCAAUGAUGAAGGUUCAUCCAACCUUACACAGAGUUCGCAUCAGCCCUUGACUGCGGGCAGUGAAGUUGCUCGGUGUAAGACUUCAUUUGUUGCCAUGCCGUACCUGAGCUAUGGUGCAGGUUCGUCAACCUUUCUUCCAUGGGCUGAGACGAAUUUUCCCAAUCAGUCUGUUGCUGCUUUAACCAACAUACCACGCCCGCUGAAUGCCAAAGAAGGAGAACUCAAUACAGAGGUUCCACAUGGUAUGUGUGCAUCUCUAAAUUUCAUCUCUAAAUUUGGCAUACGUUGAAGCUUGUGCAGGCUGCCUUAUUUGUCUUCUAAUCUUCACCUAAGAAAAGUGAUACAGGUAUAGAGAAACUGAAAAUGGUCAGGAAUUAAUCGGACAAGAGGAGUUUUAGAGUCGGUCAUUGAUAAUCACUAGAUCUUUGAAAACGAAAAGACAAAUGUUUUGAAGUGUGGCAUUCAAAUCUUGAAAAGCCAUGGCUCUCCCUGUCCCCUCCGAUCUUCUACAUGAGCAUUGGCUUAUAUGGUUAAAUUAUUUAUGAAAGAUAAUUCCCAUGACUUUUAAUUCUAAAUCAAUUCUUUUCUAAUGAAGAGCUCAUGAUAUGGAGUCGCCAGUAUUUCACUAUCGUGACAUCAAUGCCUACAAUACAUAUUAAUUAUUGUAUCGAAUGUUGCAUGUAAUAUUUUAGUUCGAAAAAGUGAAUACAAAGUUACAAUUUUUUAUUUCCAUGAGUGUAACAUACCUAUAAAAUAUAUCUAAGGAGUACCCAAUAGUGAAUUUUCACUUAUAAUUGUGUUUAGGUGCGAGACCGCAUCUUGGACUGGUUAAGAGUCAACGAGGUACCCGUGGGCUUGCCGACGCGAAUAUGAUGUCUCUCAAAAGAAAGCUGGAAGAACUCAUCAGCAGUCGCCAAGCGGACAUGAACGAGCUGAAGUCGAAGUGGACGAGGACAGAAGAAGAAUAUUGGAGUGUGGUUCGGGCAAUCAGAGAAGGAAUAACUUUUCCACCGGAGAAAGUAGCAGAGGUGGAAGGGCUGUGCAAAGAAGUUGAACAGAUUCUUCUAGUUCCAGGAAGAUUUCGGCAAGAGGCGACGGUUAGAUGUUGCAAAACAUCUCCCUCGGUGACAAUAGAAGAAUUAGUAGGCAAAGAAACUCUGCAGAAGGUGGAUGAGAUUGUUUCCUUUAUAAUGCUGAGCAAGGAUUUCGUAAUUGGUGUUUAUGGUAUGGGCGGCGUGGGCAAGACGGCCAUUUUGAGGAAUGUCUAUAAUAGACUCCUUGAGUAUCUUGCAUUGGAUGUAUUCUGGGUUGCUGUACCUCAGGAUUUUAGUGUUUAUGCGCUACAAGAAGCGAUUGCCAAUGCGGUCGGACUAGACAAUCUUUCAAAUGAGAAGGAUGUGAAAAGAAGGGCGGGCCUAUUGUGUGGACAUCUGAAGGUGAAGAAGAGACCCGUCCUAAUUUUAGAUGGCCUUUGGAGGCACUUUGAAGUUAAGGAUGUGGGUAUUCCGGUUGGAAUGGGUAGACUAGGGUUGGUAGUGACAACUCAAUCACUAGAUGUGUGUCGUAUGAUGCUCUGUCAAAAGCAAAUGAAGAUAGAACUUCUCAAUAAGGAAGAUUCUUGGAGGUUAUUUUCAAGGACGCUUUGCUUUGCGGUAGAACAAUCUCAGGAAGUUGAACAAAUUGCAAGAUCUCUUCUUGAUAGGUGUUAUGGUCUGCCACUUGGGAUCAUUGAGAUUGCAACUCGCAUGAGAGGAAUAGAGAAAGAAGAGCAUGCUUGGAGAUGGAUGUUGCAAAAUUUAGAAGACUUAACGAUGGAGCUUGACGUGUUCAAGAGACUGCAGCUCAGUUACUUGAACUUGGGUAAUGAACAAGUGCAACAGUGUUUCCUGCAUUUCAUCCUUUGUUUUGGAAAUUACCUUUCAGCAGAUGACAGAAAGUGUUGCAUAGAGUCUUUCAUAGAUGAGGGUUUGUUAGGUGGAAUUGCCACCAGGAUUAGACUGUACGAACGGGGUAACGAAAUAUUGGGUAAAAUAGAAGGGGCUGGCCUGUUGGAUUUUGAAAAAGGGCAUUGGUGUCUACACCCAUUGACAAGGGACAUGGCAUUGCAUAUGGUGCCGAGCACAACUCACAUGUUUAAGGCCAAUAUGGGUUUGAGAGAAAUACCGGAGGACGUAUUCUGGACCGAUCGUCUAGAGAAAGUCUUUUUACAUGGCAAUGAAAUAGAAGAAAUCCCAUAUGGCGUAUCACCAAAUUGCCCUAAAUUGACGAGGCUGUCUUUGCAUAGCAAUAUCUCCUUGGGAGUCAUCCAUGGAUCUUUCUUCAGACAUCUAAAGGGGCUGACGGUUCUAGAUCUCAGCUGGACUGGAAUCACGGAAUUACCAGACUCCAUCUCUGAGUUGGAGAGCUUGGAAGCACUGUUACUGCAAGGUUGUUCCUCAUUGCGUUUUAUUCCUUAUGUAGGAAAGUUGCGGUCCCUAAGAAAGUUGGACCUCAGUGAUUGUGAAAGUCUUGGAGAAGUGCCAGAGGGCAUGGAGAUGUUGGCAAACCUGAGGUACCUCGCCCUAGAUGGCUCAGAGAUCCACACAUUACCGGAGGGAGUGUUGGGGAAGCUGGUGAACUUGCAAUAUCUUGUGAUUAAAGAGCUAAGGGUGGGAGAAGAGGUAAAAUUACCGGAGGUGGAGGAACUUUAUUGUUCUGUUUCCGAUGUGGAAAUGUUCAAUGCAUGCGUGGGGUGUCUUGAGCGAAAUGGAUCCCCAUGCUACAGGCUUGUGAUGGGUGCACCAAGCAAUAGUGUCCUUUGGUGUGGGAGUGAGACAGAGAGGUCCUUACUCAUUGAUAGUUGCGACCAUAUCGCCGUGAGUGUAGAUGGAACAAGUGGUGAUGGCUGCGCUCUGCUUCCGGAAAGUGUGCAAUCAUUGGAAUUGUCCCGGUGUCAUAAAAUGAAGAGAGUGAUGGAACGGGAGUGGCUGACCGCUCACCUUCCAAAUCUGGAGGAGAUUAUAAUCAUUAGUUGUGAGAACUUAGAGGAAAUAAUACAUGGGCCAUUGCCAAGUGAGGCCACUUGUCGCCUUAAAUAUCUUGAAGUAAAUGGAUGCAACAACAUGAAGAGGGUGCUGCUGACGCAAGACAUGGUGCUCCAUCUCCCUUUCCUCGAAGAGAUAGUAGUCAAAGGCAGCAAGGGCAUAGAGUUGAUAAUGGGCACUGUUGCCAAAAUGACGUACUUCUCCUUCCCGAAGUUAAUGAAGCUGGUUCUAUGUAAUCUUCCGGAACUGAAGAGCAUAUGUGAUGGGAUCACGAGAUGCAAUUCCCUCCAGUGGGUUUCUAUAUACAAUUGUCCAAAACUGAAGAGGAUUCCUCUGCAGCUGCCCCUGCUUGACAAUGGGCUGCCUUCUCCUCCCCCUUCUCUUCGAGAGAUUCAGAUAAAUCGGCAGAUGUGGGAGUUGCUUGAGUGGGAUCAUCCCCUUGCCCGUUCUUCACUUGAACACUUCAUCAAGUUUCUUGGUAAGUAACCCGCAAAUUUUACUUAUUUUAUCCUUUCCAUCUCCCUUGGUCCCUUGUAAGGAUCUGUUCUCCCGCAGUACGGGAAGUUCAUUUUUUUUCCAAAACUUUUAUAGCAAGUGUUAUACCACAUAACUGCUUUGAAACUAGCAAUUAGGCCUGUGCUACACACUGAUAAUUGAAUUCUAUUACUGCUUGAAAGUGCAGCAGAGUAGACAUGUUAUUAUUAGACCUUAGCGAUGUUAAAAAGUUAUUUAGAAAAAAAAAAAAAGAUCUCCCUUAACUUUGAAUGAAUAACAAUGGCAAUUGUCCUUGCUCUCUGUUUUUUUUUUUUUUUUUUUUUUUGGGCCAAGGCACUGGUAUAUUUAGAAGAUGUUUCUCACGCCGAUUUAAAAAAAAAAAAAAAAGCCAUUCUGAGUAUACAAAAUUUGUGCAUAUGCUGAUAUGCAAAUCCCUCUUUCAUAAAUGAUCGGUUUUUGUGGUCACAAAAUGAUCACGACCAAAUGAUUAGUGGCUGCAGAGUUCUCAUACGAAAAAAUUGAAAUUUAUCGUGACAUCCUUGUUGGGAAGAUGCUAAAGCCUAGUAAAAGUAAAAUUUGAUUGGGAAGUUCUACUUUAUUGGUUGGGAUGGUUUAAGAGAGCAUGUUAAAUGCUUUGUACCUUUUCUUUUUGUUGUCUUUUCUGUUUUACCUCAUCCAGUACUUCUAUUUUCAAUUUCAAGUCUUCUGUUACUUUUUAAAUUGAUCACUAUUCUUCAUGAAUACUUUUGAUGGACUUUGUAUUUUCGAUUGCAUAUUUGAACUUUUUGAAUUCCUUUCUGUUAAAUUUGAUUAAGUUCGGUUGGCCUGAGGAGUCUCUAAUUUCUUUAGUUUGUUUAUGUUCUCUCUUUAAUUCGAUUAGGUUUUAUCAUUCAAAGAAGUCUCUAAUCCCUUCAAAUUGUUUUUGGAAUAGAAAAAGAAAUGAGGGGUUAGCUAUAUCUGAAACCUCGUGAAAUCUAUGAGGGCUGAUCUUUUGGAAGUGCAAAUAUUGGACAGAAAUAAGAUGGACGUAGGUGUCAAGAAGCGAAUUGGCCACAGUUCAAGUUUUUCUAAGCUCUCUCAAAAUGCACCACAAUCUGUAUAUAGAUUUCUCAUGCAGUCAUGCGGUAUGCAAUGAUAUUGGGUAUGAGUACGAGAAAGGUCCUGGGGGAUCAAUUGCUCGCCAACUAUAGAAAAACCCCUCUCCCACUCCCUUUCUCAACUGCUUUUAGGUCCUUUAGACCCACUUUGCGAGCGACUAACAAAAGAAUAUUUCUGGUUCCAGACUGAUGAAAGCCAUGGAGGAUCCUGUUGAGUAUGAAUUGUCUUCUGAUGGCAGUGGACAUCAACCUCAACGCCAUUGCUACAUCAAUGUGCUGGAUUUAUGUUUAAAGUACCUCCGAACUUUGUGAUGACAUAUGGUUAAUUUAUGCCUUAUUUUAUAAUCUAUGAUAACUACGUCUGGUUUCUGGAGUCUUGGGUUUGUAUUAUCCCUUAUUUCUACCUCGUGAAACAUUUAUCGGUCCCUCUUUUUUUCCCCCCCCCCCCCCCCAAGCUGACUCUUAAAGAAUUGAUGUGGAUAUGAAUUUGAUUGUCUACUACUUUAAAGUAUAAUCUACUGUGGGAGGUGCUCUUGGUUUGGAGCAGACUAGUGGCUAUUUCACUUGACGCGCUUUAAUGGCAUCCGCAAUGUUGACCAACUCAGGAAUCAUGUGAGCAGCCAGCUUGUGACUAAUGCUCUCGAGAAUGUUUUCAUGCAGAAACCCAUUCUCGUCCUCUUGUUUUAGCAGGGAAAUCCUAGCACUUAAAUUCAGAACACAGAGGAAGACGCCUGACGAUAUGAACUAAACACAGGGGCGUCUUGUCACGAUGAGGUUUGUACCUGUCUCUGGCUGAGGAAAAUAUCUAAUGGACCCUUAUAAGUUUAUGGACAGAUGGUAUCUAACCGCAAAUGUUUGAUCAAAAGACUUGACGUUUCCGAGCGCCCCCCUAGACCGGGCUUCAGUCAGUUGAGUCUUGAAUAUUUAGUGCAUGGUAGUGUUAACCAUUGGUGCGAUCUCCGCAUAUGCGUAUCUCCUGCGUGUGCAACAAAGGCAGAAGCAGACUGAGUCCUGCAGAAUGAUAACGAUUAAAAGUUCUCAUUUCUUCUGUUAUUGUGGCUGUGGUGAACACCAUGGUAACGGGGCAUUAGCUUGUGGAAUGAGAGCAUAGGGCCUGGUAAAUUGAUUUUGUUUCCUAGACAUAAUUUGUAUGUGCGACUUUCAUGCUUGAGACAAAAAAGGGGUGGAGCUAAAUUGACCAACAGAUCUUCCGGAGGAUGAACUGAGCGCUAUUCUAGAUCUUAAAUUUUCAGGCUUAGGUUGGCAAUGAGAAAGUUGUAGAAAGGACAAGUACUAUGGUGAGUGGUUCCAGGUUCCGGUUUGGUUCUGUUUGAAACCUGGAACCUACCCUUGGGUAACCUACCCUUGGGUACAGGUUCCUCAUUUUUUGGAACUUGUAACCUACCUGUCAGAAUUAAGAAUCUGGAAUCUAUUCUGUCACAGAUUCCGAGGUUGGUUCCAAGUUCCAACAGGUUCUUUUUUCUUUCUUUUUUCAUUUUUAGUUUUUAAAAACAAAAAUGAACGCAGCAAUAAUAAACAAUCUUAUACCUCUUAAUCCUCACUCUUUUUUUGAGCUUAUUCUUCAAAUCAUGAUUAACAUAGAAAAAUAGCUUGAACUCAUCAUAACGGUCCGACACCUUGACAAUCCUUCAAGGAGCAAUACUCCAAAAUUGUAGAUGUCUAAUUUUGUGUGGGUUUCCAAGUUUUCAUGACUUCAGGAGCCCGAUAACCUGCACUUCUAGUUCUAGGAGGCACUGUAGGAGAGCAGAUCAGAGGAGUCAGGCCAAACUCUAAGAUACAACCUUCAAGGUAUGCUACCAAACUCUAAGACACAACCUUCAAGGUAUGCUGCCAUGGAUAAACCUACCGCCUUUGGCCGAAUGGAUGUGAGUAAUGCCUUUAGCCACUCCUAUAGAAAUCUUCACCCGCAAUGCCCAGUCCAACGGUUGUCUCCCACCUUCUGCAAAUCAUUAUCAGAAGGUAACUGUCAAAAGUGCAGCAAAUAUGAGACAACCUACACUUCUUUCGACAAACCUUCCCCGUGUAUCCCACUUCACAGUUUUCUCUACUUUACGGACAAAAGUGCUGGUCUUCCCUCCAUUGCACAAAUCAGCCCCAUUCAAAACCAGAACAAGAAUAGCCCCAACAAUAGCCACUGAACAACAAGAUGAAGAUCCCAGAACAACCAUCUUGGUCGUAUUUUGAGAUACGGAAGAACCUACGUGACACAACCCCACAAAUUCCCUUCCCUCACUAUGUAUGUACUUGGAUCACAUAAGCAUGACACUCACAUCUCAGAAAUCGACCAAAUAAAGCAGCUAAAAUGUUAGAUUAGAUAUAACAGUUAAGAGCAGAAACAACAAGAGAUUAGACCUGCGAUUGAAGUUGGAGGAGGCGAGUUUCUUCAGUGUCGAGGGUGUCGGGCGGCGUCGAGGUGGCCAAGCGGGUGUCGAGGGUGUCGAGUAGCGUCGAGGGGCCGAGAGGUGUUGAGGGGGCCGAGUGGGUGUCGAGGGCAUUGAGGGGGCCGAGCGGGCGUCGAGCAGUGUUGAGGGGCCGAGAAGUGUCGAGUGAGUGUCAAGGGCGUCGAGGGGGCUGAGCAGACGUCGAGGGCAUUGAGCAGCGUUGAGGGCCGAGAGGCGGCAAGGGGUGGCGCGAUAGCUUGUCGAGCUCAACGGCGAGACGGCUCGUCGGACGAGCGGUGGGUGGUGGUGGUGAGUAGGGCGUGGGGUGGCGGUGUGGUGGUGGGUGAAGCAGCAGCUAGCAAGAGGAAGGAAGAAGAAGAAGAAGAGGAGGAGGAGAAGAAGGGGGGGUUUCCCUCGAGAGAGGGGGAAAGAGAGAGAGAGAGAGAGAGAAGAAAAAGUUGGGGGGGGGAGGAAGUGACGUGAGGAGGAAAAAGGGGAGAAAAGAAAGAGAGAGAGAGAGAAAAAAAAAGGGAAGGGGGGAAGAAUUGGCGGAAAGGAGGGGAAAUCACGUUGGGGAAAGUGGGGGGCUAGGUUUGUUUUUUUUAUAAUUCUGACCGGUUCCAGUUCCGGUUCCAGAUCCGGUUCCGGUUUCUAUGGGAACCGGAACUGGAACCGGGAACGCCGGUUCCAGAAAAAGGGAAUCGGGAACCGGAACCGGUCCCUUUAGAACUGGGAACCGAACCCGACCUUCCGGUUCGAUUAUCCGGUUCCCCAUUCUACCCAGGAACCAUGCUCACCCCUAACAAGUACAAAUAAGGAUACCUAGAAAGUCUGUAGCUUGUUUUGUAGAGGCUCACUGGUCUACUUCCGAACAGUUUAGAGACAUUAUUGUUCGAUAGUUGCUUAGCCACCAACACAUGCCUUCUAUGAUUUAGAGUAAAGUCUUAUGAAUGUGGAUUGCUUUUGGUAGACAGCAGUAAAAGGAAUAUAGGAGAUUUAAUCAAAGUCAUCACCAUUUUGGACAUUCAAGGAGCAGAAUAUAAUAGUAAUGUUGUAUGUCAGUUUCUUGGAUUUCGUGAAACCUGUGGGCAUUUAUUCGCAAGCUAUAGCUUCUGUUGCUGAUAUUGAGCUGAAGGGGACGGUAUUAAAUGUGAAUAUAGAAGACAGAACAGUUGACAAAAAUGUGAAAAUUUUGAAUUUGGGAGGGAAAUAACCUUGCUUACAAUUGAAAAUAGACUAGGCGGGAUUCAUUCAGGCAUAGCCCCUAUAUGGAGACUGCUAUACGAAUGACAUUGUUCUUUUUUUCUUGGAAAUCAUAGUAAUGAUCAUUCCAAACUUUUCAUUAUCCAAAGGCAACUUGAUCAGUGCACAUGAAGUUAGACAAAUGAGCAAGACGUCAAUACAUUCGCAGCAUUCAAUAUCAACAAAUCCAAUUGUGUGAAAGCACAUCAGGCAUUGGAUUUCGAGAAAUUAUAGAAUGGAGCAAUGGUAGGAUAUGUUCAACGACCUUGGAACCAUCUAGGUCAAACUGAAAUUGUAUACUUUAAUUGCCACGUAAGAAGAAAGUGGAUGUUAGUCGUAGAAUAAAAAUUACGCAAAAAUUCUUGCUCUGACUUUAGUUUCGUUUGGACCAGGAGAAAUUCUAAAUUAGUGACGCAUCACUCAUCUUAAUGUACGUGCCACUGUUAAUGGCAGUCUUCUUGAUCUUGCGGGAACUUGCAAGGUGGACUUCAUGUGACCCUUUUGCCUUUCAUGACCUGAAACAAAAAUGGAUUUAAUCGUGGGGAGCACAAAAGAUCAGUUGAAGUCUUCAAUCAUAUGUAAAAAAACUCCUUUUGCCACUUGCAUUUAUUGUUUUAUCAUCUUCGUGUCAUCGUUGGAUCCUCAUCUGGAGCUAGUAUUUUGAGUUCCGACUAGUCUAUGAAAGAUGGAGAGACGUUGGUCUCUUCAGGCCAAAGAUUUGAGCUUGGCUUCUUCUCUCCAGGAAGCUGCAAGAACAGAUACUUGGGCAUUGAAACAAGAUCACUCCUCAGACAGUUGUUUGGAUUGCUAAUAGAGACAACCAACGGAUUCAAAUGGUGUUAUGACAUUCAGCCAUGCAGGGAAUCUAGUUCUUCUUAGUGGAAAAAAGUCACUACAAAUUUCAUAACUUACGUAUGGUGCUCACAUGAACGUCAUAUUUUUUUUUCCCCAAUCAGUUGGAUACCAUAACUUUCAUACGGCGGUUAGUUGAUUGUCAUAUAUAUUUACUUAGUUGAGUACCAUAUACUUUUUAUUUGAUUAGUUGAGUGCCAUAUAAUUCUUCAAUGGAUCACUUCAUAACUAUUUAAAAACGUUCACCACGAGUGCCAUGCCAUGUCAAAUUUCUGGCAUUUGGGUCAAUACUUUUUAAAAGUUAUGGCGUUUAAAUGAGUAUUGUAUGGAAGUUAUGACAUUUGUGAUAAUCUUAUCCCUCUUCUCAACUAAUCAAAUGAUUUCAAUGGGUCUUCAAAUUCAGCUCACAUUCUGAUGGUGCCUAUUAUUGGCAAAACUUUGAGUACCCAUCUGAAAUGGUCUUAGUAGAUAUGGAAUUGGGGUCGAACUUGAGCUGGAUUUAAAUGGUAUCUGACCACCUGUAAAAGUGUGGAUGACCCUAUCCCUGGUCAUUGCCACUUCAGAUUAACCACUCAGGGAUUGCCACGAUUUGAAGUGUUGAACGAUGGGUUCAUCUGAACAUAUUGCGAUCGGGAGGUGGCGUGGGAUCCAGUUUGAUGGCGUCUCGAUGCCAGUGGAUCCCAUUGUAAGGCAAACGGUGGUUUACAACCAGACGGAUGCCUACGCCGCGUACCAUCAGCCAUCAAAUGAUGAAAUCCUCACCAGAACACCAAUGUAUGGAUCUGGUUUGGUGCAAUGUUUGUGCGGAAGAAGGGAAGCUUUAGUUAGUCUAUCAUGCAAUUGCUUUCUAUUGAUCCCAUGACGCCUAUGCACUGUGUGGUUUACAAUCGUUUCUGCAAAAGUUACGGACAUUUGAGAUGCGAGUGCUUGCAAGGUUUCCUCCCAGAGCUGCCAGAAGAGUGGCAAAUGCUUUAAUUGGGCCAGUGGCUUCUUGAGAAAGUUUCCCCCAAAUUGUUCUACAGGAGAAGCACUUUUCAAACUCUCUGAUUGUAAACUACCAGAUCUGAUCAACCAUUGGUUGGCCACUGGCAUGAGCCUUAAAGAAUGCAGGGUUCAAUGCACACCGAAUUGUUCCCGUACAGCUUGUGCUAAUCGAUAUAUAUUAGUUAUUGGAUCAAAAGCUAAGCUUUUGUGGGUGCUGAAUAACUACAUAUCAUGAGUGGCGCUUCUCAUUGCAUGGUAAGGGCGCUUUAACAUUAUCAUUGGAAUUGGUCUAGGUCUUUUUUGAAAGUGCUAGUAUUACUACCUAGAGGAUGGUGAAUAGGUAUAAAGACAAAUUUGGCCAAUAAAAGCAAUAAAAGUUAUUUUCUCAAACAAGAUCUUAUUAAUAUCAGACUUCUAAGUUCAAUUCAGACUCAAAUAAGAUAUUUUGGAAUUUAGCAGGACACAGAAAAAUAUCGUAGUAACCAAAUUAAAGGAGUUAAGGAAAGAGAAAAUUGAACACAUAAUUUAUAGUGGUUCGGCUUAGAUCAAGCCUACGUCCACUCUCCCACGUUGACAGCCUUCUAACUAGAUUUCAUUAUGGAAUCAAAAGAGAAUUAUGGUGAUUUGAGUACAAUCACUCAGUGAAGAGUUUGUUUCUCUCACUAAGUCACUCCUUUGUUUUUUUUUUUGGUAAAAUUAAGAAUGUCACUCCUUUGUGUUUAUCUCUCUUUUGAGUACAAUUGCAAGCACUAUUGGUGAAGAACAAGUAGUUGGAAAGGCUUCAAACUUUGGAAUUUUAAUUCUCACACGCUAUCUCAAAUGAACCGAAUGACCUCCUUAAAUACUCCUCCAUGCCUUUCUAAUUGUUGGUACUUUCAAGAGGAAUUUCUUCCAAUCAAUCUGUUGGACAGAAUCAAUUAAGGAAAUCUUGUAGCCGUUUGAAGAUUGAGGUAAAAAUCCGAUGAUCCUAGUUGCCCAUACAAUUAGAAUCUAGGUUUUCAUAAGUAGAUGCUUCUCAAAAAGGAACUUCUCUUCGAAAUUGAUUUCAUCAAUCCAUGAUUGCUUUCAUCAAUAUAUUUAGAAAAGAUAAGUGAGAUUCUCCGCCAGAAAGCCAAUUAUGUCUUGAUCAUACUGAAUUCUAGUUGGAAGAUCAAUAAGCUUGAGUAUGAAUAUGUCUUCAUUCUAGACUGGGUUAAGUCUGGAUGGGAAAGACUUUUGAUGUAAAAAGACUUUGAUAGCAUUCCUCGAUAUAACAUAGAAGUCCAAUAUUCCUCGGAACAAGAAUAAGAAUAAGAAUAGGAGAAGAAAGGUUUUGUCAACUUCAAAACCAAAUAGGAGUUUUCUCAACAAUCUUUACCUCCACGAAGAUUCAAAACCUCAAGUCAUUCACGGAGACCUUAAAAUCAGCAACGUCUUAUUGGAUGACAAUUUAAAUCCAAAAUUUUCUGACUUCAUUGACAAGAAUUGGAAGUGAAGAAACAAAAGCAAGAACUAGAAGGAUCAUCGGCACUUGGUAAGUGCUCAUCUCAUUUUGUGACCUCCAAAGUUCAUGAGUUCUGAAACAUCGGGAGAAUUGAGACAUGAUUUGCUUGAUGCAGUGGCUAUAGGUCCCUAAGACUAUGCCUUGGAUAAAAAAUUAUCGACGAAAUCCAAUGUACUAUGUAGUGCUCUUCUUGGAAAUGGAUAGUGGCAAAAGCAAUAGAGGAUUCUGCCAUUCAAGUCACCUUCACAACGUUCUCGGACAUGUAAUGCUAUUUCUUCUUAUACUUAAUUCCUUCUGAUGUUCAAAUCAUUACAGAUUCACAUAUUGGCUUCUAGUUGCUUAUUAUGUUCGGCGACCAACCACUCAGGUUGAUCCUUCCUAGGCAUGGUUGCUGUGGAAAGAGGGCACUGCCCUGGAACUUAAGGUUGAUUCUUUAGGUAACUUUCCAUCGAAUCUCAAGUAAAGAGAUGUAUCCAGGCCAGUCAGCUGUUCAUCCAAAAAUAUCCCAGAGAGGCCAUGGGUGCGAUCCAUGGUUAUCAUGUUGGCAAAUGAAGAAGCGACAUUGCCACUGCCUAAACAGCCUGAUUUCUUCAUUGGAGGAAGUCCCACAAACUGGGUUGUGGCUUCACCAAGAGAGCUCUUGACAGAUAGCAUGGUUGCACAUCAUGCUGGUAGAAUGUCAAUAUACAUACCGUUCAUUGGAAUUGUUUGUCUCUAGGGAUGUAUUUAGGUAGGGCCAGAUUUAUCACAUAAGGGGGGUGAAGAAGUGACAAUACGGAAUCAAAGCAAAAUUAAGAUGAUAUUGCUAUAGGACAACAUUUGAUAACACUGUGCAGUGCUUAGAUCUUGGCGAUAUGUAAUAAAUCUACCACAAAAUAUAUAUAUAGGAGUUUAAGGCAUAGAAAAUAUUGCACACAACAAAUUUAUAGUGGUUCGGCUUUAACAAGCCUACAUUUGCUCGCUUGCACUAACAACCUAUCGACUGGAUUUCACUAUAAUCAAUCAAUCAUAGGUUACAAGGAUUGAGUAUUCACUACUCAAGCUCGUGUAAGAGAUUAUUCCUUCUCACACUUACAACUGUUGAGAAAAAUCCUAUUAGGUUUUGAAGUUGACAAAACUUUCUUGUUCUUGUUCUUGUUCUUAUUCUGAAGAAUACUAGACUUUUGAGCUAUAUCGUAAACUUUUGUCAAAAUCUAUAUAUUACAUAAGUCUUUCCCACUCUGAUGUGAUUCAGAUUGAAACCAAGUCCAGAACAAAGAUAUAAUCAGACUCAAGAUUAUUGAUCUUAUGACAAGGAUUUAGUAUGAACGUUAUAGAGAUUUAUCCUUAAUAUCUAGCUUUCUGGUGAAGAAUCUCACUUACCUUUUAUAAAUACAUUGAUGGAAUUAAUCAUGAAUUGAUGUCAAUAUUAAUGUGUAACUAAUAAUUUUAGAAAAAAAAGACGUCACCGAUGAGGCAUGCGGUUUGACAAUAUUCGCCAGCAUGACUUGACUAAUACAUAAGAAUAUAUACGUGCGUCCAUAUGUAUGUGUUUAUAUUAUAUAGUCAAUUCUAGCAUGAAAGCUAAGUUGCGCUGCCGUAUGAACGUGGCGAAAGAGGACCACACAAGGUGUCCAUCCAAAGUCCAAGAAAGGGAGGAAUAGAAAAGUCUAAAAUGGCGGAUCAUAAGUUGGGAUUUACACGACCGAGAUGAGCACAGAGGACUUAUCAAAUUCGAUUCCAGAGGAGGGAUCGCAUUGCCAGUCAACGUCCUAGUUCUUUCGCAUUUUAGGAAACUUAUCUAGGGGAUUUUGCAUCGAUUUGACUUGACCAAAUAUAGAAGACAAAAAAGACUCACGCGGGUGGUGAAUUCUUUUUCCACUUUAAAAUUGUUCAGAUCUCGUCAUACGAAGCUUUUCUUCACGCAAUCGAAUCGUCGAAUUAUAUAUUUGUUGUAGUGGAAUCCCACCGCAUGAAGUACUUUGAAUUCGAGUAUCUAUUGGAAGAUCAUGUGGUAAAAUAAAUACAUAAUGUACUUCACCCUUCGUAGGUAGGAUUCUAGUCUAGUUGUAACUCACAACUUGAUGUGGUCCUAAAAUUGAUUUUUUUUGUUUGUUUGUUUGGAUAGUCCUAAGAUUAGUUGACAUUGAUUUUAGGUGCUUUCGCUCUUAGCGUUUGAGCAUAUUACAUGGUGAAUAAUUCUUUUUUAUUGAUGCAAUUCGGUCAUCCUAUGAAAACUUAAUAAAUAUUCUAGCGUAAUAAUUAAUUAUCACGUUGGGCAUUUUCAGCAGCACGUAUAUUCUAAAAAGUCAAAGCAAAAGAGUUGUCGAUAAGGAUCACCUAUCCUUAUCAAUUGUCACGACAACAAUAGGGGUAAUGACCCUCACCAAACUUAGGCAAGUCAUGCAAGUUUGCCACAGAAUCCUGGAAACAAUGUUUAGCAAGGGUUGGCUCCUUGCUGCCGCUUGCGGGACGAGGAAAGGUGGCCUGCACGCGACAGCGAGGGUUCUUGGACCCUCCUCAAUGGUUGAGGGUGCUCGUCCCGCCUAGCCUUCCCCCUCAUCUCUCUCCAACCUUUUUUCCUGAUGAUUUUUUUUUUUUUGUUUAUGUAUCGUUAUUGCACAUCAACAAUUAGCCCGGGGAAUGCGCGGGUCCUAAGUUGAACGUGAAUUGUUGCGUCGAUGUUUUCGUCAAACGGGAGAACUAACAAAAAAACAAUAAAUAGGGAAGUCGCUAUUUCCAUCCCAUUCAUUCAUUGCCCACUGAAAAAAGGAAUUCCCCUCUAAUUGGCUAUCUUGUCUCCCAAACCUUUGUUGGACAUCUUAUCUGGCGAUGUGGACGGAUUCACUUUUGAGUUAAUGCAAUUUCCCUUUUACAAAAAAAAAAAAAAGAGGCCGAAAUAUCUUUUAAAUUAAAAAAAAAAUCAAUUUUUGGGCACUUAAUAAGAAACCGUUUGAGGUAAGCGUGCCAUUUUCCACGUACUAUUAUUUUUUUAAUGAAUACUUUGGAAAUCGACAUAUUAAAAUAUUGAAUAUAAUCAAGAAGGGCCACUAUCCAAUUCACAAGACCUAGUGGUCUUAGGCUUAGGGUCGGUCUAGAUUCACUCGUGAUUUGGAACCUAUUCUAUUGGAACCAAUUUGCUUAUUGUUGGAACUUGAAACUAACCAUGUCAAUCAGCUCCCAGGUUUAGGAUUGAUUUUGGGGUCUAUCGAGGAAUCAACCAAUUUCUUUUUUCUCUUUUUAAUUAUUUUUCCUUUUGUUUGUUUCAUUUUUAGUUAAGCAAAAUGAAAAUGAACACAAUAACAAAAAUCCAAUAAUUCAUAAAAGAUAAACAAAUAGAAUAAAAUAAACAAUAAAAGUUGUAAAACACGUAAACACGGUUUACCAGUUUCUAGUUCCCAGUUUGGUUUUUCGGUUCGUUCCUUAACUAGGAAUUGAGAAUCGAACCUUACAGUAUUAACUCUAUUUUAAAAGAUAUCAAGAAUCAAAUUAGUAAUCACAAGAAUCUAAUCGGACUGAUAAAUUAUGGCCGGUUUGGUUUAAUUUCAGUUCUAUCUUGAACUUAUGCUCACCUAAUUCUAUUAUGUGUUAGCGGCUUAAACGCAGAAAGGGCAUCGAUCCUUCCUGCCAACAAUAAAUGGCGAAAAGAUACCCCUACUGUUCCGCGAAAUUAUAAAAUUACCAAUCAGAGGGAGCUCGCCGCCGCCGCCCCAGUUCUCUCGCAGCCGCAGUUCGCGAUUUCGUCGGAGUCCAGCGCUCGUCGCCGGCGGUCAAUUCGCCAUUUUACCACCAACGCCUCCUCCAUCACUCCAUCCUCCCAAGCUCUCUCUCUCUCUCUCUCUGCGCGCGCUGUUCAGGUGAUUUUCGUCUGGCGGACUCGGACCUUUUUCAAGCUUCGUUUCUUGCACACUUGUGAAGCUGGGAUUUUUACCGUGAAAUUGCGCGAAUUUUUCGUCUACUUGCGAACCUGGAAAUGCUGAGGUUCAGCUUUAACGUGGGUAAUCGUUAGUAAUCAACCUGGGGAUCUAAUUCGAGCUGAUUUUGCUGAAUAUAAUCAAAUUGAAUUAGUAAACGUGAGUGUUCUUCUGGGUUUUAACUAUUAUCUGCUCUUACAGUAUUUGCAGCGAACCUGUUGGUGAGAAUGUGCUGGUUGGCCAAUGCUUCAGACGCCAAUGUAAUGGCUGGCUGCAACCCAUGUAUAAUUUGGAUUUGCUGAUGAUCAUUUGGGUAAGAAUAAUGAAGGAUGUCAUGGUUUCUUUGGUCUCAAAACUGGGAUCUGUGCUUUGGAUAGUGAAUACUUCUCACAACAAAUGACUGGAAGACAUCAUUUUUCUUGUGAGGGGAAGUCGAAUUUCAUACCGCCUAGAAGGGUCGCCUACACUGAUCCCCCUGCCCUUUCUAACCGAUAAAGAAGAGCCGAAAAGACCGAAGCUCUUGUUCUUUUUAGUUUCAGUGUCCUUGCCUCUAUUAUCUCUCAAACGGUUGUUCUGUUCUGGAGAUAAAUAAUUGAAAUAUCAGAACCGGUUGUUCUGUCAUUUUUUGCUCGGUCACUGGUUGGCCGUCACGAAACAUUAUUUAGCUUUAAAGUAAUUAAGUCCUCGAUAGGAGAAAUAUGCAACAUAAAGCGGGAAACAUGAAUUAUUAUCGGAGGUGAGUAGUCAAUUGCCAUGGUCCAUGGAAAUCAAUUAUAUAUACAAACAUCCGAAGUUUCCAAGCUGACCCGGUUUCUGCUUACAAGGAUCGGUUAGAAUAGGUUAUUCUCCUGUUUAGUCCCGGCCACCUAAGCCAUGGGUUUCGACCGCAAUUCUUGAUUGUUUUAUAAUGCUGCUAAACUUGCUUUUUUUUUUUUUUACCACCAAUGAGCUUUAUCAGUUUUUCUUUCUGCAGGCAUUUCUUUGUAAUCCUUCACAUUUCAUCCAUGCGAUUGCUGGCUUAAGUUUGCGGAAUUGAUCCUCUAGCAAAAUAGUAGUUGGGAAUGGGAAUUGAAGAACCGAAAGACCCUUUGAAGGGGAUGGACUGGAAAGCCAUCGGCAGUGACCUACAGAAGGAUCCUUCUGCUAAACCAAUUGUAAAGAAGCGAUUGCCAAGAAAGAUUAAGCAAAUACCAGGCUAUUAUUUUCUUUCUUGAAGAUCUUUGGCCUGAACUAUUGCCUUUUAUGGGGCAUGCAUUGCUGGUGGAAUUGGUGCUGGAAUGCUGUUGGAGAUCUGGAUAAACAAGAAAAUCAAAGGUGAGUGAUAUUUCAUUGAUUUCUUCGUUUGUCUCACAGAUGCUCAGAUCAGACAAUCGUGGUUCUAAUUUCCAUAAUUUCAUUGAAAAUAAUAAUUUCACCUACUAAGGAACAUAUCCUGCCAUGAUGUGGAAUCUAGCCUGGAGCCUUUUUCUGUCAAAUGACCUCAUCUCUUCGCACUUGAUGUAUGGAACAUAGCUGGUUUACUCUUGAAUGAUUUAAGUCUUAAACAGGAAGAAUACAUGGGAGGCAAAGCUGAAAAUGGACAGUGAUAAGGACUUGCUGUUAGGGAAAUCCCUUAUGAUGUUUUGAAGAUGACAAAAUAAAUCAAAGGCUACUAACAUGUUUGAUGGUUGAGUAAUAGACCAUGCAGAUGAUAGAACAUGUAAAGGAUUUUAUCAAAGUCAGAAGACGACCAGAAGACUGAAUGUAACAUAUGUCCAGAGUAUAUUUUGAAGAUUUCCAGACUUCUGUGUCAAAGUCUGAAGACUGCCAGACUCAAGACUCAAAGUCUGAAAAUUGCCAGACUUUAGUGUCAAAGUCUGUUCUACAUCAGAAGUCUGUCAACUCUGACUAAUUCCAGACUGAACGUGAAUGAUGAACCAGAAGACAGACUCUAUGCUGAAGCUGAAUUGGGUACAGACCUUAAAGCUAAAUCUGUUUUGAAGCAGAUAUGUUCAGACCCAGAUUGUAAAGUCUACAGACUCAUAUUGUAAAGUCUACAGACUCAGACUUUACAUCCAGAUUCGAUGAAUCGUAACUCAAGCCCAAUCAUACAAUAGCUAGUGAUCUGGUUUGGAUUCCACAUCAAGAUUGAUUUGAUUGAUUCAAUCUAAUUGAUUGACGAUUGGAUCUUGAAGACAAGAACUUUCUACACGAAGAAGCUUUACUUAUGGAAACCAAGAUUUCGUUUGUAUGGGCGAUCGGAAUCAAUUUGGGAUUUUACCUUUGUCACUCAACGGCUACCAAAUCUUCUAGAUACAGAGCUAUCCAAUGGGUAUAUUGGAAGACGAUUCUCCGGGAUACUGUCCAACGGCUAGUUUGGAAGUGAAGGAGUAUUUAAGGAGAUGAAGGACCGAUGAGCAAGUAAGAGACGGAGCGUAGAAUUUAUAAUUCCAAAGUCUGAGCGACUUUCGAUCAUAUACUUGUCUCUUGAGAGCUUAAACGUUUGUAAUCGUGAGAGAAAUACCAAAAGAGUGACUUAGUGAGAUAGUGUGAUCUACUACUAAGUGUUUGCACUCGAAGUUGUAAUCUCUUAUUGAUUGCAUAGUGGAAUCAAGCCAAGAAGGCUGUUAGCGUGGGAGAGUGGACGUAGGCUUAGAUUAAGCCGAACCACUAUAAAUCUUGUGUUUUUAUUCUCUUCCCUAACUCCUUUAUUUUACUUGAAGUUUAUUUUAUUCCGCAUAUAUUUGCCAAGGUUUAUUUUAUACACCUAUUCACCCCCUCUAGGUGUUCAUACUAGCACUCUCACUUGCUUUCUUUUUGAUGCAUUGCAUAAGAAUAUGCAUCACUAGAAUUGAGAAUUUCCAAGACUUUGCAGUUCUUUUAGAAUACAUAGCGUCGGUACGAUUCUCAUCAGGCAGAUCUCCUACCUUCGCAUGCUCGAAGUACUCUCGGCCGUUAGAUGUUAACAACUUUCUAUGGACAUGUACUUGUGUACUUCAUAUUAUGUUUUAAUCUAUACAGCAAAUUCGUCAUGCCAUUUGCACAAUGGAAUAAUUGCUUUAUUACUUCCACAUUGCAGAGGAUGGAGGCAUGAUUUGGGAGUUCAACAAGUAGAGGCAGUGUGGCGUGCUUGCUUGGCAAAUUAAUCAACACGUUUGAGAUCAUGCAUGAAGUGUAAAGUGGUUUUACCUCACGUGAAGCUGAUCUUGUGGAGUGUCACGCCCCGAUCCUCCGAGCGCGCGAACAUCCCACUCUGGUCGAUAGAAAUGCGACUUCCUAGGACACGUCGCCGACCCAUUCAAUUUUAUUUACACAUGCGGAAGCGAAACAAAUCCCCUGACAACAUUUAACUUGGGAUAGAAAAGCAGGCAAUCAAUCACAACCAAACAAGCUUUCUAUAAACACAUAGGUUUAUAUACAACACUGGAUGGUCUACAAAAUAGAUAGGCUCAACAACUAGGGAACUGUCCUAUGACCAACUUGUCAGACACGUUCACCGAUUCUUCAGCCUCCACCUUCCGAACUCUAGGACUUCCGGUCCUCCACGACCGUCAUCUAGGGACCUGAAAUAUUAUCCCACAACCGGGAUGAGACUACGUCUCAGCGAGUCCUACCAUCUAAAACUCAAUUAGGAAGAAAAUAUGCCUCAAGGCGCCCUAGCCACACAAAUAGGAUGGAGGACUUACCUCUCCUUAGUCCCUUUCCUGCACGUCAGUACAAUUCAUAUUCAAACAAUGCUCGCACAAGCUGAAUCUACCGACAUACCCAUCGGUCUAUCAAUUCAGUCAAUCCAAUUGAUAUCAUACGAUCCACAUAUCUAUCAAUUCAUAUCAUCUAUAAACAAUACCAUCUAUUCAUCCAUCAAUACAAUUAUGGCUCGCACAAGCUGAAUUGGAUGCAAUGCUCUCACAAGCUGAUAUAGAUGGUAGCUCGCACAAGCUGAUAUAUGGAUCGUUGCUCUCACAAGCUGAUAAACGAUCAUUGCUCUCAUAAGCUGAUAAAUGAUCAUUGCUCUCACAAGCUGACAUACAGUGCUCACACAAGCUGACAAUGAUGCUCACACAAGGUGAUACAUAUAUAAACCAAUUGCUCGCCAAAGCUGAUAAUUCAAUAAUAAACCAACUCAUACCUCAAUUCAAUCGAUUCAAACUGGUCAUACAAACCAAUUACGGUGCUAAAAGCUAACACCGGGUAUUUUCAAGUUAAAUACCACAACUUCAUGAAUUUCACACAAUUCCACACUUUUGGAAUUAUUCACCAUAAUCAUCAAUCACUCAAUUUCUCAAUUUAAACAUACAAUUAACACAAACCGACCGCACUGCUGCGAUCAGCGCGAAAUUCUAACAACCGGCCAUCCCGGCAUAAUUUUUGAAAUUAUUAAAUAAUUAAAUUUAAUACCGAAAAUUAAAUAAUUAAAUAUUAUAUUAUAAUAAUAUAAAAUAAUAAAAUAAUAUUUAAAAAUUCGAAAUAAUUAUUUAAUUAAAAAUAAUUAAUUAGGGCUUAAAUAAGAUUACACUAAUUUAAUCAUACAAUUAGCCCUAAUUAAACAUCCAUUAAACUAAGCAUACAACUAAUCUAAUUUACAUUAAAAUAAUCUAAUUUAAUCACAUAAACCUAAUUAGACUAAUCUAAACACCCCUAAGCGUCAUUAACUCACUAAGCAAGAAUUAGAGGAUAAACUCACCCGAUUAACGAUCCGAACGGCUCAAAACGACAAGGAUGACGCGAGGGUCGAUAGUCUCCAAGGCGGGCCUAGCUUCCGGGGUCGGGAAGCCGGCCAAAACGGGCCAAAUAGCCGCUGUCAUACCCAUUUUUCUGCUCACUGAUCACUGCUGGUUGAGGCCGGGAAAGGGCGGAUCCGGGGCUGGUUGGGGUCGGGAAUGGGCGGAGGAGCUGAACCGGACCUAGGCGGGGCUUCACGGUGGUCGGAGGUGAGCUGGACGGCUCCGGCUGAGCUUCCCCAGAUCUGGAAUGGCUGCUGGAACAGAGGAGUCGGCGAGAUGGAGACUGAGACGGACGGAACAGCGGUGAGGCGACGGCGUGCAACGGUGGCGACUCCAGCUGCGGUGCACGGCGGUGAGGCCUCAACGGCGAGCUGGCUUCGUCGGUCUUCAACUUGCAGGGCGUCGAACAGCAAGGGGGCGGAGGAGAGAGGCAGAGAUGCGCGCGGGUAGGGUGACGGCGUCGCGGUGGCGCGCGGAGCCGAGCGGCGCUGCCGGCUGCUGUUCCGACUGCUGGCUACGACGGAAGAGGGAGCUGCUGAGGUCUUCUUCGACUUGCUGGGUUCUUCGCACAGCAAGAACACGAGGGGGAGAGAGGCAGCGACAGGAGAGAAGGGGAGGAAGAAGAAGACCGGUUCUCUCUCUCUCUCUCUCUCUCUCUCUCUCUCUCUCUCUCUCUCUCUCUCUCUCUUUCUCUUUCUCUUUCUCUCUCUCUUUGGCCCCACCAUGACCUCAUGGAUGAUGUCACACCCCACUAUCUCCCACAACCUUAAUCCAAUGGGUUCAAUUUCAUUUUCCGCCGUGGCAUAAAAUCUUGUACACUUAAUUCCAUCAAUUCUCAAUCAAUUCCAUCCAAUUGAAGCUCAAUUAAAUUAACCCAUGUGUCCUCGACCUUCUCAUGACAUUUCCCCAUCAAAUGAUCCAACUUGCAUCCCGAAGAUUCGAUUAAAAAUGGCCCUCUGACAAUCCCGAACAUAAACGGCAUUACUUUGCUUUUCCGCCAAAAAUCUCGGUUUGUAGAAAAAUCUUUUGAGAUGAGUCGACAUUCCUAAAGUGAAUUGUGACUUGACAGAAUUUCCAAUUUCAGUAAUUGGGUUCAAUUUCACGGUUAAAUUCAAUCUGGCGCGACUUUAGCGCGUCCUAAUCUACCGGGUAGCUUUUAGGAAUUUUCUGUGCAAUUGACCUGUGGUUGAUUAUUCUCAAGCCACAAAGUGCAUCUUCGACACAUUGACGACUCUUGGUUGUCAUAGAAAUCUUAAGGUUUCAAAUACGGACACAGGGUACCAAAACGACAGAGAAAUCGGUCUAGUGCCGAUCAACAAGAAUUAUGCAAUUAGGUGGAAUCACCCACACUAAAUUACAUGGUUCUGUUGAAUUGACCUAUCUCCGAUCUCUAAUCGGUCUGUGCCGUAAUGACCCUUGCAGAUUAGUACGGUCGAGCAGUCGGUUCCUGGUCGAAUUCUCAAGUCUAUUGCGUUUAGAUUCCUUAACGGCUUCACCUGAUAGACUAGUUAUCUCGUGAGUGAUCAGCUCAGAGAAGAAAGCUAUAGAUGCGAAGAUGAAAUGCCCGACUUAUUUAAUUGAAACCAGAAUUGGAAAAUUGGGAUGUCACAUGGAGUGUACAUGGAUUCAUGGGAUAUGGGUUUCUUCUGAGUAAUAAAAAUCAAUAACAGGAUCGUGAGAUCCACCAAAGAAGUCGGUACUUUAUGCAGACCAAGUUAUUAUGGAUUGCAUUCGUUCUCAAUUCAGUAUUUUUUUGCCAAUCAUCGUAACACCUCGAGUAUGACAACAUGGAGGGAUUGCGAAAUGAUAANNNNNNNNNNNNNNNNNNNNNNNNNNNNNNNNNNNNNNNNNNNNNNNNNNNNNNNNNNNNNNNNNNNNNNNNNNNNNNNNNNNNNNNNNNNNNNNNNNNNNNNNNNNNNNNNNNNNNNNNNNNNNNNNNNNNNNNNNNNNNNNNNNNNNNNNNNNNNNNNNNNNNNNNNNNNNNNNNNNNNNNNNNNNNNNNNNNNNNNNNNNNNNNNNNNNNNNNNNNNNNNNNNNNNNNNNNNNNNNNNNNNNNNNNNNNNNNNNNNNNNNNNNNNNNNNNNNNNNNNNNNNNNNNNNNNNNNNNNNNNNNNNNNNNNNNNNNNNNNNNNNNNNNNNNNNNNNNNNNNNNNNNNNNNNNNNNNNNNNNNNNNNNNNNNNNNNNNNNNNNNNNNNNNNNNNNNNNNNNNNNNNNNNNNNNNNNNNNNNNNNNNNNNNNNNNNNNNNNNNNNNNNNNNNNNNNNNNNNNNNNNNNNNNNNNNNNNNNNNNNNNNNNNNNNNNNNNNNNNNNNNNNNNNNNNNNNNNNNNNNNNNNNNNNNNNNNNNNNNNNNNNNNNNNNNNNNNNNNNNNNNNNNNNNNNNNNNNNNNNNNNNNNNNNNNNNNNNNNNNNNNNNNNNNNNNNNNNNNNNNNNNNNNNNNNNNNNNNNNNNNNNNNNNNNNNNNNNNNNNNNNNNNNNNNNNNNNNNNNNNNNNNNNNNNNNNNNNNNNNNNNNNNNNNNNNNNNNNNNNNNNNNNNNNNNNNNNNNNNNNNNNNNNNNNNNNNNNNNNNNNNNNNNNNNNNNNNNNNNNNNNNNNNNNNNNNNNNNNNNNNNNNNNNNNNNNNNNNNNNNNNNNNNNNNNNNNNNNNNNNNNNNNNNNNNNNNNNNNNNNNNNNNNNNNNNNNNNNNNNNNNNNNNNNNNNNNNNNNNNNNNNNNNNNNNNNNNNNNNNNNNNNNNNNNNNNNNNNNNNNNNNNNNNNNNNNNNNNNNNNNNNNNNNNNNNNNNNNNNNNNNNNNNNNNNNNNNNNNNNNNNNNNNNNNNNNNNNNNNNNNNNNNNNNNNNNNNNNNNNNNNNNNNNNNNNNNNNNNNNNNNNNNNNNNNNNNNNNNNNNNNNNNNNNNNNNNNNNNNNNNNNNNNNNNNNNNNNNNNNNNNNNNNNNNNNNNNNNNNNNNNNNNNNNNNNNNNNNNNNNNNNNNNNNNNNNNNNNNNNNNNNNNNNNNNNNNNNNNNNNNNNNNNNNNNNNNNNNNNNNNNNNNNNNNNNNNNNNNNNNNNNNNNNNNNNNNNNNNNNNNNNNNNNNNNNNNNNNNNNNNNNNNNNNNNNNNNNNNNNNNNNNNNNNNNNNNNNNNNNNNNNNNNNNNNNNNNNNNNNNNNNNNNNNNNNNNNNNNNNNNNNNNNNNNNNNNNNNNNNNNNNNNNNNNNNNNNNNNNNNNNNNNNNNNNNNNNNNNNNNNNNNNNNNNNNNNNNNNNNNNNNNNNNNNNNNNNNNNNNNNNNNNNNNNNNNNNNNNNNNNNNNNNNNNNNNNNNNNNNNNNNNNNNNNNNNNNNNNNNNNNNNNNNNNNNNNNNNNNNNNNNNNNNNNNNNNNNNNNNNNNNNNNNNNNNNNNNNNNNNNNNNNNNNNNNNNNNNNNNNNNNNNNNNNNNNNNNNNNNNNNNNNNNNNNNNNNNNNNNNNNNNNNNNNNNNNNNNNNNNNNNNNNNNNNNNNNNNNNNNNNNNNNNNNNNNNNNNNNNNNNNNNNNNNNNNNNNNNNNNNNNNNNNNNNNNNNNNNNNNNNNNNNNNNNNNNNNNNNNNNNNNNNNNNNNNNNNNNNNNNNNNNNNNNNNNNNNNNNNNNNNNNNNNNNNNNNNNNNNNNNNNNNNNNNNNNNNNNNNNNNNNNNNNNNNNNNNNNNNNNNNNNNNNNNNNNNNNNNNNNNNNNNNNNNNNNNNNNNNNNNNNNNNNNNNNNNNNNNNNNNNNNNNNNNNNNNNNNNNNNNNNNNNNNNNNNNNNNNNNNNNNNNNNNNNNNNNNNNNNNNNNNNNNNNNNNNNNNNNNNNNNNNNNNNNNNNNNAUCGGUGGCCAUUCGGACGGAUUUGUUGAUCAUGCAAUUAAAUAUAGUGUGUACGGUUUGAAGGUUGAUAACUUAUUUCGGGAGACUAGAAUACGAAUCGUCAACGAGCUUCAUAUGAAUAAGCGAGUUUCCUUUUUUUGAGAAAAGAAGAUGCUAUUAUUACAGAGUUCGAUAAGUCGAGUGCGUAAAGUCGAUUAUGUAAACAAGUUGGGAAUUUGAUGAGUUGUGUGUACGGCGAAAAAGCAUGAUUGAGCUUUCGCAUCUAGUUAAGAAGGCUUACCUGAAUGAUCAGAAAAGAUUUAGUACCUAAUUGGGUUUUUGUACGUGAGCUUUUCAGCUAAUCAAAAGAGAUCCCGUACCAAAUUGGAUUGUCAGUUAAAUUUUCAGCUUUAGUUACGGAUUAUGAAAUUUCUUGAGUCCUGUCAAGUCGAGUGUGUGCAUUUGCAGAUGCGAGAGCUUGAUAAAUAGGGAGUACGAGGAAGGAACUGGGUCGAGAUUGCUCAUCUUGUCACAAGGCCAAAUGACUAAAUUAAAAACCAAGGUUGGACCAGGAAGCGUUUGUGGUCUGGAUUAGACGACUUUGAGAAUGGACAUUAGUACAUUACCUUGCUAGCGGACUUCUGAUUUUGUAUGGAUCAAUGUGGAGCAAGGCAUGAGAUUUUGGGCCUUUUGAGGAAGGCCUCUUGGCUCACGAAUAACGUGAACCAUAUCUACUUAUCAAGUAUGGAACCUUGGUCUAUCUGACUAUAUUCUGUUGAGGUUAUCUCGAACUUUGGCGGUUGGUUUAUAAAUGUAAGAGAAACUCUCUCCUAUAUGGUUGUUGGGUCUUGACUUGUUUGUUACCUAAGAGAUACGGGUUGUUGCUACUCUAACAUGAUGGGAAGAUGGAUCUCAAGCAUGAAUAUCAAGGACAAGAUGGUUGUUGGGUCUUGACUUGUUGGUUACCUAAGAGAUACGGGUUGUUGCUACUCUAACAUGACGGGAAGAUGGAUCUCAAGCAUGAAUAUCAAGGACAAGAAGAAGAAAUUAUGGUCGUCAUUGAAAGACUGUGAAUAAGGUGUUAAAAAAUUUCAACAUGGAUAAGGCAAAACCGAUCAAAACUCCUCUAACAAGCCACUUCAAACUUUUCGAGGAUAUGUGUUAGAAUACUCAAAGAUGAGAUGGUGGUAGUCAAAUAUGCAUCCACAUUGGAAAGUUUGAUGUAUAUCAUGAUGAGCAUAGGACCAAACAUUGCAUGAUAGUGGGAGUUGUGAGUUAAUAUUUGCAAAACCAGGCAAAGAGCAUUGGAGUGCACUACAAUAGAUAUUAAGAUAUCUAAGGCAUACCCUCUCACAAACAAACGCUGCUGCCAAUUCAAUGGAAGUCUAGUCUCCUUCAACACAGUCAUCACUUAGCAAGUAUGCAAUUCAGUGGAAACAGAGAGACAUUUAAUGGACAUUAACAAGUCAUGAAGAAAGAGCCUUCUGUAAUGGAGAUUUCUCUCACCAAAUCAUAAAAAUUGCGAGAAAUUAACCAUCUCUUAAGCAUCAGCCAUCAACACUUUUACAAACAAAACAAAAGUGUACACACAGCUGCAUUUUGCAGAGACAAAAAAGGCUAGCGAAAAGCACAAAUGCACCUACUGUGAAGCUCGGCCAGGAUGAACAGGUGCCCCGAGAGUCCAGCAAAAUUCUCCUCUGCAAAUGCGAGUAAUACAUCGUCUGAGCUACUCCACAACACCUCACAGGCACGUUUUUCGGUGAUUACAUCUUCGAAAUCAAACACAAAAAAUCGAUUAGCAGACCUAAUCAGUGUUCUCGAGACUGCAAACAAUUUUUUUUUUUGGUAAAGGACUGCAAACAAAUUUUGGUGUCUCCUAAAAUUGAUAAAUAAAAUCCUUGCCAAAUCUCUAUGUAAGGAAAAAAAUUGGCAGGGUACCUACCAAGGGCUAGCUAAGUAUGUACAUUGUUCUUAUAUCCACAGGAAAGACGACCCUUGCCCAUAAUUCUCCGGGCACCGGCAAUGUUACUAAUCAAGUAGCUAGCAAAAUUUACCGCUGCACUAAGCUCCAUUAACUUCAAACAGAGUGUCUUAGUCAAGUACAAUAAUCUGCUGUCAUCCUUCCACUCAUUAAUUGUAGAUCCUGAGCCUGUUCACGUGUUAGUACCGUGUAAAGUGGCGACGGUCCAUUAGUAGAGUGCUCAUGGAAGCUAUUUAAAUUGCUAGGCAAACUGAUUUUUAUUAUUGUCAAAGUUAACUCUUAGUAUGGCCAUUGACUUUGGGUCAUCAUUUAGAGGAUAAAAAAUGACCAUGAAAUUCCCAAAUGCUAAAUCAGGCUUUAGGAACAGAUCCACCAGCAAAUCACUGCUUGCCCCGAUAUUUCUCUACACAAACUUUCUUGGAGUGGUUUCCCAAUCCCUGGCAGCAUGAGAAAUGUGUGAAGCUUCUUUCAAGCCACUCAAGAAGGCACCAUGCAUGCUGGCUGGGUAUUGCCUACUUGUGGCUUCCCCAGCAAAAAAAAGGCCGGUUCCCCACGCUCUCUCCAAGUACGUCAUAAUCUCUACCAGACGAGUUCACUCUUGCAAGGGAAUAUGAACCAUAAGAAAGAGGAUCACUUCCCCAUCUUGUACAUAUAGAUUGUAUAACCUCCGUGCAUGGCAAUCAACCUACGUAACAUAAAAAGGAAGGCAAUUUACUUGCCUGAGGUCCUAUUUAUUCAGUCGAAAUUAGAACCCAAAAAUCUGGAUGUCACACCGAGGCUGCGGCUGGCAUUGUGUGUAUUUGACAUUGAACGAGUGAAAGAAAGAAUGACAAUUCAUGGUUGAAUCAGCAUACAAAACCACAUCAAAAUCAAAUGGUUAUGACGACAAAGAAAGAGUUGAAGCUCCAAUUUCACUUUCGGGUGCAAAAACUAGAGAUACUUGCCCUUCUUUGUCAUGAGCCUAUUAAGUUUACAUCAAAUGUCGAAUCUACACAAGAUGCAGUUGCGGAAAAUCUCCUUUCUAGUCUUCUUACGAAUCUGACCUUUGUUUAAAAACUCAAGGUCGGACGAUCAUUUUUAAUGGUAAAGGUUUUGAUGAAUUCAUUCGAGAAGUGCAUUUGAUCAGUAGCUAAUUACUAUAUUUAUCAGAUGAUUUCUUUUGGGGAUCAUGUUAUUCAGGUGUUUAAUCAAACAAGAAAGAGAUCCUAGAAUAGGAAGGUUUCAAAUUUCACUACUUCGAUAAGUCACCAAUCUACUAAGUAUCCCAUCAAAUAAUUCGAAGAUUUGUUAAACUACGAAACCUCAUUUUGCUGUGAUGUGAUAUAUUUCCGAUGUGAAUAGAAAAGUACCAAAUGAAUGAUUAAGUAUUCCUUCAGCUGUUGAGACAUAUCAUUAUGUAUGAAAGAUGGCCAAUGAGUUCAAGGCAUAACAUUGGUAAUACUAUGUAAGCUUUUGUUUACCAAGGGUUUGAAUCCCUCUCUUUACACACCUUGAAGUAAUUUCCCAUUGAUACUAAUCACAAUGUAUCAAAGAAAAACACAUACCCUAAUUCCAAAAGUUAAAACUUUCUUUGAUAUGUAUCCCCUAUUUCCAAGUCCCCACUUGAAAAUUCUGGCUUGAAGAAAUAAAAUAACCUGGCGCAAUUUAAUUUUCCUUAAAUCGACGUAUUAUGGGUUAGUGGCAACUUAUGAAUAAAAUCUUAUGUUCAUGAUUGACUGGGAAACGAUUUGCGAUUGAUAGGGCUCGGGUGAAUCAUAGCCAAGCAUAAGCGUCAUCUUGCAAGAGAAAUCGUUCGUGUUCCCAUGGCCAUAUGUUAACUCAUAUCAUGAGAACAUUUAGCAUUUUACCCAUGGCGAGGGUCGUGAUAAUUGUACUUUCCUAUAAUAGAUGCAAGUCAAGCAAUCAUGAGAUAAUUAGUUUUUUUUUUUUUAUGCAUCUCGAGUAAUUUUUCAUAUAGAAAAAAAAAAGAAGUAAAAUUAAAUGCAAAUUUCGUCCUUUUGAGGAUUAGUAAUUCUGGUCAAUGAUUUGGGAACAACGGAUGGUUUUUUUAAUGGAAUCAAUUUUCGGAAAUUUUGAACGGAAAAUUUUUAUUUUUAUUUUUAUUUUUGUGUUUGGUGCUCUUUCUUUUCGCGGGGGGAGGGGGGGGGGUAAUUUACAUAAUCCAAUGAUGGUCUGUGCUCCUUUGAAAACGAACGGUGCAGAUGUGCUGAGUGCGAAAAUUUUAGGGUUUUUUAUACCUAGUAGAAAUUCGAACGACCAAACGUAACCUGUAAGCCACUGUGAUUUCUUCCUCCUCUCAUCUUGCCUCUUCCUUAUUUCCUCUCGCCGUAUCCCACCUCUCCAAAUUUCCAUGUGAACGAGAUCGAGAUCGAGGGAGAAGAACUCGAGCGGGCAGUUGAAGCCGGGCCAUGGAAAUUUUGCUGUAACCGGAGUCGAGGGCGUGUGAUCAGGGGCUGAAGUAUCGACGCCAGAGAUUAGCAACUGGACCGGAACUUCAGUCCUCCUCAUUGUACGUUGUCUUUUGGCCUCGUUAUGCAAUUGCAUGCCUGUCUGAAUUUUCUGUUGCAACUCGUGACGCUCUAUUAUAGGAUUUUUCUACUUAAAUUUCCAGAUCUUUUAUAUCUGUAAGAAACAUAAGACACUUAAAUCGUUUAAUCGGCCAAAUAUGGAACAGAAAAAAAGCAAUAAUAAUGUCUGGUCUUGUGUCUGGAGCUUUUUCCCGGAAGGCGUUCUCUAUCAAAUAAGAUAAUUACUGUUCCCGUUGAGCAAAGAGCGAAGAUUUUUAUUGGUUUAUCAACGCCAAGUUACAUAAUUGGCUUGACUGAUGGCUUCCACUUCAAUCGUUCUCAACUCCAACUGAGGUCGAAAGCCUUUGGUCAAGCCAAGCCAUACUAGAUGCGGGCAAACUGGAUAGUUUACCGUCCAUCGUUACAAUUGAUUGGCAUUAAUAGAAAUCAAGCAAAUUGAAGAACUUGAGGGUGCAGCUGAGCCGGGGCCACGAAAUAAUGUUGAGAGAGAAUCUUAGAUGUAGCAGCAAAUUGGACAAUUACGUUGGGUUUUGGUGAGCUUGACUCAAAAUUUCACUCUUCAUGCUCACUUCACCAAAUCUUUUUUCCUUACAAAUCUCCAAUUCCGUGUCCCAUUUUUUCAUUAUGAAUCUAUGAUUUCACAUAUAGGUUCAUAUAGGCUGAAAUUUUGAGUUGGUAGAACAAUUUGCUGCAUCCGAGUCAUUCACAGAAAAACUAAGCCGGGCUUGUGUAUAAGAAGCAAACGACAGAACAAUAGCUUUUAAUCUGAAGAGCAAAAUUUGAGGAUUGUUUCCUGUCUUUUCAAAAGAAGUUCCCAGGGUCUUGCUUGUUGGUACCCAGUCACUUGAAACAUAUCUGUUCACUCUUCUGUGGGUUACAGGCGAAAUGCCGAGUGCGACAUUUAAAUUAUGGGAGCUUGUUGAGUUUCUGCCUAAUAAAUUGUUGUUGAUUUGUCUGACAUGCCAUGCCCACUGAAUAACCCAAUGCAGAGGAUUUGUCUAACAUGCCACGCCCACUGAAUGCAGAAGAGGAAGAACCCAAUACAGAGGUUCCCCAAGGUAUGUGCAUCUCCCAAUUCCGCUUUUGUAAAAGCUCGUGCAGGAUGCUUAAUUUGUCUUCUAAUCUUCACCUAAUAAUAGGGGUAUAGGCAGGACCUCAGAUUUCUGAUAGUUAUAGAAAAAUACAAAAUAAACAUGAACUAAUAGGAAGAGAGGAGCUUAAGAGUUGGUCAUUGACGAUUAAUAGAUCUUUGAAAAUGGUCAGAACAAUAAUCCUUAAGUAUGAAAUUUAAAUUUUGAAAAGCAAUGGCUCUCUAUCCCCUCAGAUCACCUACAUAAAGAGCAUUUGCUUUUUUAAAACAGAAGCAAAUUAUGGUUUUCAAUCUGAAGAGCCCAGUUUGAAAUCUGUCUCCCGUGUACUUUAUAUAAGAAAGCCUCCAUCCGUUUACCCUUUCGUGGGAUGCAGGGGAAAUGCCGAGAGCAUUGGAUCCACUUUCAGUUGUUGAGGUUCUGCCUAAUAACAAGCGGAAGUGUAACUUCUGCGGGAAUGAGUACGUUGGAGACAUGAAGAGGAUCAAGGCGCAGUUUGCUGGGGUAGGAGGAUGUGGAAUUCUUGGCUGUAAGGUCUUGAAUGACCGAGUGAGACCAGAAGCACCAGAGGUGCUGCAGGAUGAAAGAGCAGUGGAAUCGAGCAAGAGACAAGGCAAUGAAGAAGGUUCAUCCAACCUUACACAGAGUUCGCAUCAGCCCUUGACUGCGGGCAGUGAAGUUGCUCGGUGUAAGACUUCAUUUGUUGCCAUGCCGUACCUGAGCUAUGGUGCAGGUUUGUCAACCUUUCUUCCAUCGGCUGAGACGAAUUUUCCCAAUCAGUCUGUUGCUGCUUUAACCAACAUACCACGCCUGCGGAAUGCCAAAGAGGGAGAACUCAAUACAGAGGUUCCACAUGGUAUGUGUGCAUCUCUAAAUUUCAUCUCUAAAUUUGGCAUACGUUGAAGCUUGUGCAGGCCGCCUUAUUUGUCUUCUAAUCUUCACCUAAGAAAAGUGAUACAGGUAUAGAGAAACUGAAAAUGGUCAGGAAUUAAUAGGACAAGAGGAGUUUUAGAGUCGGCCAUUGAUAAUUACUAGAUCUUUGAAAACGAAAAGACAAAUGUUUUGAAGUGUGGCAUUCAAAUCUUGAAAAGCCAUGGCUCUCCCUGUCCCCUCCGAUCUUCUACAUGAGCAUUGGCUUAUAUGGUUAAAUUAUUUAUGAAAGAUAAUUCCCACGACUUUUAAUUUUAAAUCAAUUCUUUUCUAAUGAAGAGCUCAUGAUAUGGAGUCGCCAGUAUUUCACUAUCGUGACAUCAAUGGCUACAAUACAUAUUAAUUAUUGUAUCGAAUGUUGCAUGUAAUAUUUUUGUUCGAAAAAGUGAAUACAAAGUUACACUUUUUUUAUUUCCAUGAGUGUAACAUACCUAUAAAAUAUAUCUAAGGAGUACCCAAUACUGAAUUUUCACUUAUAAUUGUGUUUAGGUGCGAGACCGCAUCUUGGACUGGCUAAGAGUCAACGAGGUACCCGUGGGCUUGCCGACGCGAAUAUGAUGUCUCUCAAAAGAAAGCUGGAAGAACUCAUCAGUAGUCGCCAAGCAGACAUGAACAAGCUAAAGUCAAAGUGGAUGAGGAUAGAAGAGCAAUAUGGGAGUGUAGUGCGGGCAAUUAGAGAAGGAAUAUCUUUUCCACCGGAGAAAGUAGCAGAGGUGGAAGGGUUGAGAAAAGAAGUUGAACAGAUUCUUCUGGUUCCAGGAAGAUUUCGGCAAGAGGCGAUGGCACUUAGAUUUAGGGAAACAUCUCCCUUGUUGACAAUAGAAAAAUUAUUAGGCAAAGAAACUCGACGGAAGGUGAAUGAGAUGUUUUUCACUAUAUUGCGGAAUGAGUCUUUCAUACUCGGUGUUUAUGGUAUGGGUGGAGUGGGCAAGAUGGCCAUUUUGAAGCAUGUCUAUAUUAGUCUACUUGCUUAUCUUCCGUCAUAUGUAUUCUGGAUUGCUGUACCUCAGGAUUUUAGUGUUUAUGCGCUACAAGAAGAGAUUGCCAAUGCGGUUGGACUAGACAAUCUUUCAAAUGAGAAGGAUGUGAAGAGAAGGGUGGGCCUAUUGUAUGGACAUCUGAAUUCAAAGAAGGGAUGCAUCCUAAUUUUAGAUGGCCUUUGGAAGCCCUUUGAAGUUAAGGAUGUGGGUAUUCCAGUUGAAACGGGCAAACUAAAGUUGAUAGUGACAACUCGAUCACCAGAUGUGUGUCGUAUGAUGCUUUGUCAAAAGCAAAUUAAGAUAGAGCUUCUCGAUAUGGAAGAUUCUUGGAGGUUAUUUUUAAAGACGCUUUGCUUUGCAGGAGAACUCCCUCGGGAAGUUGAACAAAUUGCAAGGUCUCUUCUUGAUAGGUGUUGUGGUCUACCACUUGGGAUCAUUGAGAUUGCAACUCGCAUGAGAGGGGUAGAGAAAGAGCGUGACUGGAGAGACAUGUUGGGAAAUUUAGAAGAGUCCAGAAUGGAGCUUGACGUGUUCAAGAGUCUGCAGCUUAGUUACUUGAAUUUGGGUAAUGAACAAGUGCAACAGUGUUUCCUGCAUUCAAUGCUUUGUUCUGGAAAUCUCCUUUCAGAAGCUGACAGAGAGUAUUUGAUAGAGUCUUUUAUAGAAGAAGGUUUGUUAGGUGGAAUUGCCACCAGACAAGGACUAUACAAUCAGGGUAACGAUAUAUUGGAUAAAUUAGAAGGGGCCGGGUUGUUGGAUCCUGAAAAAGGGCAUCGGUAUCUACACCCGUUGACAAGGGACAUGGCAUUGCAUGUAGUGCGGAGCACAACUCACAUGGUUAAGGCCUAUAUGGGGUUGAAAGAAAUACCGGAGGAAGUAUUCUGGACUGAUCGUCUAGAGAAAGUCUUUUUACAAGGCAAUAAAAUAGAAGAAAUGCCAUACAACCUAUCACCAAAUUGCCCUAAACUGACGCGGCUGUCUUUGUAUAACAAUUCGACCUUGGGAGACAUCCAUGAAUCUUUCUUCAUACAUCUAAAGGGGCUGACGGUUCUAGAUCUGGGCCGCACUGGAAUCAGAAAAUUACCGGACUCCAUCUCCCAGUUGGAGAGCUUGGAAGCACUGUUACUGCAAAGUUGUUUCGCAUUAUGCUUUAUUCCUUAUGUUGGAAAGUUGGGAUCCCUAAGAAAGUUGGACCUCAAAGGGUGCGAAAGUCUUGAAGAAGUGCCAGAGGGUAUGGAGAUGUUGGCAAACCUGAGGUACCUCGCCCUAGAUGGCACAGAGAUAGAGACAUUACCGGAGGGAGUGUUGGGGAAGCUGGUGAAUUUGCAAUAUCUCACGAUUAAAAAGCUAAGGGCAGGAGAAGAGGUAAAAUUACCGAAGGUGGAGGAACUUCAUUGUUCUGUUUCCAAUGUGGAAACGUUCAAUGCAUGUGUGGGGUCUCUCGAGCGAAAUAGUUGCCAACAGUACAGGCUCGUGAUGGGUGCACCAGAAAAUUUCAGCCUUUGGUGUGGGAGGAAGAGUGAGAGGUCUUUACUCAUUGAUAGUUGCAACCAUAUUGCUGCGAGUAUAGAUGGAACAAGUGGUGAUGGCUACGCUCUGCUUCCAGAAAGUGUGCAAUCAUUGGAAUUGUCCGGGUGUCAUGAAAUGAAGAGAGUGAUGGAAUGGGAGUGGCCGACCACUCUCCUUCCAAAUCUGAAGGAGAUUAUAACGAAGAGUUGUGAGAACUUAGAGGAGAUAAUACGUGGCCCAUUGCCGAGCGGAGCCACUUGUUGCCUUACAUAUCUUGAAGUAAAUUGUUGCAACAACAUGAAGAGGGUGCUGCUGACGCAAGACAUGGUGCUCCACCUCCCUUUCCUCCAAGAGAUAUUAGUCAAAGACUGCAAGGGCAUAGAGGUGAUAAUGGACACUGUUGCCAAAAUGACGCACUUUUCCUUCCCGAAGUUAAUGAACCUUGGUCUAUGUAAUCUUCCGGAGCUGAAGAGCAUAUGCGAUGGGACCACGAGAUGCAAUUCCCUCCAGUUGAUAUCUAUUGACAAUUGUCCAAAACUGAAGGUGAUUCCUCUGCAGCUGCCUGUGCUUGACAAUGGGCUCCCUUCUCCUCCCCCUUCUCUUCAAGAGAUUUGGAUAAAUCGGCAGACGUGGGAGUCGCUGGAGUGGGAUCAUCCCCUUGCCCGUUCUACACUUGAACACUUCAUCGAGUUUCUUGGUAAGUCGCGCACAAAUUUUACUUCUUUUAUCCUUUCCAUCUCCCUUGGUCCCUUCUACGGAUUGGUUCUCCCGCAGUAUGGGUUGCUUAUUUUAUUCCUAACUUUUAUAGUGAGUGUUAUACCUCAUAACUGCUCAGAAACUAGCAAUUAGGCCUGUGCUACACACUGAUAAGUGAAUUCCACUACAGCUUGGAAGUGCAGCAUAGUAGUCAUGUUAUUAUUAAACCUUAGUUGUUUAAAAAACUUUGAAUAAAUAACAAUGCUUCUAGUCCUCGCUCUCUCCCUCUUUAUUUAUUUAUUUAUUUAUUUAUUUUGGGGGGGAUUUAAAAGAUUUUCUUACACCGGUUUUCUAAAAACAGGCCAUUCUGAGUAUACAAAAUUUUGCAUAUGCUGAUAUGCAAAUCCCUCUGUUAUAAGAGAGCAGUUUUUGUGGUCACAAAACGAUCACGACAUAGAGAUAAGAAAUGAUUAGUGGCUGCAGAAUUCUCGUACAAUAAAAUUGAAAUUCAUCAUGACAUCCUUGUCGGAAGGAUGCUAAAGCCUAGUAAAAGUAGAAUUUGAUUGGGAAUUUUCUACUUUAUUGGUUGGGAUAGUUUCAGAGAGCAUGUUAAAUGCCUUUUACGUUUCCUUUUUGUUGUCUUUUCUAUUUUACCUCAUUCGGUACUUCUAUUUGCACUUUCAAGUCCCUUUUUACUUUUUAAAUUGAUCACUAUUCUUCGGGAGUACUUUUCAUGGACUUUGUAUUUCCGAUUGCAUAUUUGAACUUAUUGAAUUUCUGUAUGUUUAAUUUGAUUGGGUUAGGUUGGCCGGAGGAGUCUCUUAUUUCUUUAGAUUGUUUACAUUCUCUCUUUAAUUUGAUCAAAGAAGUCCUCUAAUCCCUUUGAAUUAUUCUUGGAGGAGAGAAAUAAAUGAGGGGCUAGCUAUAUCUAGAACCUUGUGAAAUCUAUGGGGGCUGGUCUUUCGGAAGCACAAAUAUUGGACAGAAAUAAGAUCGGCGUAGGUGUCAACAAGCGAAUUGGCCAGAGUUCAAGUUUUUCUAAGCUCUCUCAAAAUGCACCGCAAUCUGUAUAUAGAUUUCUCGUGAAUAGUCAUGCGGUACACAAUGAUAUUGGGUAUGAGUACGAGAAAGGACCUUGGGCAUCAGUUGCUCGCCAACUACAGAAAAACGCCUCUCCCACUCCCUUUCUCAACUGAUUUUGGGUUCUUCGGACCCACUUUGCGAGCGACUAACAAAAGAAUAUUUCUGCCCCCAGACUGAUGAAGCCGUGGUGGAUCCCAUUGAGUAUGAAUCGUCUUCUGAUGGCAGUGGACAUCAACCUCAAAGCCAUUGCUACAUCAUCCUGCUCGAUUGAUGUUUAAAGUACCUCUGAACCUUACGAUGACAUAUGCUUAAUUUAUGCCUUAUUUUAUAAUCUAUGUUAACUACGUCUUGUUUCUGGAUUCUUCAGUUUGUAUUAUCCCUUAAUUCUACCUCGUGAAACAUUUAUCUUUCCAUCCCCCCCCCCCACAUCCCCCGGGCCCUUCUUCCUCCUCCGACGACGAAACCUAUAUAGAAAUGUUCUGGAAAUGAAUUUGAUGGUCUACUACUUAAGUCAAUCUAAUGUGGAAGUGUCUUUGGUUGAGAGCAGACUAAUGGCUAUUUUCAUUCGACACGCCUUUAAUGGCAUCCGCAAUGUUGACGGCUCUAAAAAUCAUCUGAGCAUUCAAACUGGUGACUAAUGCUUUCGAGAAGGUUCNNNNNNNNNNNNNNNNNNNNNNNNNNNNNNNNNNNNNNNNNNNNNNNNNNNNNNNNNNNNNNNNNNNNNNNNNNNNNNNNNNNNNNNNNNNNNNNNNNNNCUCCCCAUGUGCGUAUUUCCAGCCUGCGCAAAGAAGGCAGAAGCAGACGGGAAUGAUGACGGAAUGACCAUUGGUGCGAUCUCCCCACGGAAUGAUGACGAUCAGAAAUUCUGAUUUUUGUGUUAUUGUUGAUGUGGUGAACACCAUGGUAACCGGGGAUUAGCUUGUGGACUAAGAGCGUAGGGCCUGGUAAAUUGAUUUUGUGUCCGAGACAUAAUUUGUCUGCGCGAGUUUCAUGCUUGAGACAAAAAGGGAAUGAGCUGCUAAAUCGACCAACGGAUCAUCCGGAGGAUGGGCUGGUACUUCACUGAAAUAGUGUAAUUGUCUCGGGAAUUGCAUGAUUUCCCUAUAUCCACGAAGAGUCUAUACUGAAAAAGUCAUUCACAAGGACCUGAAAACAGGCAGUGUACUUUCUGGGCGCUAUUCUGAAUCUUAAAUAUUUAGACUUCGGAUUGGCAACGGGAACGAAGCAGAAAGGACAAGUACAAAUAAUGAUACUUAGAAAGUCUGCAGCUUGUUCUUAGAAGAUCACUGGUAAACUUUAGGACAGUUUUGAGACAUGACCGUUCGAUAGGGGCUUUUGCUGCCAACAUAUGCCUUGGGUGAUUUAGAGUGAAAUCUGAUGAUUGUGGAUUUGGAUUGCUUUUGUUAGAGAUAGUAGUAAAAAGAAGUAGGAAAUUUAAUUAAAGUCAUCACCGUAACCAUUUUGGACAUUCAAGGAGAUUGUUCUUUCUUCUGGUUUGUUAGUUUCUUUGAUUUUGUUAACCCUUGGGGAUUUAUUUUCAAGCUAUAGCUUCUGGUGCUGAUAUUGAGCUGAAUGGGACGGGAUUAAAUGCGAAUAUAGAAGAAAGAACGGUCGACAGAAAUGUGGAAACUUGGAAUCUGGAAGGGAAAUAACCUUGUUUGUAAUGAAAAAACAGACUAAGCGGUCUUCAUUCAGACAUAGCCUUUAUAUGAAGACAAGGAAUGACAUUGUUCUUUCUUUCUUGGAAAUCAUAGUAAUAAUGAUUCCAAAAUUUGCAUUAUCAAAAGACAAACUUUACGAGCACAUAUGAAGUCAGACAAAUGAGCAAUCUAUACAUUCGCAGCGUUCAAUAUCGUUUGCAACAAAUCCGAUUGUACGAAAGCGCAUCAUGUCACGGACCAAGGAACGUCACGUCAUCAAUCCAAAGGGGCUCAUCAAGACCAUUAGUUUGUAAGGGGAUUUAUUCUUUGCCCUCGGAUUAGUUCGACGGGGAUUGAUGAUCUCAACCAUUAGAUGAGAUCAAUCUCCACCGUUUGACUAAUGUGACGAGGGUCAACAUCCUUCACAAUCAGAUUAAGCACAUUUCUACCAUUGAAUCGAUUAGACGAGAAUUGAUAUCCCUAUCGUUAGAUAAUGUAGAAGACCAACGGUUUGUGAUUAGAGGACUUUUGUAUAAAUAGGGGAGCCCUCUCUCUAUUUGUGUCAUCAACUUCAUUUGAGUAUUACAAGUAUCUCUAGAGCUUCUUUCUCUACUUUCUCUCUCUAGAAAUUCUCUUCAUUGAGUGCGAGUGUGACAUCCAGAUUUUCGGGUUUUAAUUUGACUGGAUAAUUAGGAUCCUGUCUCAUCGCUCGUCAAUUUAUUGACGGGCCCGAAAUUUCAAUAAAGAAAUUAUCGGAAGAAAAUCUGAAGACCAAAAGAAAAUAGAAAGGGAAAGAGAAAAGAAAAGAAAAGAAAAGAAAAGAAAAAUAAUACCAUGUGGUAUUAUAUUAGUAUUUCUUUUCUCUCCCUCUCUCUUCUUUUCUUUCUUUUUCUUUUUCUCUCUUUCUCUCUCUCUUCUCUCCCCUUUUCUUCCGUGCGGACAGCCCCCUCCCCACGCCAACUCUCUCUUUCUCUCUCCCUUUGACCAUUCAACCUUUUCUCUUCUUCUCUCUCCUCUCUCUUCUCCCCCACGUGACCUUCUUCUUCUUCUUCAUUCUUCUUUGUGCGAACCAGACCAAAACCAGCAAAGAAGAGCAGCAGCUCGCCGAGGACCACCGUCGCCCGUCCCGCCGCCGCACCGGAGCCGAACCGCCCGCGACGCCGCCCGCACAACGCCGCGCGUUCCGCCGGCCAUCCCUCGCGCCCAGGCGUGCUCCCCCGCGCGAUCCAGCUGCUGCCCAUCCUCUGUCCAGCUCUGUUCGGCCACGAUCCGGCCACCUCCGGCCACCGUGGGCCACCGCUCGGCCUCGCCAAGCCACCACCCGCUCUCCCGACCUCUUGCCGCCCCCAACCCUCUCUCUUUCUUGCUGUUUUGUGGCCGAACCAGCAAACCCACGGAGUGGGUAUCCAGCUGUUCGUGGGCCAUUUUGGGCCGUUUCCCGGCCCCGAACCCGAGGCCCGCUUUGGGAAGAAUUGUUCCUCGCGCCGCCGCCGUCGGAUUGAUCCGAUUUGCGCGCGAUUUGGUGAGUAAUCUCACUAAUCCUGGAUUAGUUGGCUAAUUAUGCUUAAGGUUGGUUUAGUUUUAAUUAAUUAUGUUUAGGUUGUUAGAUUAGAAUAAAUUAGCAAUUAUUAGUCAAUUGUGAUGUGAUUUAGAUAAAUUGAUUGUGCAAUUAACAAGUAGACGUGGUCUACUAUUUAUUGGAAGUAUCUCGGGAAUUUUCCAACCCCUAAUUGGGCUUCAAUUUGGCAAUUCGGGCCUAAGUGAGAUUUUUGGGUAUUUAAAUAUUAAUUUUCGGAAUUAAAUUAAAUAAUUAUUUAUUUUCCGAAAAUUCAAGGGAGAUGGUUUGUGACCGGAAAAUUAUGCUGGUGACCGUGGUCAAGUCCGUUUAUUUAAUUGGGCUUUAAAUUGAGUUAAAUCGAAUUUUUAAUACUAAUUAUUUAAUUUUCGAAAUUUAUUAAUUAAUUAAUUAUUUUCCGAAAAUUCAACUGGGAUGGCCCGUGACCGGAAAAUUAUGCUGAUGACCGUGGUGAAGUCCGUUUAUUUAAUUGGGCCUUAUUUUGAGCUAAACGGAAUUUUUAAUGUUUAAUAAUUAAUUUUCGAAAUUAAUUAAUAAUUAAUUAUUUUUCGGAAAUUAAGAUUUAGAUGGCCGACGACCGAAAUCUCGUGCUGAUUGUAGUGGUGCAGUCUGUUUAUUUAUUUGAGCUUUGAAUUGUGCCAAAUUAAAUUGAAUGUGGAAUUUAGGAUAUAUUCCUAAAUGGUUGUGGUUAAUUAUUUCAUUGAGAAACCAUUGAAUCUUGCAAGUGGUCGAGUGGGACCGUAAAGCCAUUAAAUAUUGAAUGUUGUCGAGUGGUGGACUGUGUCUUCCACCUUUGCUUAAGAUGUGAUCUGAGGACCGUAGUUCGUAAUUGAUGAUUGAGAUGGAAUAAUCGAAUUUACCUAGAAUGGUCCGUCUGACAUGUAAUCGACUAGAUCGAUUGAUCAUUGCUUUGAUUUGAUGUCGUGAAUUGAUUGACUGAAUGGAAAUGACCGUGAGUGGUCUUAUUGACUUGUAAUUGACUAGGUCGAUUUGAUCGAUGCUUCGAUCGGUGAUAUGAUUGCUUGGGUGCCUAUUAUGAAUUGUACUGACUUGCAGGUGGGAUCUGAUGCUAAGGUACGUCCUCUGCCCUGUGCGUGUUUAGGCAGCCUAUAGUAUAAUGGUUUACUAAUUGGGCUUAGUGGGGUAGAACUCGCUGAGACGUAGUCUCAUCCCAGUUUGGGGAAAAACAUUUCAGGACCCGAUAAGGAGCUGAGGAGGAGAAGUCUGGGAAGGAGAUCUUGGAGGUGAAACUUAAAGAGAAGGAUUUUUGGAAGAAGAAGAUAAUCCCGAGAGGGGCCUUGAGUAUGGCCUGGAUGGGCUGAGAAUCUAUCUUCUUUUGAGAAUUUCUUUUGAAGUGAAUAGUUAAGAAUUGGUUUGUGUUUUGCAUAAAAGUUUGGUUAUAAAUUUCAAUAUGAAAAAUAUGGCCCUGCUUUUCUAUCCCAUCGUUUUAUUGUCUGGGGAUUUUAACUGCUUCCGCAUGUGCUUAAUAAACUAAAGGGUCGGCGAUACUUGUCCUGGGAUAUCGCAUUAUAAAAUCGACCAAGUGAGAAGGAUGUGUGCGUGCCCGAGGAUCGGGGCGUGACAGCGAGAGUGUGAGUGAGAGCAAGGCUUACUUAGACUUGACUAGGCGAUUCAGAACUCUAAGUGCCUUCGCGAUCAAAAGAAUCGUCUUGUGACAAUCGCGCAUUGAAUUCCAAGAAAAUAUAGAAUGGAGUGAUAGUAGGACUUGAUCAAUGACCUCGGAACCAUCUAGGUCAAACUUAAAUUGUAUAUUUUGAUUGCUAAAUCAGAAGAAGGUUGAUGUUAGUCGUAGAAAAAAAAAAUAUGCAGAAAUUCUUGAUCUGACUUUAGUCUCUAGACUAGAAGAGAUUCUAAAAUAGUGACACAUAGCUCGUCUUAAUGUACACGCCACUAUUAAUGGUAAUCUUCUUGAUCUUGUAGGAACCUGAAGAUAGACUUCAUCUUAACCUUCUGCCUUCCCUGAUUUGAAAUAAAAAUGGAUUUAAUUAUGAGGAGCACAAAAGAUUGGUUGAAGUCUUCAAUCAAAUGCGAAAAAUGCCAUUAGCGACAUUCCGCCUUUUCAGCAACUGCUGUGUCGUUAUCGUGAUAAAAUGACGUCAUAUUGCUUGAUGGUGAUAAUUCAUUUUUACUUUUCCUUUUUGGAUUAUUAUUAUGGGAAAUGGAUGUGGAACGUUAACAGACACAAACUCCUCAUCCACUGCUAUCUCCCUUCUUCUCUGAUAUUUUCCCACACUUUCUCGCUCUCUUUCCCUUUUCCUCCCUUCCCUUUUAAGUUCUUCAUCCAUUGUCGACACGCGACUCCAUAGCUGGGUUCUGCACGGCCUGGCAGGAUGUCAACUGUACCAUGGAUCUCUUUGUGUAUGGUUCCCUAUCGUUCCAUUUCUCUUCUGCACAAGAGAUUUAGACCCUGCUUUUGCAUGUGCAUGGCCGAGCGGGCGUGGUGAGGUAGAUAAGGGAAGAAAAAGAAGUACCGUACAGUCAUCCGAGUGCUGACCGAGCCAAGUUGAAAAUAUAGGCUUGCAGGCUUUUGAAUGGGCUCUGGCCUGAGCCAUGAUAGCUUCUGUGAAGCUAGUUGCAAAUUGUUUCACGUAUACAUGUCAGUAUACGUGAAACAAAUAGGUGCUACUUGAAUCGUUCACUUUUUCAUAUUUUACCUGGAUUUCUGAUGUUUUUAACUGCAAAGAAUCACAAAAUAGCGCACACUAAUUUCCAUCUAUUUUGAUCCUUUUUUUCUCCAUGGUUCUAAGAAACCUAUUGUGAGUUGCCACAUUUUUCUUAGGCAAGUGAGUGGACAAACUUAGAUUGAAACAACUAGUCUUCCCCUCCAUUUCAUUAAUUAAUAUCUGUCUUCAAGUCACCAAAAUACAAAUCAUCCUCCUUCCAUUUUAUUUAAAUGUCACUUUGCAUCCUUUAUUUCUAAAUUAUCAAUAUUUUGCACCUCGAGUUAAAGCUAGAGGAGAAAAACUCCUGCUUUGUCCUUGGCUGCCACCCGCUCUCUCGUAAGUUAAGAUAAAGUGCGUUUGAAUAUUAUAAUGGAUUGAUCUCUCGAGGGACCAUAGAAGCUCCAAGCCCAGAGGACGACAAGGCAAAAUUUUUCCUCAAAUAGUGUCACAUGUGUUGCCACAUCAUUAACUAACUAAAUCGUAAUAAGCAUAUGGCUGUGCAAUCUAAUGUUCUUUUCUUCUUCUUUUUUCAUUAUUUAACACGCGAAUGAGAGAGGAAUUAUCGUAAAGAAGGUGAGAGAAUUGAGAAUAGAAUACAAGGUUUGGUUGAGCUACGCAACUAGCCGCCUUCCAAUUGAUCACACCAUCUAUCCUUAUUGUAUAACGCUACUACCAACUCGUCCACACGAAAUUCUUGGAACCAUAAAUUGUUCUGGCAAAAUCGAAUGAGAAACGAUUCCACCUCCUCAAAAUCACUAGGACACAAGCAAUUCCUUUGUUAAUGACCUGUUUAGUCAUUUUCUUGUUUUCGUCCCAGCUAAACCACUACAUAGUGGUAGGUAUGUAAUAUGAACAAUCCUGUUAACUUUUAGGUUCUUCUUUUUAAGAUUUUUUUUUAAUAGUGAAUUUUUACUUUCUUGCUAAAAAUUCAAAUAUUAUAUAAAUCUAAAAAGUUUUGAAAAAGUAUAUUCAAAUCUGGUUAUUACCAGAGAGUACGUCACUCUCUUGUGAGGGAGGAUAAGUCCCUCUUUGAGAGCGAAAUACUCUCUAGUUAUCAGGAGAGAGGAUGUCCCUCUCCGGUCAUUAUGAGAGAGCGACAUACUCUCUCUAGUUAUUAUGGGAGAGGAUGUCCCUCUCUGGUCAUUAUGAGAGGGUGACAUGUCACCUACCAUAUGAUGGAUGAUUUUUAUUGUUUAAUGACCAUGUCGGAUGCCUUACUUGGUGUUGACUGUCGCGACCAAAUUUUUUGGGUGUGAACCACCUAAGGUUUGGCUAAUGGAUUGUUAUGCCUAGGCCUAACUUGGGCUCUCCCAAACAUAUGUCAAUUUGUGACUUAUGUUCAGAUUCUUAACAUGAAGAUAGAUUUUAUUUAAAAGUCGUCACUAAUCUAUUUUUGGUGGGUCGAUUAGAAACCCAAGUAAAGUAACGGGAGUUUUACCUUACUCCUACGAACUAGAGACUAUGGGUACGAAGACUUUGUUACACUAGAUUUCUCUAAUACCCUUUCGCUACCAUUCUUUUAUUUUCAAAAAUAUUUUUGCAAGCAACUUAAAUUGAUUUUAAAUUUAUUUCCCUAACAUGUGAGGUGAUCAUGCGGGUGCGCAAUCCACCAAUUUAACACCUAGAUAAACAAUGAAUAAAUUGCAAAAAAAACUUACCUCAAAGCAACGAAAGCAUCUGCAAUAUUAGAUUAGAAUCCACAUCAACAACUCUAAAUAUGAUUUCUAAUUAACACGCAAUUUCUUUUUUUGUUUUUACUUAAUGAGAAUCAUGCAAUAUACAAUGCAAUAUAACUAAAUGACCUAAUUCUAAUGACAUGCAAUUUCUAAUUAAAUUGACCUAAUAACAAUCUUUAAAUGACGUUCAUUUCAUGAAUCUAAUCCUAAUGACAUGCAUAUGAUAUUUUUUCUUUUUUUCUUAAAGAAUGCAAUUCAUCAUAUGAAAUAAAACUAAUUUAUUCUAAGACAUUUUUUGUUUUUUUUAAAGAAAUUCUGAAUUAGAUAAAAUGUGAAAAUUAUCUAGCUAGAUUAAGAUCCUAUUCAAUUUGUAUUAGGAAUUAGGCUAAGCCAAAUCCUAAUUUAAACUAAAAUAUUAUCUCAACCCAAAUAAUUAUAAGGUGCAAUCUAUUUAAGAAAAUACCUAAACUUAUAAUAAAUUAAGAAAAAUAUUAUCUAGAAUUAAACUAAGUGCAAUUUUACCCUAAUAUGCAAUGACAUACAAAAAGAUGCCCUAACUCUACAUGACAUAUGCAUGAUGAUUUUUUUUUUUUUUUGUUUUUUUGUUUAUUAAUUUCGAAAUUAAUAAUUGCCAAAUAAUUAAACAAUGCAAUCCAAGUAAAAAAAAUAGCAACCUAAAUUAAUUGAUUUGAUUUUGAUUUUGAUUUUGAUUUUGAUUUUAAAUAAAAUUCAGAAUAAAAUUUCUACUCCAAACAUGCAAACCCUAAAAUAAGAAAUAAACCUAAUUCUAGCCUACGUUUUUUAUUUUUUUUUAUUUUAAAGAAAUUUAAAGAAAUUUAACUUAAGUGACACGACAGCAAAUCAGAGCAAGAUGAUAUCCAAAUUGACGAAUCAUAUCUCGUGCAUGAGAUCGGGUUAGCUAAUUUUACAUAAAAUUGCGAAUCGAAUCUCAGACGGGAAAUCGGAUUAGUAAUUUUUUAAAGUGAUUGCGAGUCGAAUUUCGGGUGCGAAAAUCGGACUAACAAUCACAAAUUUCACAGGCUAUUUCUUGGUGGAUAAUUCAUCAUUGCAUCAAGGAAUAAUUAUACUAAAAAAGAGCAAAUAAAAUAAAAUAACAAAAAUAACAGAAAUAAAAUGAGAUAAAUAAGUAAAAGAAAAACUACCUAAUUUUUCUUUUGUUUUCUUUUUUUCUUUUUUUUUUUCCUUCCAAGCAAAGCAGCAACGUGAUGGUCGCCCCGGUGAGGGGAGUUUCACCGUCGAUCGCCGGUCGUCGGAGCUCCGGCAAGGAGGACCAGCAGCGAGCGGUGGCGUCGCGAGGAGCAGCGGCAGGCGGCCUCGCUUAGGCUGAGGCAGAGAGCGGAGCGCCUCGGCUCGAGCUCGGGCAAAGGCGUCGGAUCGCUGGCAAGUCGCUGACCGGAGUAGCACCGGCCGAGAUCUGCNNNNNNNNNNNNNNNNNNNNNNNNNNNNNNNNNNNNNNNNNNNNNNNNNNNNNNNNNNNNNNNNNNNNNNNNNNNNNNNNNNNNNNNNNNNNNNNNNNNNNNNNNNNNNNNNNNNNNNNNNNNNNNNNNNNNNNNNNNNNNNNNNNNNNNNNNNNNNNNNNNNNNNNNNNNNNNNNNNNNNNNNNNNNNNNNNNNNNNNNNNNNNNNNNNNNNNNNNNNNNNNNNNNNNNNNNNNNNNNNNNNNNNNNNNNNNNNNNNNNNNNNNNNNNNNNNNNNNNNNNNNNNNNNNNNNNNNNNNNNNNNNNNNNNNNNNNNNNNNNNNNNNNNNNNNNNNNNNNNNNNNNNNNNNNNNNNNNNNNNNNNNNNNNNNNNNNNNNNNNNNNNNNNNNNNNNNNNNNNNNNNNNNNNNNNNNNNNNNNNNNNNNNNNNNNNNNNNNNNNNNNNNNNNNNNNNNNNNNNNNNNNNNNNNNNNNNNNNNNNNNNNNNNNNNNNNNNNNNNNNNNNNNNNNNNNNNNNNNNNNNNNNNNNNNNNNNNNNNNNNNNNNNNNNNNNNNNNNNNNNNNNNNNNNNNNNNNNNNNNNNNNNNNNNNNNNNNNNNNNNNNNNNNNNNNNNNNNNNNNNNNNNNNNNNNNNNNNNNNNNNNNNNNNNNNNNNNNNNNNNNNNNNNNNNNNNNNNNNNNNNNNNNNNNNNNNNNNNNNNNNNNNNNNNNNNNNNNNNNNNNNNNNNNNNNNNNNNNNNNNNNNNNNNNNNNNNNNNNNNNNNNNNNNNNNNNNNNNNNNNNNNNNNNNNNNNNNNNNNNNNNNNNNNNNNNNNNNNNNNNNNNNNNNNNNNNNNNNNNNNNNNNNNNNNNNNNNNNNNNNNNNNNNNNNNNNNNNNNNNNNNNNNNNNNNNNNNNNNNNNNNNNNNNNNNNNNNNNNNNNNNNNNNNNNNNNNNNNNNNNNNNNNNNNNNNNNNNNNNNNNNNNNNNNNNNNNNNNNNNNNNNNNNNNNNNNNNNNNNNNNNNNNNNNNNNNNNNNNNNNNNNNNNNNNNNNNNNNNNNNNNNNNNNNNNNNNNNNNNNNNNNNNNNNNNNNNNNNNNNNNNNNNNNNNNNNNNNNNNNNNNNNNNNNNNNNNNNNNNNNNNNNNNNNNNNNNNNNNNNNNNNNNNNNNNNNNNNNNNNNNNNNNNNNNNNNNNNNNNNNNNNNNNNNNNNNNNNNNNNNNNNNNNNNNNNNNNNNNNNNNNNNNNNNNNNNNNNNNNNNNNNNNNNNNNNNNNNNNNNNNNNNNNNNNNNNNNNNNNNNNNNNNNNNNNNNNNNNNNNNNNNNNNNNNNNNNNNNNNNNNNNNNNNNNNNNNNNNNNNNNNNNNNNNNNNNNNNNNNNNNNNNNNNNNNNNNNNNNNNNNNNNNNNNNNNNNNNNNNNNNNNNNNNNNNNNNNNNNNNNNNNNNNNNNNNNNNNNNNNNNNNNNNNNNNNNNNNNNNNNNNNNNNNNNNNNNNNNNNNNNNNNNNNNNNNNNNNNNNNNNNNNNNNNNNNNNNNNNNNNNNNNNNNNNNNNNNNNNNNNNNNNNNNNNNNNNNNNNNNNNNNNNNNNNNNNNNNNNNNNNNNNNNNNNNNNNNNNNNNNNNNNNNNNNNNNNNNNNNNNNNNNNNNNNNNNNNNNNNNNNNNNNNNNNNNNNNNNNNNNNNNNNNNNNNNNNNNNNNNNNNNNNNNNNNNNNNNNNNNNNNNNNNNNNNNNNNNNNNNNNNNNNNNNNNNNNNNNNNNNNNNNNNNNNNNNNNNNNNNNNNNNNNNNNNNNNNNNNNNNNNNNNNNNNNNNNNNNNNNNNNNNNNNNNNNNNNNNNNNNNNNNNNNNNNNNNNNNNNNNNNNNNNNNNNNNNNNNNNNNNNNNNNNNNNNNUAUAGCACGAGCACAAGCGCCGGAGAGAGCGAAGACGAGGGAACCUGAAAUUUUGAAUUUACAGAAGGAAGGGAGAGGAGAGGCGUGAAGAAAGGAGAGGUCUGCAGAGGGAAAGUACCGUCGGGGAGAGAGAGAGGUAGAGAAGAGAGAGGAGGGAGACGGUCCGCAGAGGAGAGCAGAGGGAGAAAAUAUUGGGUACGUUUUAUGCUCCAGCGUGUCAAACAAGAAGGUGCUCGAAGGACGACACGUGUCCUCGUGUCAGGCGCCAUUUUGAAAAAUUUUCGGACGGGAGACUGAGGGUUUUUCUUUCUUCGCGCCUCUCUCACCUCUGCAGAUCGUCUGUCUCCCCGUUCUCCUCUCUCUCCUCUCUGUCUCUCUCCCCUCCGCCUCCGCUGGUUGCUUCCAUCGCCCCCCACGCCGACGCCGAUGCCGACGCCGAAGUCGUGCCUCUCUUCCAGCGAAACGCGACGCCAACGGCCCUCCACCUCCGCCACCGCCGGUUGCCUCCGUCACCCUCGACUCCGACGCCGACGCAACCUCCGCCUCCUCCCCUGAACCCUCUCUGAUGCCGACGCCCCUCCGCCUACGCGCCCGACGCCAACGCGUCGAACCACGACGGCGAAAAUGGAGGAGAGAGAAACGACGAGCUUGACGGCGCCGGCGACGGCGACGAAGCAGUAGACGGAGACGAAGAAGCAGAAGCGCGCGCGCUCGGGGUUCUGGACAUGGCUCGUCGCGUCGGUUGCGUUCCGGCUCGCCCUCGUCUACCUCCCCGGGAACCUCCGCCUAUCCACCCGCCCCGAGGUCGCCACCCCUCUCACCAGCAUUCGCCGCCGUAACGCCGCCUCUCUUCGCUCCGUCUAUCGAUUCCCGAUCCCCGCUCCCCCGCCCCCUCCUCCCUUGAAAUCUUGGAGGUUCAUUUUCUGAUACGAUUUCUGGUUUUUCUUGUUUGUGCCGCCUGAAGUUGGCAAAGGCUGGUUGAAGCAGUAAGCGAUGUCUCCCUACGCAGGUUCGGCUCCGUUCGAUCUCUGUAGAAGAAGCUGGUUGUUUGCUUACUGGUGUGUUGCUGUUCCAUGCUUUGAUCCCUCCCAUCUUCAAUUUUCUUCCCCCCUCCCUCGAAAUCUCAUUUUUUCAGCAUUUUCACUUUGGAAAAAUCUGGGUGAGGAAGUAGAUUUUUUGGGAGAUGAUUGAUUAGUUUGGCAUGUUUUCCGGGUUUUGAAUUUUUUUUGACUGAGGUGAGCCUGUUUGGGAGAAGAUUAUCAUGCGUAAUGGGGUCUGGUGGUGUGAUUACUUUGAACGGAGGAAGCACUUGAGUUAUGGUUUUUUGACUGCUUCAACCUUUUUUCCUCCGAGAAAUUAGGAUGAUCUGAUCUAUUCUGAAUCUGGGUCGCCAUUCACGGCAAGCCUGAAUGGUGAAACGAACUCCUCUACCUAUUUAUGUGAUAGGACUGAGGAUCAUAUCUGAGGAUCAUAUCUGAUUAUAGCUUUCUAAAAAAAGGAAAAAAUACUUGCAUGCUAUCCAGUUUCUCUAAGGGAUUAAAGCAACCUGCCAUGUAUGUGAAUCGUUGAAGCAGUGAAUGGACCUUGGAGAUUAUUCGUUCGAAUGAUCAUUAUUGUUUUUCUUAAUUAUAGAGACCUUGGAGAUUAUUCGUUCGAAUGAUCAUUAUUGUUUUUCUUAAUUAUAGAGACCUUGGAGAUUAUUCGUUCGAAUGAUCAUUAUUGUUUUUCUUAAUUAUAGAGAGAGGUACUCAUAUUGCUUUUUCUUGGAAUCAGAAUUGCUACUGCUUUAGGGCAUCUUAACUUCUUUCAGAUCCAGGUUAUGAUGCUGUUGGUUUCAUCGUUGAUUGUGAACAUUCUUAUCGUCGCACUGUGCAGCUUAUUCAAUAUAGCUAUUUCUUCAUUUGUCUAAUAUAAGAAAGAGCUCCUCAGUAUUCUAGAUGAUGUUUUAACAUAUACACCGUGUGGUCUAAGAAAAUAAGAAGUUGUUCUGCUUAUAAUUGUUAUCUUGGCAAGUUUCAUUGUGCACCUUAUUUAGUCCAUAUUCCCAUAUUUAUGUUUCGUGUGGAGACUGAAGUGAGGUGGAGAUUUUGUGCAUUCAACAAUCUGUUUCUUGUUCCAACAGGAAAGGGGUCAGCCAUUGCCAAAGUUUGGUGAAUGGGAUGUGAAUGAACCAGCUUCAGCAGAGGGGUUUACUGUCAUCUUUAACAAGGCAAGGUAUGAAAAAAAGACGGGUGGCAAGCCCAAAUCUCCAGCAAAGGCCAACCCUUAAGUCAAACACUCUGUUGAUCCGAGCAAACCUCCAACGGUAAGUUGUUUCUUAGGAGCCUGGGAACAAACUGUUUUAUUUAUGUAGGAUGCAUUAAUUAUUGCAGUCAUUUGUUCUACGGUAAUCUAUUAAGGUUCCAGUUAUGUAGUAGUUAAUCUGUCUAAUAAUUAAAUUUAAAAUUUCUUAUAUGCUAUGCUAGUCUUGAUGAAAAUGGAGAAAUGGGAAAUAGAACUCUCAAACUUGCAGAUAGGGUAAAAGAAAUUGAUUUGACAGUGUCAUAAAAACUAAGCAGGUUGGGCACUACUUGCUCGUUAGUAUUUGAAUCAUUCAAAAUGACCAUCCGAAAGAUGCUAUUAUCCUUUAUAGUGCGAGCAGGAAUUGAAUUUGAGUUGGACGCAAUUGUCUGUGAACAAGUCAGCUGCUGUAGAUUUUAUUUAUUUAUAUAUUUUGUUUUCAUUCUCCCAACCUUUGCUGCUUCGCUCUCUUACCGUGAAUUCUUUGUUGCACGCAAAAGAAAUGGUUUUGCUGCAUUCAGAGCCCAGCAGAAUCUUGACUAGGUUCUCUGGCGAGGAGCUUCCAAAAGAGAUGCGCGUUGUUAGGCUAAAGCAGCCCCAGAAUGUUCACUUGAAGAAGAUACAAACAGUUUAGAGCCAUUGUUAUUGUCGCAGGAAUAGCUCGUGGUGUAAAUGUGGGGUUUGUGGAGAUGAGUAAAAUAAUGACGCGUCAUGCUUACUAUAAUCUAUCAGCAGUAUGCUUCUCUCUGUCUCUGCCUAUGUCUCUCUUUCUCUCUUCCUCUGCUUAAUUCUAUUGUUAAUUUAUUAAUUGUCUGCUUUCUGUAGUUGUGAAUUGGAUCUGUCUGAAAUGUCUACGCCUACUUUCAAUCUGGUUUAAUUUAUUGUUAUCCAUCGUUGUUGAAGACAUUAUAGAUACGAGCUUGUGACCCUUUCCUCUGUCAUCAAUCACGCUAACGGAUGUUUCUGGUUGGGGGAACAGCGUGAGUCAUAGCCAUAUGCGUUUGUCAUUUCUCUUUCAUAGGAAUUAAGGUGUCAACUCCCUUAGACAUGGGAAAGGUCAUCUCCACGAAUCUUCUGCGUAGGGAUUGUUCAAAUGGCAAUUUCGAAUAUUGGUAAUCCUGAUCUCAUAAGGAGAAAGGCACAAUCUUGCCCUUCUUCUUUGUUUUAGGAAAGGUUAGUCUUAUAUCAACAAUGGAAGUAACAAAAAUGUCUCUGAUGUCGUGCGUUCCUCAAAGAACAUGAGUUCGCAAAAUUUCGUGCAUGUGAAACGACGAUUGCGGUCAUGAACCAGCUUUAUCUAUGGCCUCUUUUUCCAUAGAUCAUUGAUGUAGUCAAUUAACUCCACACAUUCAUACAUCAUUGAUGUAGUCCAUAAAAUUCCACAAAUUGGUAAGAUCAAUCGACGUUCUGCUUUUUUCCUCUUCCUUUUUCCCACGACUUAUGUGAAUGACAUGGCUCUAAUAUCCCCCUACUAAUGGUGCGGAAGCUACUUCUGUUACACAAUCACCGCCAAAGACCUCAAGAAUGAGACCAAGGUUCCAAUCCCAGUAAAUGCAAUUCCAAAACUGUCGAGCUAUGGCUGUCCUACUUACCAAACAACAAAAUAAAACAAAGCUCUCUUCCUCACAUCUUUUCCUUCUCUUUGCUUCAAUUUGAUUUGAGCUUCACUCUAGUUAGGAAGAAGUUGUAAUUGCCAUGAACUUAACGAUGGAACCUAGUAGAAUGCCCAAUUUUUCUUCAUGGCCAGACGCAUUCUGUUUUUUCACCUCAAGGUCAUCUAUCAUAUGACCUUUUCACAAAGUAAACAGUUUCCUUGUCUACACAUGUCUCUAUGGAUAUUUAAAGAAAGAACCGAAGACUGGCGUUGGUAACAAAAAUCUCUAAUUACUUUAGCGUCAUCUGACAGUAUCAAUGUUAAACUCGAGAGAAACCAAGCUUCCUCUCAAAAAGGCGGCCGAGCAGGUAAACUUGGAGAACACUCGCCCCAAUAAGUGCUGUUGACUCGAAGAAAGCCUUAUGGACUGCCCUUCUGCUCAUUGCGUCGUUCACUGCGAUCACAAAUCAUCAUAGAAUGAGUAUUCAUUGAACCCAAUAUCUAUGUAUCGUCUGUUAGUGAACACAAUAUUUAAUUAGCAAGGUCAUCCCCAUUCCAUUUCGUGUGGCGAUCAGACACACUUCAAAACAUCUAGCAGAUAACACAAGUAAACAAAACCCAUGACCAUUUGAAACCCAGUACACCAAGCACGCAUCUUCUUUUUUGUUGCCUGCUUUGUUUUCUAAGUCCGCCUUUUCAGCUGCUGCCAAGUUAGGAAGGUUUUACUAUUUUCAGGAUCAUAAACAAUAUAACCGAUUAGUUACGUCAAUCAGAUGGAUAAAAGGAGCUUGUCAAAGGCUCUAGAAAUAGCUUUUAACUUGUCUUGUGAGACAUCUACUUCUGAAGGUCUUUUAAGAACAGAGGUUGUGAGAACCUUUGAGAUUUAGGAGAUAACAGGAGUCAAAGCAAGCUAUAGUGGUCCACUCAGCAUUGAAUAGGAAAGUUAUUUCCAUCAGAGAUGAAACAGGGUUGGAAUCCACCGCGAUAAUUAGCAAGAGGACUUGACAUAAAAUAUCUUACCAAUUGCUUGACGUUCAGUCUCAGCCUCCAGCCAAUGCUGCUCAAACUGAAUGUUGUAGAGAGCCUCCUCCAGCUUCCCUAUAUGUUCCAACAAGGGGUUGAAAUGCUCUGCAGAUACAUUCACAGCAGAUAAAAAAGAGACGCAGUAUAUUCUGUAAAGUUCGUCAGUACAAGAGACAAGAAAACAGAAAAAAGGCAGAGUCCUACCUUCCUUUGCAUGCUGAUCAUAGAAUGUAAAAUGGCCAACGUGUACAUCAAAGUCGAUGGUUUCAUGAUAAUGAGACUUGUUAGUAAAGCAGAACCGAUGAACACCCUUAUGGUGAGCCACAAACUCAAAUUUCUCACUGAUCUUGUCGUGAAAAUCUUGAAUCUGUUCACCAGAAGGUCCUUUCAUCUGACAAUUUCAAAAGUUGCAAAAUACGUACAGUUAUCUAGGUCAUUAUAUAGGAUUAAAGAUCAAUAAGAGAACUAUUGGCAGAAUCAAAGAAUGUAAUAAUCAAUAUAUGAUAUCAAUCUUAAUCAUGUCCCGACAAACAUGAAAAAGGAAAACCAAAUAUGCAUAUGCGAGAUCUAGUCGAGCCAUCUAGGCUGCCAAAGGUUAACAAAAUUCAAUGAAGAAUUUCCUUUAGGAAGAUAAUCAGCAUCCUUUACAAAAAGAAAUACAUGUGAGUACAGUAAUUCCUUUAGGUUAACGAGAUUUCGUGAUACAUGGAAUCUGUGGAAGGGAUCAAAGCAUGGAACAGCGACUAAGCAAACAAGCAGCUUCCUUCCUACAGAGAUCGAACGGAGCCGAACCUGCGUAGGGAGACAUCGCUUACUGCUUCAACCAGCCUUUGCCAACUGCAGGCGGCACAAACAAGAAAAACCAGAAAUCGUAUCAGAAAAUGAACCUCCAAGAUUUCAAGGGAGGAGGGGGCGGGGGAGCGGGGAUCGGGAAUCGAUCGACGGAGCGAAGAGAGGCGGCGUUACGGCGGCGAAUGCUGGUGAGAGAGGUGGCGACCUCGGGGCGGGUGGAUAGGCGGAGGUUCCCGGGGAGGUAGACGAGGGCGAGCCAGAACGCGACCGACGCGACGAGCCAUGUCCAAAACCCUGAGCGCGUGCGCUUCUGCUUCGUCGCCGUCGCCGGCGCCGUCGAGCUCGUCGUUUCUCUCUCCUCCAUUUUCGCCGUCGUGGUUCGAUGCGUUGGCGUCGGGCGCGUAGGCGGAGGCGGAGGAGUCGGGGGCGACGGACUCCGACGCCGACAGAGGCAACCGGCGGAGGGGCGUCAGCGUCAGAGUAGGGUUCAGGGGAGGAGGCGGAGGCUGCGUCGGCGUCGGAGUCGAGGGCGACGGAGGCAACCGGCGGAGGCGGAGGUGGAAGGCCGUCGGCGUCGCGUUUCGCUGGAAGAGAGGCACGACUUUGGCAUCGGCGUGGGGGGCGAUGGAAGCAACCAGCGGAGGCGGAGGGGAGAGAGAUAGAGAGGAGAGAGAGGAGAACAGGGAGAGAGACGAUCUGUAGAGGUGAGAGAGGCGCGAAGAAAGAAAAACCCUCGUCUCCCGUCCGAAAAUUUUUCAAAAUGGCGCCUGACACGAGAACACGUGUCAUCCUCCGAGCGCCUUCUUGUUUGACACGCUGGAGCAUAAGACGUACCCAAUAUCUUCUCAGAGCAGAAGAGAGAGAGCGUCAGAGCGUGUCUGCAGAUAGGUGGGCCAGGUCUACAGGAGAGAGAGCACAGGAGUGAGAAGAGCAAAUUUCGAACCGCUGACACCAUUUACACGUGGCUCCACGUGUCGAGUUUUGAAUGGUUUUACAUUUCACCUACGUGGAGUGUAAAACCCACAUAAUAUUUUCCCCAGAAAUUGUAUCUUCGCGAUAUAUUUUAUAUUUUAUUUUUUGCUUGCUCAUGAUACCCCUAAAUAUGUCGUUGAAAUACACGCUCCGCACAAUAUUCCCUUUUGUAUUUCUCGCAUAUUUUAUCCAGAAAAAUUCCCUCUUUGCACAAAAUACACCCCUCAGUGUAUAUUACCUAAAAAUAUGAAAAAUUUGAACGGAAUAUGUGAAAAAUCUUCUCUUCACCGGUGGCCUAAAAUAAAACAAAAUAAAAAUAAAAUGUUUCUAAACUAUAUGCCAUAUGUGUUUUAUAUAUAUUUGAAGAAAGCAACCAGCAAGAGCAAAUAAAAGAAACUAUUGUCCGUCACAGGUGUCAUAUACAAAACAAAUCUUAUUCUCAAACCCACAUUUUGGUGCCACUUUUUGUCCCCAUAAUGGGGGAAAUAUUGGAUGCCCGAGUUGUGCCCCUCAUCUAUGCUAGGUCAUCCACACUAGUUUACUUGGAAAAAGUAUCAAAAAUGUUAUAUAUCUAUUGUAUUUGUAUUAAUUUAAUCUUAAAUUUUUUUCAAUUUGACCAAUUUCGUCCUAAACAUUUCCACGUUAGUACUAAUUCAAUUUUAAUUUAGGUGACUGUCCAUCCCUCCUAUUUUUUUUUUUUUUUGGUCAGACAUCCCUCCUAGUUGACAUGGUGACAUUUUUAAUAAUUUUUUAAAUAUUUUUCUUCCUUGCCAUUUUUUUCCCUUUUCUUUAUGCCGCUUGCCCAAGCGAGGCCAACCCUUGCCAACCAUGGCCGAUGACUCGUCUGUAAAAAGAAAAGGGAAAGAAAACAUAAAGGAAGAAAAGGAAAGAAAUUCUAUCUAAAACCACGUGCGGAGUAUAGAAAAAAUUUCUAUUUCUAUACUCGCGAUGGCAGCAUGCUUUUAAUAGGUGUUAUAUUUCAAAUAAACCAAUGACCAUGACAUUCAAUUAACAAAAGGUAAAUGGCCAAUUUAGACAAUGCUUUUAAUCGUUCACUAUGCAAUUUUCUAAAAUCUUGGAAGCUACCCAAUACGGUCUUAAGCUUUGAAUUUCAGGGACUAAUAAUCCUCGGGCUAAAUAAUAAUCCAAAAACAUCACUGAAAAUUUCUUAAUCAUCUCCAUUAUAAUGGAUUCCUCCAUAGUAUAUUGGCAUUGGUACCCACUGGUAGGAAGUCCCCGAAUGGGGAUACCCUAGAUUGGGUUGCAAUGGAAAAAAUUGCCCCAUUGCGGGCUGAUCAGUCCGACCUAUGAUGUUAUGCGCUUGAUCUUGUGCUUCUGAGGUCGCUGCAUCCAUAGGCAAUUGAGGUUGAUUGUCAGCCAUGACGAUAUGGAGAUCUCCCUCUUUUCUUUUUCCUUCGUCUGUUUCAAUGUGAUUUCCUCAAGGUGUUGAUUCUUGCGUUGGAGUGCUAAUGCGUUUUGCGUUGGGUCAGUUACGAUAUCUACUAUCUCUUCUUUUGAGCAGAUCUCCAUCAGGCACCAUGGCCUAGCUACCAAAGCUGUAAUUGGCCUAUAACCCUGGAAAUAUCAAGCUCAUCACAAUGGCUGACAAGCAAAAUUAACCACAAAUAGCAAUGAGCUUCAUUAAGCACAUAGCUAAAAACCAUCAAAUAGAUCUCAACAUUCAUCGGUCAAUCUCCAAUUUUGGACCAGAACAUCAAUUUACACUUACACGUUGAUUAUUUUAGUUUAUGUAUACUUUACAUCUAAGGAAGAACAAAGCUUGGCUCCUACAAAAAGUUUUUUCCUCUUUUGUGCAUAGGAAAAUAACAUAGAACCAAUCAUUAUGUUUCCUGGAAAAUUGAAGAAAUCCUACUUGAUGCUCCUGAUUACCAAAUGGAUCUGCUUGCUGUAACCAUAAGUGGAUACACAAUAGUAAAACUGAGAAAGAGUAGGAAGCAACCAGAAAGGUAAUGACCAACUUGAUUCAUAAUUCCUAUAACAAAAUCAUCUAUUUCCAGUCCUCCCCUCUUUCUCUUCAGCUAAAGAAGCAAGCGUAGAACACACUGCCCGAGGAUAAGAUUCUGAAGGAGGAUCUGCCACAUACUCAGAACUCUGAAUGGUUUUAUAGAUAAAAUCCAAGGUUGGUUGAUGCAUGUUAUACACGAAGGAAAAUACAUAUUGUGCCCAAAUCCAAAGCAGAGCAAGUUCCACAUUUGUCCAGAGUAAUAUUUUAUAAAAAUGAGAGAGAUCUGUAAAUGACACACCGCUAAACGAGUUUCUGCCUCCUGCUGAAGAACUGAUAGGAAAAGGCCCUGCGAAUCAUGGCACAAGCUCAGCAAUUGGAAGGGAAAAGAAAAAGGAGCUAAAACACCCAAUUAAGGAGUUGCUAAACAAGCAUUCAACAGUUUCUACAUAUUGUCUUCAAGGCUGUUGCUUAAUGACUUAUAUCCAUCACACAUUCAUCUCGCAGGUCAGGAGAUGUAUCGUUUCUAUUCAGUGCGUGAAUGCAACAGCUAGUUAGUCAUGCUCCCUAGAUUUUGCUCUGAAAUAGACAUAAAAGCACUAAAGGAAGAGAUUCCACAGAAGAAAAUAAACUAACAGACAGACAAGAUGAGAAACUCUAAGCAGGUCAGUCUCGUGAGUUCAUUAUGAGAUCAUAGACCUUCAUGUCAGUAUAGAUUACGAGUAUACUCAAGGUCGCAAUGAGUCAAUGACCCAAAGGAACUGCUGUUGAUGACUAUAGAAUUUUCUCCCAAAUAUGGGACCUGCCAACCUGCUCAUGAGCUUUAAUAUGGAUUUCGCAAACUCUGCACCUAAAAUAAGCUGAAGGCAAUUUUGAGACCUCUUGUUAAUCUAGGUUGUCCUUAAUUUCGUCAAUUGCUAUAUCACCAUUUUGCUUCUUUGUUCCCUUCUCUGAAAUAUCAGGCACAUUCCACUAUCACAAAUGAUCAAUUAAGUUUCAUUUCAUAUCACUAGCUUUUCUAGACAAUUCAUAUUUAAAAUCUCCAUUUUGCUCUUGAACCUCAUCAACCAAAGAACAGAUUACAAAGAUGAGCCACUACCAUAAGCUAACACACUAAAAGCGGACAAAAGAACUCGACUUACCGAUGGUAUCAGCUUUGGACUCCUGGAUGCAGCCUCAUAUAUCAAGAGUCUAGGGGUUUCUUCUGCAGAACCAUUCAGUAUUACGCUAUUAUCUGACCGAGCAUCUCCAGCCAAAUUUCCCAGUGCAUGCAAUGCAGCCUGAGCAAUUUAAUAUCAUAUCAUAAAUAAACUACCACAGGAGAUACAAGUAAAAUCUUUGACCUCGGCUUACUGUUUGUCAUGGAGUAAGCCAUAAAUCAAGACAUUUACAGUACAAAGAUUUGACAAGUUACAAACUCUCAAGAAGCUAACCACAGUUUGCACUAUUCUGGUGAAAGCAUGAAAGCAUGUACAUUUAUGUGUGAUGAGAGAAACUGCCUUAGAUAAUGAGUAAUCAUAACAUAGCACAUGUGAAAAUGGAGUCAACAUAACUUCGUGAGAUUGUGGCAAGAAUGGCGAAAAUGAUAACAGUAGAAAAAUCUAGGCAUAGCACAUAUCCAGGGGAAAACAUCCAUUGAAUAGGUCACUCAAAUUAGACAGUACUGAAGAACCAGUGAAACUCUAACGUAAUUAAAAUAUCGUUUCUAAAAGUCCUCUUACUUCUUCUAUAAAAGGGACAUGCUUUAACUUAUGCAGUAUCUAACUCAUGUUCUUUUCACUUUGUCUCUCAUCUUCGAUGUCAUCACCUUCUCAAAUCACAAGGACUGACUCCAUCUCAUGCUAUAUAAAAGAUCAUUAAUUUUUAAGAUAUUCACUCUAAUUGGAUCCCCUUAAUUUGAUAAUUGAUCAUGACAAAAAAGAGAAAGAGUUGCAUGGACAAAAGUGUCAUAUAUCUGCUCACCAGCUGUUUACCACGUCCUUGUCUGUCAAAGGCAGCAUACACUACAUGUCUUGCAACGGGAUAUGUGCUCGACAACAAUAACUCAGCUCCCUGAGUUGCUGACAGCCAAAAUAAAAGACAGAGAGAGAAGAGAAAAUCUUAGUUUCCAUGGCCGAGGGUACAAAUUGAAAAAUAAAUAAAAAAAGGAUCGCUACUGCAGCAAGAUUGGAGAUGGAAAAAGAAGUACACUAAUCUGUUAAACCAGCAUGGAAUGAGUAAGCUAGGCAUCUUCUAGCAGGGAACAUGCAGGCAAUCUAUAUUUUCUCUCUUUAUGGGUGAUCGCAGUUCCCGAGUAGAACUAGAAACAAGAGAACCGAACCAAAGGGUUCGGUUCGGUUCCCGGUUCUCUUUUUCUGGGAAUCGACAAUUCUCAGUUUCGGAACUGGCCCCUUUAGAACUGGUUAGGGUUCCUAAAAAUCCCCAAAUCAAUUUUUAUUGUUUAGUGUUUAUCCUCAGUAGUCAAUUUGGUUCUCCUCUCUUGUUCUUUGCCUCUACCCCCUCCCUAACGCCGCUCGCCCUCAAUGCUGUAGCCGGACGCCACUUGCCCUCGAUGCCGUUGUUAGAAGCUACUUGUCUCACCGUUGAAUGCCAAUCUCGCCCUGCCUUGCCUCCCUCGAUGUCGUCACCCCCCGCUCGCCCUACAACUCAGUCGCUAGACGCCACUCACCCUUAACGCCGCCGCUGGACGUUGCUCAUCCCCUUGGUGGAUGCCGUUCGCCACUCACCCAGUCGCCCCCAAAACCGCUCGUCGCUUGCCCAACCACCCCCGACGCUGCUCACCCAAUCGCCCCCAACACCUCUCGUCCAAUCGCCUCCGACACCGCUCGCCACUCGCCCAGCUGCCCCCGACGCUGCUCGCAGCUCACCGCUUGCCUUUCGUGCCAGUGAUCUCUGCGGGCCCCUCUCUUCGUCAUUUUGCGAAGUAUCGCAAAACUGAGCAAAGCCCUUUGCUAUCCUGCAGAUUUCAGUUCUCCUAUAGUGUCAUUUUUUUUUUUUUUUGUGCAGCCUAUGCAUUUUAUUCGGAAGAGAGGAAUGUAACGGUGGGUAUGUUUAGGGGACCAUUUACUGCAUUCAAUUAGGUCAAAAAGUUUGGACAACGUAGAAAUUGAAAUUGAGUUGAGACAAUUCAUUUGCUUAACACAUAGUUGGCUUCUGUUGCAGUUCAUGAUAUGCUAUGGCUUUUUGUUGAUUUACUUUCUCGGAACCAUUGUCUCUUGGCGCAUCUUGGCUCUGAUCGACAGUGUCUCAAUUCCCUCCUUUUAUGUUAUGUGGUGAAUGAGUUGGAAAGUAUAGAAAAGUCAUUCUUGGUGAUUUCAUCUUUAGGUUUCAUUCCCUGUGUCAUACAAAUUUUGGGUUUGUUCUUUGUUCCAGAGUCUCCUAGAUGGCUGGUAAGUUAUUAGUGGAGUAGAGGCAUAGGCAUUAACAUUUCAGUGGCAAUCCACUUUGACACGCAAUCGAAUUGGUGCAGAUUGCCAUUCUAAGUAUAUGCUAGUUGUGUAUAAUCAUAGAACUCAAUGACGAAGCCAAGAUUAUGAACUUUUCAUUGUAAGAAUAGCAAAAAGUCAUUCGCAGUUAAAAGUCCACCGAGAGAAGGAGUUUGAAGUCACAUUAUAGAGACUCAGAGGCAAAAGUGUCAAUAUUACUCAGGAAGCAGCCAAUAUUAAAGUAAUAUCUCAAUCUCGCUUGUCUUUUAGAUAAUUUGGAAUUGUCUGAUUUUUAAUACUAAGGUAUCUCAUUUCUGUCAUGCCCUGAACCUUGAGCGUGUGCACAUCUCUCUUCGGUCGAUACAAAUAUGACGUUCCCAAGACGCGUUGCCGACCCAUUCAUUUUUAAUGCACAUGCGGAAGCGUAUAAAUAACCCCUAAUAACAAACAACAUGGGAUAGGAAAGCAUAACACAUUUCACAAAAGACAACUUUUAUAAACAAUGGGUUUAGAUACAAAAUGAGUCUGGUCAAAAGUCUACAAAAAUGUUGGCUCUCAAAAAGGAAUUGUCCUACGACCUACUAGUCGGACACAAACGCCAAUCCUUCAGACUCUACCUCCACAGGCUCCGGGGCUUUGGUCCUGCAUAACCACCUUCUAAGGAUAUGAAAAUGUUAUAUAAUAACUAGUGAGACGAUGUCUCAACAAGUCCACCCCUUAAACCUUUAUUAGGAAGGAAAUACGCCUCAGGGCUCUCUAGCUACACAACCACACAAUGAGAACAGAUGACUUACGUCGCCUCAGUUCCUUCUUGCACAUUAGCAUAGUUCAUAUCACAAAUGCAUAUAAUAAAUGCAUAUAACAAUUGAAAUGUCUCAACAACUCAAUAAAUCACAAGGGUCCUGAUUAUAAGGCCAAACAGUUAUGACAUUUCCUAUACCAUGCCACAUAGUUUUGUCUCAUAAUCAGGCGCAUUAAACUCAGACAAUCAUGCAUUCCAAUUAUUAAUUAAGCCACUCAAGGCACUGCCGACUCCCAUGUUCGGUAGUCUGCUGGCGUAGCCAGGCAUCGUCUCUUCCCCAUUGAGCACUGUUACGUCACAAAGACGGCUAUCUCAAAGGAGCAGAGGUCCAGAAUCUACUGUGACCCGCUACCCUAAUACAUGGUAACUCGAAAGUGGGAUUUAGUAACAUCCGAUGUAAAUGCUAGGAUGGGUUCUUUUUAACCAACACAUGACCAUUCAACCUUGGCCUAGGACACUAUACAUUGCACUCAAAUGCCUCAAUUAAAAUAGUGAUCCUGGCCUAUUUUCUUCGUAUUAAAAAUAUCAUGGAAAAUAAUCAUGUAUGGGUACAUGGUCAAUUUGAACUAGAAAAAUUUAAACAUUUACUUUUCAAACCCCACUAUUUGGUAUAGUACUUAAAAUAUAUUUUUGAUGUCAAAACUCGACACUUGGGAUUUUUUGAAUAAAUGUCAUAUUUUCCAAUCACCACACAAUUGCACAAAUUAUCAUUCAAUUGUACAAUCCAAUAAGCAAUUGCAUAAUCCAACUACGUCACCAAAUAUGCAAUUUCUAGCAAGCAAAGCAUCAAGAACAAUCACAAACUACUAUCAGCCCUAACCAGCAGAAAUGGUCCACAUGUGCGUCUCCGAAUUUAUAUCCAUAAAUAUAAUCAAAUGAGUUCGGAAAAAUCUCAAAUUUGAAUAUGUUGUAAAUGACACAUAAAAGAUUUUUUUAUUUUAUUUUAAUGGAGAUAUCUUAACCCAGAUCCUUCUAGAUUAAGCCUAGUAAAUCACUCAAUCCAGAAGAGAAACUGUGUCCGUUUCCAGAAAAUUUGUUUUUCGAAAUCAGUUUAGUUCGGGACCCAAAACUUGUUUAUUUGGUCUAAAAUUUGACUAUAUUAAACUAGAAGAUGUGACAAACAACUUUUAUGAAAAAACCAUUUUGAAAUUCGAACCCUAAGAGUUGAUAAAAACCCUUAGAAUCCCAAAAUGUCACAAAUUCCGACACAGUCCGAGUUUCUGUUUGCAAAUGACAGAGCUAAUAUUUCAUUCUUUUAAAUCCCCAAAAAUGUUGAGAAAAAUAUAUGUUAUAGUUGAAGAUGUCUAAAACAUUUCUCCAUAAGGAAGCAACCUCAAAAUCGAAAAAAAUUUCGGUCCACCAAAAUGGCAAACGGCGAGUGUCCAAGAAUCAGUUCUGAAGAACAGCCAUUGAUUUUGACUAAACUAUCCUCAAUGGUGCUAAUCUCACUAAUUAGGUUAACACUAAUCAAUUCUAAGGCUAAUAUAACCAUUCUAGAUUAUUAAUAAUCCAUACCUAAGCUAAUCUAAACAACACUUAAGUAUAAUUAACCUCCUAAGCAAGGUUUAGAGAGUAAACUCAUUGGUUUUGCGUUCCAGUGAGUCCACGGCGACGGCGACGGCAAGGCGGGCAGCAAUAAAUCUUGUGGCGACACCAAGUGAGGCUGGGAAGGGCUAAAAAAUGGGCCACGAAGACCUCAUGGCUUGCUAGAACUUUAGUUUAUGUUCUUGGACUGUAGAGGCCGAACCAGUGGCUAAAAUAGUGAAGGAAUGGGCUAAUUGGAGCUUCGGCGAGCAGGUGGUCGGCAACCAGUGGCUCCUGAGGGUCAAGGGGGACUUGCUGGUGGUUGGUAUGGGUGGAGGUAGGGUCGAAAUGGGGAGAAAAUGGCUGAAAGUCAUGAAACAGGUGAAACAAUGUAGGCGGGUGGCUCCCAAACGGUCCGGCGACCGGUUUCUUCUUGUCGACGUACAGGACGGCUAGCGGCUCCAUUCGGCGCAAGGUCAGGCUCAUUUGAAUGGUUUGGAUGUGCUGAGUACAAUGGUGGGUGGCACGAAGGCUAAUUCAUCUGGGAAGACCAAUUUUAACUCAAAUCUUGCCGAAACAUCAGCUGGAGCAGAAACUGGAAUGAGGAGAAAACAGAGGAGGAAAUAGGUUCGGUGGCUUGGGCGAGUGUGCGAUCGGCAAGGGGGGCUGCUACCCUAUGUUCUCUAGUUUCUCCAGCUUUCUCAAGGCCUCUACAAUGGGGAAAGCAAGUCCAAGGAGGAAGAAGAAGGUGGCUGCUGAAGGGGGACCACCAUUUGCCUUCAAAGUCCACAAUCUCAUCCCCAAACACUCAUCACACUUGUCCCCACCACUCAGCCCUAUCCUCUGCCUCUUUUCCCUCACAAAACUUCCCCAACAAGCCUUACUUGAGUCCCCAAAUGUUGCAACCCACCCUUGGCUACGAAUUUGUACACAUUCCCCUUUAAUUCCAUCAAUUCUCCUUCAAUCUCAUUCAAUUUCUCAUCCAAUCAAUCCCAACUGAAGCCCAUAAUUUUAUCCAAUGUUUCCACACUUAAAUGCACAUUUUCCCUUGCCCAUAGAUCCCACUUGAUGACCAAAGAUGUGACCAAAAAUAAUCCCUCGAAGUUCUCGGUCCAAAACGGCUUAACUUUGAUUUUUUGCUGAAAAUCUCGGUUUGUAGAAAAGUCUUCGGAUGAUCAGUUGACGUUCCUAAAAUGAUUUGUGACAUGACAAAACUUUCAAUUUAUAAAAUUGAGUUCAAUUUCGUGGUUAAUUUCAAUCUGACGUGAUUUUAGCGCAUCAUAAUCUACUAGGUAGCUUUUAGAAAUUUUUAAUGUAAUUGACCCGUGGUCGAUUUUUUUGAGCCACAACGUACAUCUUCGACACAUUGGCGAAUCUUGAUUGUCAUAAAAAUCUCGAGGUUUUAAAUACGGACACAGGGUACGAAAAUGACAGAAAAAUUGGUCUAGUGCCGUUCGACGAGAAUUUUGCAAUUAGGUGGAAUCACCCAUACUUAAUCACAUACCUUUGUCGAAUCGACUUAUCUCCGGUCUUUGAUAGAUUUUGACCGUGCCGUAAUGAUCCUUGUAGAUUAACACGGUCGAGCAGUCGAUUUCUGGUUGAAUUCUCAAGUUUAUUGCGUUAAAAUCCCUUAAUGGCUUCAUCUGAUAGACUAGUUAUCUUGUGAGGGGCCCUCUUAGAUAAUAAGGCCAUAGGUUCAUCGAUGAAAAGCCCAUUUCAUCUCAUCGAAAUCAGACUUGAAAAUUAGGAUGUCGCAAUUUCACUUGUCUUAUAGGACUAUGUAGAGACCUUUGAAUGGCAGUCUCAAUUCAGAAUUCUGGAUCUGUUCCAAAGAUGUUAUGCUCAUCCACUUAUAGUGAGAAUGCCCUCAAAAUUAUUCAAAUGGCUCGCAAUUUUCAUGCCUUUUUCUUAUAUUCAUAAUCUUGUUGAAGCAAUAGAUAACAAUUGGGCUAUGGUGCUUCAACAAUUUGGUGGGAGUAAUGCAUUUGCCUACUAUGUAGGCUCCAUAUUUGAAUCAGCUAGUAAAAAUCGACGGAUAAAUACAUUAGUAAUAUAUGAAUAAUGAAAGCUUAGUUCAGGUGCCACAAAUAAGCGCUUGAAGCCCCAUUGUGGGUCAUAUGAAUCAAAGAAUGUUGAUUUGAAUUCGUGGAUGAGGUCAUGUGGCCUAUUGAUGAGGACCGCAUCAAGAAAUAAGUUCAUCGAUUAUGUCCAUAAUUUGGACAUUAACAUUGAAUUGAAGAUGUUGCCUAGUCCAAAUUCUAUCGAUGCUCAAAUGGGAAGAGACCCAUUUGUCCACACCUCGCAGGUGACCACACCAGACUAGAGUUCAGAGGGAAUGGAGUUUGACUAGAGGGAUCUAGGGACUAGAAACAACUCGAGCAUAACAUACAAUGAAGGUGAUCUUUUACAGGCAUAAAGGGCUCCUGAUGGAUUCGUGCUCAAUGUUGUGUAAAUGGAGGAUCUGGCAUCGCUAAAUAGAAGCGGGGACUGCAACAGUGAAGUCCCCGAAUGCUUGCAAUUGGAUUCAUCGGAGAAGGAGAUGGAUGUGAGUUCGACAUCUGAAUGUGGCGAUGACGAUGCCAAUGGUGAUAACGGCUCAAAUCUUACUACUCUAGAUGGCAAUAAUAUCUCAGGUCAUGCUAAUGAUGCACAUCACAAAAAUGAACAAAUCCAUGCAGAUGGAGCGUCUUCAUGACCUCAAUGAGUAGACUUUGAGUCUUCUUUCUCGUUUGCAGAUGCUACCCACCAAUCAAAGCCAAUUUGAAUAGUCGAGGUUGCAUAGGAAUUUCCGUCAUGUUGUUUAUGCUUUUCGGCAUCAGAGUGAGUCGAGUUGCAUUUGCAACUACAUGCUCUUUUUCUUUUACAGGCACUGUACUUUUUGCCCUGUUCUUUCCAUCAUUGUUUCGCUAAUUUUUUAUAUCAUAUUUUAUUUGAUAGGAAGAUGAUUUAGAUGAGUCAACAACUAUACCAGGUUCUAAUUUUACACACAUUUUUAUGAAGUUUCUGUUGUUUAGUUUGAAUGGUAACUUCAUAAAUUUCAAACGACCUCGGUAUCAGCUUAUAUUUGGCUUGUUGAUUCUAUCAUGCAAACAAUCAAUAUGAUGUAGCUCGUUCGUCUACUUACAUAUGUAGUAUUAAGCCUAUAUAUUAAGAGGUUUUUAGCCUUUGCAGUGUGCAGGAGACUAUGAUGGAUGUUGUCAUAGGUUCAUAAAGUUCAUAGAUAAUUCAAUUUUAUUAUCUUGUAUGCUAUUGAUACUUUUUUUUUAAUCUAAUAUAGCAAAACUAAGUUUGCUUGUAAACUUAAGAGCGGUUUGGAAUAUCAUAAUGUUGGCUUAUAACAUCAGACAUAGCUUUUCCUUAAGAUCUUACCUAAUGGCAGGAUUGAGCAAUUGUUGUAUAGUUUACCCUGAAAAUGAAACCAAAAAAAUGAGACAAAAAAAAAAAAACUGUUGGAAUCUUGAAUCGACCUUGGAACUUGUGACAUGGUAGAUUCCAAGUUCUUAGUUUUGACGGGUAGGUUCCAAAUUCCAAAAAAUGAAGAACUUGUACCCAAUGGUAGGUUCCAGGUUCCAAAUGAACUUGUAAGGAACCGGGAAUCGCUCACCCCUAGUCCUUUGUCAGAUGUAAAUAUCUAGAAAUUCUAGAUCUUAGUAACAGUCAAAUAGAGGACACGUUCUCGAGAUGGCUGGGAACACUCCCAUAAUUAAAGGUUCUCACGUUGAAGUCCAACAAAUUUAAGGAUUUUUUGAAUAUUCCCAAUAGCGCUCAACUCUUUCCCAAGUUACACAUUUUAGAUCUCUUCCACAACAACUUUGGUGGUCCUUUGCCAACCAACUAGAUAAUGAACCUUAAAGCCAUCAUAAAUGGCACAAAUGCGCAAGACAAAUCAUUGUAUAUGACAUGGUCUCUCCGAUAGUCGGUAUGGUAUGAGAAUGGCAUGUCUGUGACCAUAAAAGGGCAAAAGAUUGACCUAGAAAAGAUCUUGACCAUCUUUGCAACCAUUGAGUUGUCGCACUAUUCUUUUCAAGGAGACAUUCCCAAAGGCUUUAGACAUCUUCACUAUCUCAUAGGGCUCAACCCUUCUAAUAACCAUCUUACAGGUUCCAUCACUCUUACACUAGGGAAAUUGACCAAUCUUGAAUGGUUGGAUCUAUCUUCAAACAAUAUUAAUGGGGGAAUUCCUAGAAAUUUGGGAGAUUUGGCAUUUCUUGGAUACUUGGACCUUUCGAAGAACCACUCAUUGGUCGAAUUCCCCAAGACAAGCAAUUGAGCACAUUUUCAAGCAACUCAUUUGGUGGGAAUCCAAGCUUAUGUGGAACUCUAUUGCCAAAAGUAUGCCCCAGCAAUGCUCAACCUCCUCCACCAUCAUCCUCGUCAACUUCUGACUGCAAAGGACAUGAGAGUUGAUUCAAAUAGAAAACAGUGUGGAUAGGUUAUGCAUCUAGAAUCGUGAUUGAGAUUUCCAUAGCAUACAUUGCAUUUGAAAUGGAAAGGCCCAUGUGGCUUGCGCAGGGUGUGACAAUGCUAGAGAGAAGACUAGCCAUUUGGAUGGAGAAGCCAAACAGGAAGGCCAUCAAAUUUCAUGGACAAUGAAAUUGUUUGAGGAGUUGUCUUCUAAAUUGUGCAAUGUAGAUUCGUCGAAUAAAGAUGUCAUUAGACCAGCUUGAUAUGCCAUUCCCCUCAUGAACGCUUGUUUUUAAUGUCUUCUCUUCUCAUUUCUUGGUGCAAUCGUAUAUCAGUUGAAUUCAAGAGGAAUAGUGAGAUAUGUCUACCACACAACUUGAAAAUAAAGAAGCAAAAAAACAAAAAGUCAAGCAAGUGCCAUUAACCUCUACAAAUAUCUUCUCCAUGUGUAGGAGUGCAUGGCUUUUAUUUGUCCAUGAAAAAUUAGAAGUGAAGACUAGCCUUAAACAAUUCAGCCAAAGUUAUUAAUAAUACAAUUUGCUGCGGAAAUAUGCCCUAAAGAAUUAACACUAAAAUCUUUGAUGUUGCAAGUUAGUAGUAGAUUGUGGAUCAGAAACUAAGCUAUUAGUCAUUGUCUUUGAUAGAGAACAUAACUCAUGAUGGAACAGAAAAUGAUGAGUAAAACAUUCAAAAUAUCUUGAAAUUUCAAAUAACUUUACUAAAAAAUAACAAAAGGGAGUUCACUACCCAAUAAUUAACUGUCCAAAAUUUAAAAUAAUUUGUCUACACUGUAGUCAUGGCCAUAGCCAAGCAUUUUUUUUAAAAAUUAAUGGUCACAUUAUGUCCAUAGAUUGUCUCAUGAAAAAAAAAAAUUCUCCUAUAGACUAGAUUAAUAUGCCUUAAAAAAUGAUGAACAUAGACAUCCUCAACAUGUAUUAUGCAGCAAGAUUGAAUGAUAACGGAAAAAAUUCAUCGGUAAAAUUCAAGUUAUGAGAUUAGUCUGUCAAUGCCCAUUUUACAUCAAUGUCCUGAAGACUACUGUAGUGUCUCGCCAGUUCAAGGUAUUACGAAAUUGCACGUCGAUUUCAGAAAAAUAACGGUUGCAAACAAUUCACCAAGCAGAAUAUACUAAUAAAAUAAUAGAAUCAGAAGAACAAGCUAGAAAAUUUGUUAACGAAGUUCACCCAAACCUGGGUUAUGUCUCCGCGUAGAGGCACUUUGCGAAUCCGCUAGAUUUUGAAAAAAGUUGGAAUACAAUGAUGAUCUUUUCUCAAGAUCAGGGCACAAAAAGAUUGAGAACCCUUGUAAAGGAAAAACUCACUUUUUUCUUCUCUCUUUUUCUUGCCUCUCUGUUUUCUUUUUCAGCGUCUUGAUGACCAGCGUUUUGCCAUCGCUAAUAUAAAUCUAUCACUUUUAACCUAAAAGAAAAUUUGAUGGAAAAGACUAAAAAACCCCUAAAAAUAUUUGGGUUCAUCUUUAACAAUCUCCCACUUGAAGACAAAUAUACCCGAGCACCAAGCAACUUUGCAUCCAUCUUCUUCAAAAAACUAGUUGUUGACACUUAAAUUUUGGUGGCCUAAUCAUUCCUUCAUUACAUAGAAGAUUAGGGACUAAAAUUUAGCCCCUAAGCAAAAAUACUAAAUUAAAUUGCUUAGCAUAUAGAUAUUAGGGGGCAUAUUUCAUUUAAGUAUACAUUUGUUGAGCCUUGGAGGGGAUGCAACUGUGUAGAAUGAGAAGUUUGAAGCCGAUGGAGAUGUUUCUAAGUAGGACAAUUUAAAUCAGGAUCUUGAAGGGACAGAAAAUGGUGACCAUCUCGAUGAAUCAAAAGAGAGCAUUCCUACCCCAAGAAUUGCUUGUCCGGAACUCUGACCUGAAUGUGGAUUUGGAUGAAAAUGGGAAUUCAAAAUCAAUAUUAGCUUCUGGUCCGACCAAGUAUAUCAGCCGCUCUUGACGCUGGAUUCAAGCAUGAGGAAUAUCCUGAGUGGUCUCUUUUUGAAGUUGAGAAGAUGGCCAUCGAUCCCGUUUAGCUUGCAAACUUGAAUAGAGGGAUGGAUGAAGAUGAUGAAGACAACGAUGAAGAAGGCUAAGUCAGCAUGGUGCUUUGGUGCUAUUUGUUGAUGCAAAACCAUUAAAUGUGUUUGGAUAGAGGCGUAGACACCUCACAUGCUAAACUUUGGAAACAUCGUCAAGAUAGGGUUGAAACUGACUAGUUCCAAGCUACUUUAGGAAGUUCAUAGUUCAACAUGUCAAAUUGCAUACAUGUACAAAAGCUUGUGAUGAUCGUCAUAUGGUGUUAUCAUCAAUCAGCUCACUAUUAUCACUGCCUUUUCAUUCCUUUUCGGUUUGGAAUGUAUUGACGCCAUCAAGUCUAUUUCAUGCUUCAAUGCAUGAGUGCCAAAUCUUAUAUUUGCAUAGCCAUCUUUCCUUGUACUCCUGUAACAGAAAAAAUAGGAAAGCCCAAUUUUGCAAGGGAGUUGAAUCGCGGUGGCCUUACACCGUUACACAUUGUGUCGACCACGGGGGAUUUGAAAGUCACGAGGGAGCUUCUAAUAGUAGGCCCUGAUCUUUGCAUGAUCCAGAACAAAGGUGGCUGGACACCGUUCCACUACGCAGCCAUCAAGUGUAGGGUCAAGUGAAGAACCUAGCUUACUUAAAGUAAACACCUAUCAAGCGACUAAGUCAAGUACUCAUUAUAACAACCUAGCUUAGUGCCUAGAGUUUUCACUUAUCUUGAAAAUAGUUUGUGUAAAAUCAAAGGUUUAGUUUCUUUCAAAGUAAAACAUAAUUGAAAUCAAUGUUUUUGUCUUGAAAACGACAAACCCACUCAUGAAGAAUAGAGGAAAUUAACGAGUUUACUUUUUCAAACCUGAAAAUGGUCUCGAGGCUUUAAUGGUAUAUGAACAUGAGACCUCUUGCUUUUACUCUUGGAAUUCAAAGUGCAAGCUGAAAGGAAAGUGGAGAGUGAUUGGUGAAGUAAUGGAAUAGAGCCUUGUCUUGGGAUUCUCUCUCUCAAUUUAUACACAACCAAUACGAAUGAUGAAAGAGGAGAUAAAGAGGAGAUGGGUUAACUGUGGUUAGUGAAUUUAAUAAUCAUAGGAUAAAGUCAUGAAGUCUAAGAGUAGAGAUGUCACACUUCGAUCCUCGGAGCACGUGCCCAUCCCUCACCUUGAUCGAUUAAAUAGCGAUGUCUCAAGAUGCAUCGUCGACCCUUUCUUUUUAAUACGCAUGUGGAAGCAUAUAAAUAAUAAUCCUCAGACAAUAAAAUAAUGCGAUAGGAAAACAAUGCCACAAAAUUUCAAACCACACAACCACGCUUAUAUACAUACAUACAUAGUAGACUAUGUCAUAUAUUAUACAAGUUGGUCUAGGUAUAUAAAAUCAUAUACACUACGACAGGUUCUCAAAUAGGGGGCAGGGGUUUAACAACCACAACUAUUCAUCAUCGCUAAAUUCUUCUUGUUCCACCUCCUCGUCCUCAUUAAUCUCCCCUUAUUCCUCGCUCCAAUUGGCGGCCUCGACUGAGUACACCAGAGAGUCAGGAUUGCUUUUGAGUUUGGGGUUCUUGGCAUCCACUACUGAUCCACCCUUAGGAUCUACGGUGCCAUUCCUAAGCGCAAUCUCCAAAACAUAUCAAGAUACAUCAAAUUCCAGCACAGGACCCUCCCUUCGCCCAUCAUAAUAGUGGCGAUACCUAUGAGGCACCUUUUAAGGUUCACCCAUGUCAACCCAAACAGUGGAUUUUAUCAUUACAUACUCCAAUCCUUCAGGGUGAGGGUGUAUUGGAAUAUGAUAACCUGCUUCUGUGACUUCCUCUGGUAUACCAAAAUGCACGGGAGGAGGGGGAGAUGCUGCCAUCUAUGGACCCGAAAUGUUGUCCCAUAACGGAGUGAGACUACGUCUCAGUAAGUUCUACCUUCUAAGACCCGAUUAGGAAGCCAAUACGCCAUAAAGGCUACCUAAGCCCAAACAGGCGUCAGAGAACUUACAUUGGCAUCAAUUCUUUCCUGCAAGUCAGUUCAAUUCAUAAAUGUUGACUGGUACAUCAUCCACUCAAUUCAAUCAGAUCGACUCAUCGAUCAAUCGACUCGGUCGAUUAUAUGUCAUUGAGACCAUCACACGGUCACCUUGAUUAAUCAUUCUCAACUCUUAGCCACAGCCUAACAAGCACAACCUAUAUUAAGUGGUAAUCAUGGCCCCACUAGCAACUUUUCUAUAUUUGGUGGUCAUCACGGCCCCACCUGGCAAUUUUCUAAGUUUAGUCGCAUCACGGCCCCACUCGGCACUUUUCUUAAGUUUAGUAGCAUCAUGGCCCCACUCGGCAAUUUCUUAGAUUUAUACCUACAUUAUCUAAUUUUUGGUAUAAAUCCUCAUAAUCUCAAAUUUUGCUCAAUUUCCACAAUUCGGUACUCAAUUAAAUAAACAGAGAGCACCACAACAAUCAACACGAAAUUCCGGUCACCGACCAUCCUGGUUGAAUUUCUAAAAAAUAAAAAAAAUAAAUAAUUACGGAAACUAAUAAAUAAAUGCAAUAAAUCCAACUUAGGGUUGUUAUAGCCUAAUUGAAAGUUGAAAUGGACCUGGAAAAAUUUGAAGUUUUGUUCAAUAAUUAAUAGCACGAGUCUACUUGCUAAUGUCACUAACUAACCACCUAACAUGUAUCGGCAGAUAAUUAAAUUAACUAAUCUAAUCUAAUCUAUCCACCUAAAUCAUGCUUAAUUAACCUAAUCAAUCCUUAAUCGCAAUUAACCAACUAAGCGGGAAUUAGUGAGUUCAACUCACUUGUUUCGCGAUCCGUCCAGUUCAAAAUGUCGGGAAUGCAACGGGGACCGAUUAUCUCCAAGGUAGGCCUAGCUUUUGAGGCCCGAAACCACCUCAAAACGGGCCUUGAAGCUGCUGAAAUACCCACUUCAUCAGCCUCUAUUUGUUGCUGUAAACAAGGAAAACAAAGGCUGAACAAGACAAGUAAGACUGGUGAAGGCAACGUCAAAGCUGAGUGACCAACAACACGGGCUCAUGGUGGUUAGAUAGGGCUCAUGGCGGCUUGAGCUGAUCGUGAUAGCUCUUGGGUCAUGCGGACAGAGGCGGAUGACGGGCUGGGAUGUGCGGACAGGCAGCACGGGCGAGCAAACACGCGACGGUGAGUUGGCUGCUCUGGCAGGUGUGUGGUGGCGCAGCUGCUUCCGGCGGCUUGCGGGGUCGACGACUGCUUCUCUCUUGUUGGUUGCUUGGUUUCGAACAAGGCAAGGAGGGAGAGGCAGUUGCAUGGCAAGAGGGAAAGAGGAAGGAGAGAGAUUGGAGGGGGCCACAAGCCUUGAUCUUCCACCAUAUUGUUCCCUUGACUCAACCAUAACCACUAGCACUUCCUUGGUUGCAAUUUAGCUAACCAUGCACAUCCUUGGACACUUGAAAUGUUCCAAAACCAUAGGGAAAUGGGGGAGCUACGAAAUUGGCUAAGUUUCCUUCCAACUGGACACACGUUCUUGUUUAAAUCAACAUGAUUCAACCUCAAUAAAUUCAAUCGACACUCCUCCGAUCAUCUUGGCAUUUUUUCUUAUCAAUACAACUCACUUGCUUCCCAAAUUUGCGAUAAAAAACGAUCCCUGGCUUUUUCUGAACAAAACAGCCCUACCUUGACUUUUUCCUCAAAAAGUUUCGGGUUGGAGAAAAAUCUUUUGAGAUUGAGUCGAUGCUCCUAGAAUUUAUUAUGACAUGACAAAAUCUUCAAUUUCUGAAAUUGAAUUCAAAUUUGCGGUUAAUUUUUCUCAGGCAUGUUUUUAGCGUGACCUAAGCUAUUGGGUAUGUUUCAGAAACUUUGAGUGCAAAUGACCCGUGGUCGAUUUUCUUUGAGUCACAAUGAACCCACUUGACACAUUGGCGACUCUCGAUUGUCAUGAAAAUCUUGAGGAUUCAAAUACGAACACAGGGUACCAAAACGAAAGAAAAAGCAAUUUAGUGCCAGCCGACGAGAAUUUUCCAAUUUAGUGGUGUCACCCACGAUUAGCCACACAUCUUAGUCAAGUCGACCUAUCUCUGAUCUCAAAUUGAUUUUUAACUGUGCCAUAAUAGCCUCUAAAGAUGAGCAUGGUCGAGAAGCCGAUUCCUGGUCGAAUUCUCAGGUCUAUCGCAUUAAAAUUCCUUAAUGGCUUCCUUGGAUUGUCUAAUUAUCUCGAGAGUGAUCAACUUUGAGAAUAGCCUUAUAGGCGCAUCGAUGAAAUACCAAAUUUAUUUAAUAGAAAACAAGAUUGAAAAUCUGGGAUGUCACAACUCUUCCCAUUUUAUAAAUGAAAUUUAAACCAUUACAAAACUUCAACAAAAAGGUAGGGGUACAACUGUCUCAUCGACUCUUCAGUCUCUCAUGUCGCUCCUUCAGUAUCGUGGUAUUACCAGACCACUUUGACCGAGAACUUGUUCUUUCUGAUUCGCUAUGUAAACCGGGUUUUCAACGUAUGACACACGGCCAUCCAUGUCUAAUUCCUUGAAAUUAAGCACUCGGGUCGGGUCAUGCACAUACUUCCUCAACAUCGACAUGUGAAAGACGUCGUGCACUUGCGUCUAUCUCGGUGGCAAUGCAAGACGAUACGCUAAAGCCCUAAUACUCUCAAGAAUUUCAAACGAACCUAAAUACCUCGAACUCAGUUUUCCUUUCUUACUAAAGUGCGAAGUUCCCUUCAUUGGUGACACCUUUAGAAAAAUGUGAUCACCAACUUGGAAUUCUAAAAGCCUUUGACGCUUAACUGCGUAACUUUUAUGUAUGCUCUGAUCAUUGCCAUGGUUUCUACUGAUUGCUGGACCGACUUUGAACUUGUAAUCUUUCUUUCUCCAAUUUCAUCCCAACGCAUUGGUGUCCUGCACAAUCUGCCAUACAACGCUUCGAAUGGAGCUAUCUGUAUGCUUUGCUGAUAAUUGUUGUUGUAGGCAAAUUCCACCAGGUGAAGUUGUUCCUCCCAACUUCCUUUGAAGUCUAGUACAUAAGCUCUAAGCUUGUCUUCGAGGGUCUGAAUUGUCCUCUCAGAUUGGCCAUCCGUUUGAGGAUGAUAUGCCGUACUAUAUUGUAGCUUGGUACCUAAGGCACUCUGCAAGCUCUUUCAAAAGGUGGCAGUAAACCUCAGGUCUCUAUUUGAAGUUAUCGUAACUGGCACUCCAUGCAGGCGAACCACUUGACGCAUGUACAUAUCUGCAUGUCUAUCUAAACUAAGGUCCUUUCGAACUGCAAUGAAGUGAACCGACUUCAUCAGUCUAUCGACUACUACCCAAAUCGAAUCAUUUUCUCUUUGACUCCUCGGUAGUCCAGUCACGAAAUCCAUCGUGAUAUGCUCCCAUUUCCACUCUGGGAUCUUGAGAGGUCGUAGAAGUCUUCCCGACUUGUAAUGCUGACCUUUGACUUGCUGACACGUCAAACACUUGGCGAUAUCCACUUUCAUACCUGACCUUCAAUAGCAUUGACGUAAAUUCUGAUACAUCUUGGUACUAGUAGGAUGGAUGCCAUAACUACUACGAUGUGCUUUUGAUAAGAUAUCCUCUCUAAGCUCUACAUCGUCAGGUACAACCAAACGUCCCCGGAACCUCAGUAUUCCUUCAUCAGAAAUCUGAAAGUCGGCCUUUUUUUUCUCAGUGUCCUCCUGAAGAAUCUUUUGCACAUCUAGGUCCAUCGGUUGGAGUAGCUUAAUUUUGAUAUGGACAUCCGGUUCAAUUCUGAGGGUGGCCAUAAGACUUGAAAGGUGGCCUACCUUAAACUUGAAUACUGAAUCUCGAGCUUUCUUGAUUAGAUUUCACUCCUUCUUCAAUAAAAGAACAAUGGAAGACUUCCGACUCAAAACAUCGGCGACCUUGUUCGCCUUUCUCGGGUGAUAUAAGAUAUCACAGUCGUAGUUCUUUAGCAAUUUCAUCCAUCGACGCUGUCUCAUGUUCAACUCCUUAUGAGAGAAUAUGUACUUGAGACUUUGAUGGUUCGUGAAGAUUUGGAAUUUUCUCCGUACAAAUAGUGUCUCCAAAUCUUCAGGGCAAAGAUAAUCACCGCGAACUCUAAGUCAUGCGUUGGAUAGUUCUGUUCAUGAUGUCUCAACUGACAGGAGACGUAUGUAACAACUCGACCAUAUUGCAUUAGCAUGCAACUCAAUCCUUUAAAUGACGCAUCACUGUAGAUCUUGAAUCCUCCAAGACCAGAUGGAAUGGUGUGCGGUAGUUGGCUUUUCCUUCAGCUCUUGGAAACUACUUUCGCACUUGUCUGUCCAUACAAAAUUUUCUUCUUUCUUUAGGAGUUUUGUCAGUGGCAAUGCUAAUGAUGAGAACCAUUCAACAAACCAUCUGUAAUAACCUGCCAAACCUAGAAAACUUUUGAUCUCUGUCACUGUAGUCGGUCUUCACCAAUUGAUCACGGCUUCAAUCUUGCUUGGGUCCAUAGAGAUUCCUUCACCUGAAAUCACGUGACCUAAGAAAGCAACACGAACCAAAACUCGCACUUGCUAAACUUGGUGUACAACUGAUGAACUCUCAGCAUCUGCAGCACUAGUCUCAGAUGACUCUCAUGCUCUUCAUCACUUCUCGAAUAUACCAAAGUAUCAUUGAUAAACACAAUCACGAAUUGAUUUGGAUAUUCCUUGAAUAUACGAUUCAUCAAAUCCAUGAAGGCAGCAGGAGCAUUCGUCAACCCGAAUGGCAUCACUAUGAACUCAUAAUGACCAUACUGAGUACAAAAUGCUGACUUAGGAACAUCUUCCUUUCUAAUUCUCAGCUGAUGAUAUCCUGUCCUCAAGUCGAUCUCUGAGAAAAUCGACGCUCCUUACAACUGAUCGAACAAAUCAUCGAUCCUCAGGAGUGGAUACUUGUUCUUGAUCGUUACUUGAUUGAGUUGCCGAUAGUCGAUGCACAGGCGUAACGAACCAUCUUUCUUCUUUACAAAUAGAAUCGGUGCUCCCCAAGGUGAUGCACUGGGACGAAUGAAUCCUUUAUCCAGUAGCUCUUGCAUCUGUACCUUCAGUUCCUUCAACUCUAAUAACGCCAUUCGGUAAGGAGCUUUAGAGAUUGGCUCUGUCCCAUGUGCUAGCUCAAUUACGAACUCAAUUUCUCUCUCUAGUGGCAAUCCUAGCAAUUCCUUUGGAAAGACAUAUGGAAAUUCUUGCACCACAGUAAUGUCUUCUAUCUUCAGCUCCUCGACUAUCGUAUCCACGAUAGUUGCCAAGUAACCUUGACAACCCUCGUCUAACAGACGAGUUGCCUCUGGCGACGAGAUCAAGAUAAUUGAGGGUCCUCCUCAAUUUUCGACAAACUUGAAGCUCUUACCCUCUAACAGGUUAAACUAAAUCGCUUUGCGAUAACAGUCCAUUAUAGCUCGUUGCUUAGUGAACUAGUCCAUACCAAUAAUUAAAUCAAAGUCAUACAUGGCUAGGACUAACAAGUCUAUUUUCCUCUCUCACUCACCAAUCACUAACUUGCAACCAAAACAACCCAAAGCAGCAAUAACUUUAUCCUUCAAUGGUGUAGAUAUGAAAACCGUGGACUCCAACAAUAUAGAACUUAAUCCUAACAACUUAACAUAUUGCUUGGCAAUAAAGGAAUGAGUUGCUCUUGAGUCGAAUAAAGCAUAAGCAGGAUGAUCGUUCAGUGAAACCAUACAUGUAAUCACGUCAAGCAUAGCCUCUACCUGACCUUGUGUGAUGGUAUACACUGUGCCCUGAAUUGGAGGUCUAAGCUGUCCUCCUUGCGGCGCAUUCUAAGGUGCAUACCCUCUGAUUUGUCCCAACGGUGGCGGCGAUGGCAAUUGUGGUUGUCCUCUUAUCCUUCUCGGACAAUUCCUGGCUAUGUGACUCAGCUGGCCACACUCAAAACAAGUGCCUGGCCUAGAUUGGCAUGGGGUAGAUCUGUGUCGCAUUCCAUAAAAGCGACAUAUGCCAUUCUGGUUAGACCCAGACUUACCAACUCCACCUUUCCUAUUGGGCAGGAUCUGGAAUCUACCUCUUGUCACAGACUUCUUUCUCUGACGGAUUCCUUCUCUGUAAGAGCUAAACCUCGAUCCAGACGAGACAACUUGUUCGUUCAAACCUCUCUCUAUCGUCUGAGCUCAACGAUAAACUUCUCAAUAAUUUGUCAAAUUUAACGGUAGCAGAGGUUGUUUCAAUUCAGAACAAAGACCACUUCUGAAUUUUCGGGCUUUCUCUUUAGGGUAUUCUACCAACCUUAGAGCAUACUAUGAGAAUUUUGCAAAUGUGACUCCAUAUUGGUCAACUAUCAUGCUCCUCUGGCGGAGACGUUGGAACUCCUCUAUCUUUUGUUUCCAGGCAAUACCCGAGAAGUACUGAUCAUUAAAAGCUCUGAGGAAGGUGUCCCACACCUGGACCACACCUUUUGAGAAUACGAUAUCCUUGGCGGUUCUCCACCAAAUAUUCGCAUUGCUUUGAAGUGGGUACACAACCAGUACCACCUUCUCCUAUUCAUUGCACAUCAGCAGUGCAAACGCUUUCUUAAGAUCCUAAAUCCAUAGUGAAGCAGCCUCGGGGUCUCCAGCACCCAAAAAUCUUGGCGGGCUCAACUUUAGAAAUUGCUCGACAAGCUUAUGGAUCGGCCUAUCUCUCUGCACCACGACAUUCUCAGGUUAAAUUAUGGCGGGUGCAGCAACAGGUGUGGCGACAGGUGUGGCCUCAGCGGUGGCGACAACGGCAGCAGCAGUAGCAGCCUGAGCAACGGCUUCAACAACAGCAGCUUGAUUUUGAGCCUGUUGAUCCAUCCAAUUCCCCAUGACCUCUAGCACUCACAUGAUCCUUUUGAUCCUAGGAUCACCAGGGGCUACUACCCCAGCACCAACAGGAGGUGGUGCUACUUCACUAGCACUAGCCCGUGCCGGUGCCCUAGCUUUGCCUCCUCAAGUACCGACCCUUGUCGGCGUUCUAACCUGAAUUGUAGGCCUAAUAGUUCACUUACUCAAAGUUCUCUGCUCCGGCUCGCUCAUGGUUUAGUCUUUUCUACUGAAACCUGUCUUCCAAAUCCAUACUAGAUUAGAAGAGGAGCAAUCCACACACAACAAGCGAUUUUACCAAACAACUACCACUGACAUGCAUCGAUCACGAAUUUAAAGCCCUCUCCUACUUAUUAUCUCAUAUUCAUCGCACCUUAUUACUCCAAUCUUUAACCAUUGCUCUGAUACCACUUAAACCGGGAUGUCACGCCCCGAUCCUCUAAGCACGUGCCCAUCCCACACCUUGGUCAAUUAAAUAGCGACGUCCCAAGACAUAUCGCCGACCCUUUCUUUUUAAUAUGCAUGCGGAAGCAUAUAAAUAAUAAUCCUCAGACAAUAAAAUAAUGUAAUAAGAAAGCAGGGCCAUAAAAUUUCAAACCACACAAUCACGCUUAUAUACAUAUGUACAUAGUAGACUAUGUCAUAUAUUAUAUAAGUUAGUCUAGGUAUAUAAAAACAUAUACACUACGACGGGUUCUCAAACAAGGGGCGGGGGUUUAACAACCACAACUAUUCAUCAUCGCUAAAUUCUUCCUGUUCCACCUCCUCGUCCUCAUUAAUCUCCACUUCUUUCUCACUCCAGUUGGCUGCCUCGGGUGAGUAUAUAAGAGAGUCCGGAUUACUUUCAAGUUUGGGAUCCUUGGCAUCCACUACUGAUCCACCUUUAGGAUUUCCUGUGCCCUUCCCAAGCGCAACCUCCAAAACAUACCGAGGUACAUCAGAUUCCGGCACAAGACCCUCCCUUCCCCCGUCAUGAUAGUGACGAUACCAUGACCGGUACCUAUGAGGCACCUUUUUGGGUUCACCCAUGUUGACCCAGACAGUGGAUUUUAUCAUUACAUACUCCAAUCAUUCAGGGUGAGAGUGUAUCGAAAUAUGAUAAUCUACUUCUGUGACUUCCUCCGGUAUACCAAAAUGCACGGGAGGAGGGGGAGGUGCUGCCAUCUAAGGACUCGAACUAUUGUCCCACAACGGGGUGAGACUACGUCUCAGCAAGUUCUACCCCCUAAAACCCGAAUAGGAAGCCAAUACACCCUAAAGGCUACCUAAGCACAAACAGGCGUCAGAGAACUUACCUUGGCCUCAGUUCCUUCCUGCAAGUCAGUUCAAUUCAUAAAUGUUGACUAGUACAUCAUUCACUCAAUUCAAUCAGAUUGACUCAUCAAUCAAUCAACUCGGUCGAUUACAUGUCAUCAAGACCAUCACACAGUCACCUCGAUUAAUCAUUCUCAACCCUUAGCCACAGCCUAAUAGGCACAACCUAGAUUAAGUGGUAAUCACGGCCCCACUAGCAACUUUUCUAUAUUUGGUGGUCAUCAAGGCCCCACCAGGCAAUUUUAUAGGUUUAGUGGCAUCACGGCCCCACUCGGAAUUUCUUAGAUUUAUACCCACAUGAUCUAAUUUUUGGUAUAAAUCCUUAUAAUCUCAAAUUUCACUCAGUUAUUACAAUUCAGUACUCAAUUAAAUAAAUAGAGAGCACCACAACAAUCAGCAUGAAAUUCCGAUCACCGGCCAAUGCUUUUCAUGGUCCUACCCAAAGUCACUUUGAUUCCUCAAGUCAUAUAUCUGAUUAUACAACUUUUUCAAGUUUUUCAUUUUCGAUUCUAUGUGAGGAUUACCCUUGAUGCCAGAACAAGGGAACUUUUCUUCAAACCACUUCUCUAACAUAAUCAUGUAACCACUCUUGAAGCUGUUAUUGGCUUUCAUUCCUCACGUAACAAAUUCUUCAAGACCAUCUAGAAAUGCAUUUUCUUCAUCUAUUGUCCAUACAUGUCGAUCUCUCUUUGUUCCCCUUCCUUGAGUUUGACUAAAAUCGCUACCUUCCAUUUCUAAAGGAAAUCCUAUCCAACCUUAUCCUAUCCCCCCCUCAGAUUUUUUUAUCUGGUUUAUAUCCUUUCUAUAUUUGACUUUAUCCUAUCCUAGAUAGCUACCAAACAUGGGAUAGGAUAAAACAUAUCCUAUCCUGGUUUUUAUUCGGUCAACCAAAUGCAGCUUAAGAAAUGAGGAAAUUAAUAGGAUUUUUCGUUCGGGAGGUUAUAGGCGAUCUUCGUGCAUAUUGAAAAAGGAGAUAAAAUAUUCCGCGAAGAUUACAUGCGUGGACUAUAAAAGGAGCCGUGUAUGGAGAGAGACGGAGGGCUUUUCUUGGUUUCUUUUGGGGUCUUUCGUUUCCUUCAUUCUUAAAAGAAAAGAGCAACAAAAAGAAAAGAAAAGCUUUCUUUUGGGGGUUCUUUUUAGGGAAAAGGGGAAAAGCCAGCAAAAGGGCAGAAGGCGAUAGAGAGAAAGUGACGUGAGAUAGAGAUGUGUGAGAGCAGGAAAAAAGAAAAAAAGAGAAAAAAGCAAAAAGAUGAACAACUAUUCAUCUUCUUCGUCAGUUCCCGUCCGGUGUCUUUGCUGCCCGCCUUUUCCGCGCUGCCAUUGCCGCCAUGCUGUUGCCUCACUGCAGCCACACCACCGCGCUUCCAAAUGCCACCACCAUCGUUGGUUGCAACGCCGUGUUCACUCGUCAUCGCCGUUCCCCCCUGUUGCUAAGUCGAGUUUCUUUGCCCGAGCGUCAACGCUAGCAACUUGAGAUCUCGUGAUCCACCUGCUGCUUCAUCUCUAUCCUUGCUCUGCUUCACUCGCGGUGACCCAACGCUUCCGCUCGGAUGCUUGUCCCCCGCAUCCACCAUCGCUCUUGUAGCCGGACUCGACGCCUGCAGCACCUUCGAGCUGUGACGCUAGAAUCGGACGCUGAGCCACCACGCGACCCAAUGCCAACGCCCGCUGCUGCUGCCUCCACCCCCAACCGCAAUGUAGCAGCUGCUGUCCCUCUACUCGACGCCAGCAGGUCUUGAACUGAAUGCCGGCCCCCUUGCAUGCCGCUCCCAGCCCUCUUCGAGCGACGCCGCUAAAAUAUCCGUGACUUCGGUCACCCUUGCUGCCAUGUCCAAUGACCACGCUUGCAGCACCUCAGAGUGACGUCUAUAGCAAUUCGCCGCCAGUCCUCACUGGAGCUCCAGCAACCCACCAUCACGGCGACCAAUCCUUGAGCCAUAUUGAGCCUUGUCGCGAUCCACGAGCCACCGGUUGUUAAAUUUCGUUUGGAAGAAAAUUCAAAUUAGGUAGUUUUUUAUUUUAUGUAAUUUAUUUAUUUUAAUAUUUUGUUUCUUUAUCCAAAGUAUUCCUUAAUGUAUCCAAUUGAAAUCCCUGAUUGAUAUUCACAAUUCAAGCAACCUUUUAAAUUAGGGAUUGAUAGUCCCAUUUUCGCGCCUCAAAUCCGACUUGCAAUCGCAUGAAAAAUCGCCAAUCCAAUCUCAUGCUCGAGAUUCGAUUCGCGGUUUUAUUUAAAAUUGACCAAUCCGAUCCCAUGCAAGGGAUAUGAUUCGUCAAUCUAUGGAUACGAUCUUAUCUUGCCUAAUUGAUGUCAUGUCAUUUGAUCGAUUUUGUUUUCGUAAAAGAAAAUCCAAAAACUUUGAGUUAGAUUAGGUUUAUCGUUUUAGGGUUAUUUUGCAUAGGGAAUUUUUUAUUUCGAAUUUUUGAAAAAAUAAAAAUCCAAAAAAAUGCAUUCACUUAGGAUGUUAGUUUUUUUUUUUAAAAUUGCACGUUUAAUUAUGUGUCAAUUUUAAUUUCGAAUUUCAUAGAAAAAAAAAGAAAAAAAAUAGAAUUAGGGCAUUCUUUGCACGUCAUUGCAUAUUAGGAUAAGAUUGCAUGUUUAAUUUUAAAGUUUAGAUAUUUUUUCCUAGAUAGAUUGCAUUUUAGGUUAGAGAUAACAUCCUAGUUUAAAUUAAGAUUUGACCUAAUCUAAAUCUUAAUAUAAGUUGGAUGAUAUCUUAAUUUGGAUAGAUAAUUUUUUUCAAUUUUAUAAUUUCGAAUUUCAUGGAAAAUACCAAAAAAAUUGUCUUUGAAUAAAUUAAUUUCAUUCUCUAGAAUAGGUCACAUGCUCAUCAAGAAAACACAAUAUUUCACUUACGUCAUAUAUUUUAGGUCAUAUUGCCAUGUCAUAUCAUUUCAUGUUAGAUUAAUAACAUUGCAUUGCAUAAUACAUGAUUCUCAUUAAAUAAGUGAUUGCGUGUUAAUUAGAAAUCAUAUCUAGGACUGUUGAUGUGAAUUCUGAUUUAACAUCGCAGAUGCUUUCAAUACCAUGAGGUAAAUCCUACAAUUUAUUCACCGUGCUAUUUGGGUGUUAAAUUGGUGGUUUGCGCACCCGCGUGAUAACCUCACAUAUUGGGGAAGUAAAUUAAAAUCAAUUCAAGCUGCUUGCCAAACAUUUUUUUUUUCAAAAUAAAAGAGAAAAGUACCGAAAGGGCAUUAAAAAAAUCUAGCGUAAUUAAGUCCCCGAACUCAUAAAUUUCUGGUUCGUAAGAGUAAAGUAAAUCUCUCGUUACUUUACUUAGGUUUCUAACCGACCCACCAAAAAUAGAUUAAUAGCGACUUCCAAUUGAAUAAUCAUUUGCAUGUUAAGAAUUCGAACCUAAGUCGUGAAUUGGUAUGGGCUUGGGAGAACCUGAGCUAAGUUUAGGCUUAGUAUUCCAUUAGCCAAACUCUAAGUGGUUCACCCCGAGGUCAGGUCAUGACAGUUCCUCGAGGGGAAGGGGGGACAUUUUCCACUGCUCUCUUCCAUAAACGAAGCUCCAAAGUGUGAAUCCAACAACAAAGCCAUAUGGUAACUGUAGAUAUAUCUAAUAUGCACAUUUGAGUAAUAGGUAAUAUUCAUUAGGAUUUGUUUCCUCAUCCACAACCGCACAUUGAUUUUUUUGUUGCUUUUGACGGAAUAAUUAAUCGCACAGGAGUCUUAAAAAUUGAUGUUUUGAUCUUUAAGGAUUGAGUCAACUUAUCGAUUUUAUCUGUGAAAUAAUCAAGUUAAUUAAAUAUUCUCCUAAUUUGAAUUGUGGAUGAUAUCUUUAGCGAUUUGAUGAUAUUUUGUGAUUUAGGUGAUUAUAUUACUUUAUCUACUUUCCUUACCUUGAUAAAUACAAAAGGAUUGCUUUGCAUAUUGUAACAUCCUCAACUUCGAGCCUUUUACAUGGUAAAAGAGAAGUUCGAACUUGGUUUCACUAGUUAAGCUUGGUUGUGUCUGCUUCCUCUUAUCAUGUCUUAGGCAUGAAUUUCGGGCCAAAUGAGAUAGUCAAUUGUGGUCAAACUUGAUUAGUCCAUGCCUAAUGAUAAAGCCUUCAAAACUGAGAUAUUCCAAGUUGUAUUUAAUGCCCUCGUCUUGUAGUUAAUUAAGGAGCAAGAUGGACACGUGGCACAUCGGGCCUUAGCCUUAUAAGACAAGUAUGAAGCUUGGACUAGUCAAACUUUCUUAGAAAAACAAGUGUAACAAAUGUGAAUUCAUGUGAACAUAUUAAAUGAUGGGGUGCAAAGGAUGUCCCUAUAGCCUAGGCCUAAUCAUACCCUAAAUACCUAAGUGUGAAUUGUGGACUUUGGAGCCCAUGAGGAAAUGGUCACGCAUCCAAGAGGAAAAGAGAGAGAAGGCGAGUCAAGUUCAAACUUGAAACUCAAGAUAAGUUCACAUUAAUAUCUCUUGGAAUUUAGCCAUUCAAUGAGCAAGAUGAAGUGCCCAAGCUAUCCUAGGACCUAGUUGGAAACUUGGAGGAUAAGGAUGUCCAACAAUUAAUGCUUCUUGACCAAGUAGGGCGCCCCAUCUCUCCAAUUAGAUAUACAACCCAAAAAAAAAAAUUGUAUGUAAUUGUGUUAAUUAGAAACAUAUAUCUAGAUUGAAUUUGUGAUUAUUCUAAUUAACAUUACAGAUGCUCGCAUUGCUUUAAAGUAAGUACUUCUUUUAUAUCUUUGCAAUUUGUUUGUUGUUUUGAUUGUCGAGUGUUUCAUUAAGGGUUGCGACCCGUAUAAUCACUUCACAUGUCUUCAAUCUGCCUAUCAAACUUUUUUGAAUGAAAGAGAAAGGUAUUGAAAGAGUGUUAGAGUAACCUAGCCCAAGUCAUCAAAUUUGUAAUCUCUGGUUUGUAGAGGUAAAUCAAUUUUCUCAUACUUGGGUAUCUAAUUGACACACAAAAAACCGACUCGUGGUGAUUCCUUGACAAAAAUCAUUUGCAUGUUAAAUCACUUGAACUUGAGUUGCAAAUUGAUAUAGGGCUGGGAGAGCUCGAGUUAAGUAUAGGCUUAAUACUCCAUUAGUUAAACCUCUAAUUGAAGCACUUGAGGUAAGGUCAUGACAAAUGGUCGUAAUUAAGUUCUAACACUAAAAUCUCCAAUAUUCAAUUAGAUUAGGCAGGUUUGAUAGGACUGAUCAUUUAGACUUAAAAAGAUUUUACUUAAUUUAAAACUCAGUUUGAAUAUUCAGUAAAGAAGGGAUCACCUAAUUGGUUCAAUGUAAAAAAAUAAUGAGAGCAUUUAAAAAUCUUCCCAUUUAUGUGACUAAAAUAUUUUAUUACUUUAAUAGUGCUCAGUUGUCUAUCUUCAACAAGAAACUAAUGACUGCUAAGGUUCUUCAAUUUUCAGAUAUUACCACACAUAAUUUUCAUUUCAUUUUCAGCCUUAAAGAAUCAUGUGCCAAGUGACAUGGGAGUAAUGUGAUAUGAUAAUUUCGUUGAAAAUUUCGUCGAAAAUAAAAACCGAGUAAAGGUCAAUAAAAAUCUGAGAAAAUUGUUUCAAACCCUCUUUAGUUUUUUAAAUAUAUUUUGAACGUACGAAGUCCAAAAAAUCCGAAAUUAAAGUAUGUUAUAGAACAAAGUAUAAUGAGAAACUUUUUUUUGAAGAAUCCCUCACAAAAUUCAUACCACAAAAAAUGAGUAUAAAAUUGGAAAAAGUACAGUCUACAGUAAAUUGAAACAAAAAUAGUAGUAUCCUCGGAUUUGUCCUUGACUUGUGCCAUUUAAGCUCAAAGCAACAUAAAUCUCAACAUUUAGUACCUCAGCAACUUAGUGAACUCAAUAAACCAUCAUUUCAACAAUGCUCGCGAUGUACGUUUGUUGAAAUCGCCAACUAACAUGACUAUGUACGAAAUCAACCAAGACGACUAAAAUCUGAGGAAUCAACUUCCACGCAUGGCAAUCAACCUACGUAACAUAAAAAGGAAGGCAAUUUACUUGCCUAAGUCCUAGGUGAGUGUCGUCGCGGUUUGGUGAGGUCUCGAAAGUCUGAGGCUGUGGCUGGCAUUGUGUGUAUUUGACACUGAACAAGUGAAAGAAAGAACGACAAUUCAUGGUUGAAUCAGCAUACAAAACCACAUCAAAAUCAAAUGGUUAUGAUGACAAAGAAAGAGUUGAAGCUCUAAUUUCACUUCUGGGUGAAAAAACUAGAGAUACUUGCCCUUCUUUGUCAUGAGUCUAUUAAGUUUACAUCAAAUGUCGAAUCUACACAAGAUGCAAUUGCGGAAAAUCUCCUCUCUAGUCUUCUUACGAAUCUGACCUUUGUUUAAAAACUCGAGGUUGGAAGAUCAUUAUAAUGGUAAAGGUUUUGAUGAAUUCAUCCGCGAAGUGCAUUUGAUCGUUACUAUAUCCAUCAGACGAUUUCUUUUGGGGAUCAUGUUAUUCAGGUGAUUAACCAAACAAGAAAGAGAUCCUAGAAUAGUAAGGUUUCAUAUUUCACUACUUUGAUAAGUCACCAAUCUACUAACUAUCCCAUCAAAUAAGUCGAAGAUUUGUUAAACUACGAAACCUCAUUUUGUCGUGAUGUGAUAUAUUUCCGAUGUGAAUAAAAAAGUACCAAAUGAAUGAUUGAGUAUUCCUUCAGCUGUUGAGAUAUAUCAUUAUGUAUGAAAGAUGGCCAAUGGGUUCAAGGCAUAACAUUGGUAAUGCUAUGUAAGCUUUUGUUUACCAAGGGUUUGAAUCCCUCUAUUUACACACCUUGAAGCAAUUUACCAUUGAUACUAAUCACAAUGUAUCAAAGAAAAGCACAUACGCUAAUUUCAAAGGUUAAAACUUUCUUUGAUAUGUAUCCCCUAUUUCCAAGUCCCCACUUGAUAAUCUGGCUUGAAGAAAUAAAAUAACUUGGCGCAAUUUAAUUUUCCUUAAAUCGAUGUAUUAUGGGUUAGUGGCAACUUAUGAAUAAAAUCUUAUGUUCAUGAUUGACUGGGAAACGAUUUGCGAUUGAUAGGGCUCGGGUGAAUCGUAGCCAAGCAUAAGCAUCAUCUUGCAAGAGAAAUCGUUCGUGUUCCCAUGGCCAUAUGUUAACUCAUAUCAUGAGAACAUUUGGCAUUUUGCCCAUGGCAAGGGUCGUGAUAAUUGUACUUCCCUAUAAUAGAUGCAAAUCAAGCAAUCAUGAGAUAAUUAGUUUUUUUUAUGCAUCUUGAGUAAUUUUUCAUAUAGAAAAAACAAAGAAGUAAAUUUAAAUGCAAUUUCGUCCUUUCAAGGAUUAGUAAUUCUGGUCAAUGAUUUGGGAACACCAUAUGGUUUUUUUAUGGAAUCAAUUUUCGGAAAUUUUGAAUGCAAAUAAAAUUUCUCUGUUUUUUUUUUGUGUGUUUGGUGCUCUUUUUUUUUUUUUUUGUGGGGGUGGGGGUGGGGGGAUUUACAUAAUCCAACGAUGGUCUUUGCUCGUUUGAAAACGAACGGUGCAGAUGUGCCGAGCACGAAAAUCGAGGGGCACUAUCAAUUUCUAGGGUUUUUUUUAUACCUAUUAUAAAUUCGAACUACCAAACGUAGCUUGUAAGCCAUCGUGAUUUCUUCCUCCUCUCAUCUUGUCUCUUCCUUAUUUCCUCUCGCCGUAUCCCACCUCUCCAAAUUUCCAUGUGAACGAGAUCGAGAUCGAGGGAGAAGAACUCGAGCGGGCAGUUGAAGCCGGGCCAUGGAAAUUUUGCUGUAACCGGAGUCGAGGGCGUGUGAUCAGGGGCUGAAGGAACAUAUCGACGCCAGAGAUUAGCAACUGGACCGGAACUUCAGUCCUCCUCAUUGUACGUUGUCUUUCGGCCUCGUUAUGCAAUUGCAUGCCUGUCUGAAUUUUCUGUUGCAACUCGUGACGCUCUAUUAUAGGAUUUUUCUACUUAAAUUUCCAGAUCUUUUAUAUCUGUAAGAAACAUAAGACACUUAAAUCGUUUAAUCGGCCAAAUAUGGAACAGAAAAUAAGCAAUAAUAAUGUCUAGUCUUGUGUCUGGAGCCUUUUCCCGGAAGGCGUUCUCUAUCAAAUAAGAUAAUUAAUGUUCCCGUUGAGCAAAGAGCGAAGAUUUUUAUUGGUUUAUCAACGCCAAGUUACAUAAUUGGCUUGACUGAUGGCUUCCACUUCAAUCGUUCUCAACUCCAACUGGGGUGGAAAGCCUUUGGUCAAGCCAAGCCAUACUAGAUGCGGGCAAACUGGAUAGUUUACCGUCCAUCGUUACAAUUGAUUGGCAUUAAUAGAAAUCAAGCAAAUUGAAGAACUUGAGGGUGCAGCUGAGCCGGGGCCACGAAAUAAUGUUGAGAGAGAAUCUUAGAUGUAGCAGCAAAUUGGACAAUUAGGUUGGGUUUUGGUGAGCUUGACUCAAAAUUUCACUCUUCAUGCUCACUUCACCAAAUCUUUUUUCCUUACAAAUCUCCAAUUCCGUGUCCCAUUUUUUCAUUAUGAAUCUAUGAUUUCACAUAUAGGUUCAUAUAGGCUGAAAUUUUGAGUUGGUAGAACAAUUUGCUGCAUCCGAGUCAUUCACAGAAAAACUAAGCCAGGCUUGUGUAUAAGAAGCAAACGACAGAACAAUAGCUUUUAAUCUGAAGAGCAAAAUUUGAGGAUUGUUUCCUGUCUUUUCAAAAGAAGUUCCCAGGGUCUUGCUUGUUGGUACCCAGUCACUUGAAACAUAUCUGUUCACUCUUCUGUGGGUUACAGGCGAAAUGCCGAGUGCGACAUUUAAAUUAUGGGAGCUUGUUGAGUUUCUACCUAAUAAAUUGUUGUUGAUUUGUCUGACAUGCCAUGCCCACUGAAUAACCCAAUGCAGAGGAUUUGUCUAACAUGCCACGCCCACUGAAUGCAGAAGAGGAAGAACCCAAUACAGAGGUUCCCCAAGGUAUGUGCAUCUCCCAAUUCCCCUUUUGUAAAAGCUCGUGCAGGAUGCUUAAUUUGUCUUCUAAUCUUCACCUAAUAAUAGGGGUAUAGGCAGGACCUCAGAUUUCUGAUAGUUAUAGAAAAACACAAAAUAAACAUGAACUAAUAGGAAGAGAGGAGCUUAAGAGUCGGUCAUUGACGAUUAAUAGAUCUUUGAAAAUGGACAGAACAAUACUCCCAAGUGUGAAAUUUAAAUUUUGAAAAGCAAUGGCUCUCUAUCCCCUCGGAUCACCUACAUAAAGAGCAUUGCUUUUUUAAAACAGAAGCAAAUUGUGGUUUUCAAUCUGAAGAGCACAGUUUGAAAUCUGUCUCCCGUGUAUGUUAUAUAAGAAAGCCUCCAUCCGUUUACCCUUUCGUGGGAUGCAGGGGAAAUGCCGAGAGCAUUGGAUCCACUUUCAGUUGUUGAGGUUCUGCCUAAUAACAUGCGGAAGUCUAACUUCUGCGAGAAUGAGUACGUUGGAGACACGAAGAGGAUCAAGGCGCAGUUUGCUGGGGUAGGAGGAUGUGGAAUUCUUGGCUGUAAGGUCUUCAGACCGAGUGAGAUCAGAAGCACCAGAGGUGCUGAAGGGUGAAAGAGCAGUGGAAUCGAGCAAGAGACAAGGCAAUGAUGAAGGUUCAUCCAACCUCACACAGAGUUCGCAUCAGCCCUUGACUGUGGGCAGUGAAGUUGCUCGGUGUAAGACUUCAUUUGUUGCCAUGCCGUACCUGAGCUAUGGUGCAGGUUCGUCAGCCUUUCUUCCAUCGGCUGAGACGAAUUUUCCCAAUCAGUCUGGUUCUGCUUUAACCAACAUACCACGCCCGCUGAAUGCCAAAGAGGGAGAACUCAAUACAGAGGUUCCACUAUGUGUGCAUCUCUAAAUUUCAUCUCUAAAUUUGGCAUACGUUGAAGCUUGUGCAGGCUGCCUUAUUUGUCUUCUAAUCUUAACCUAAGAAAAGUGAUACAGGUAUAGAGAAACUGAAAAUGGUCAGGAAUUAAUAGGAAAAGAGGAGUUUUAGAGUCGGUCAUUGAUAAUCACUAGAUCUUUGAAAACGAAAAGACAAAUGUUUUGAAGUGUGGCAUUCAAAUCUUGAAAAGCCAUGGCUCUCCCUGUCCCCUCCGAUCUUCUACAUGAGCAUUGGCCUAUAUGGUUAAAUUAUUCAUCAAAGAUAAUUCCCAUGGCUUUUAAUUUUAAAUCAAUUCUUUUCUAAUGAAGAGCUCAUGAUAUGGAGUCGCCAGUAUUUCACUAUCAUGACAUCAAUGCCUACAAUACAUAUUAAUUAUUGUAUUGAAUGUUGCAUGUAAUAUUUUUGUUCGAAAAAGUGAAUACAAAGUUACAAUUUUUUAUUUCCAUGAGUGUAACCUACCUAUAAAAUAUAUCUAAGGAGUACCCAAUAGUGAAUUUUCACUUAUAAUUGUGUUUAGGUGCGAGAACGCAUCUUGGACUGGCUAAGAGUCAACGAGGUACCCGUGGGCUUGCCGACGCGAAUAUGACGUCUCUCAAAAGAAAGCUGGAAGAACUCAUCAGCAGUCGCCGAGCGGACAUGAACGAGCUGAAGUCGAAGUGGACGAGGACAGAAGAAGAAUAUGGGAGUGUGGUUCGGGCAAUCAGAGAAGGAAUAUCUUUUCCACUGGAGAAAGUAGCAGAGGUGGAAGGGCUGUGCAAAGAAGUCGAACAGAUUCUUCUAGUUCCAGGAAGAUUUCGGCAAGAGGCGACGGUUAGAUGUCGCAAAACAUCUCCCUUGGUGACAAUAGAAGAAUUAGUAGGCAAAGAAACUCUGCAGAAGGUGGAUGAGAUUGUUUGCUUUAUAAUGCAGAGCAAGGAUUUCGUAAUUGGUGUUUAUGGUAUGGGCGGAGUGGGCAAGACGGCCAUUUUGAGGAAUGUCUAUAAUAGACUCCUUGAGUAUCGUGCAUUGGAUGUAUUCUGGGUUGAUGUACCUCAGGAUUUUAGUGUUUGUGCGCUACAAGAAGCGAUUGCCAAUGCAGUCGGACUAGACAAUCUUUCAAAUGAGAAGGACUUGAAAAGAAGGGCGGGCCUAUUGUGUGGACAUCUGAAGGUGAAGAAGAGACCCAUCCUUAUUUUAGAUGGCCUUUGGAUGCACUUUGAAGUUAAGGAUGUGGGUAUUCCGGUUGGAAUGGGCAGACUAGGGUUGGUAGUGACAACUCGAUCACUAGAUGUGUGUCGUAUGAUGCUCUGUCAAAAGCAAAUGAAGAUAGAACUUCUCAAGGAGGAAGAUUCUUGGAGGUUAUUUUCAAGGACGCGUGGCCUUGCGGGAGAACUAUCUGGGGAAGUUGGACAAAUUGCAAGGUCUCUUCUUAAUAGGUGUUCUGGUCUGCCACUUGGGAUCAUUGAGAUUGCAACUCGCACGAGAGGAGCGAAAGAGCAUGAUUGGAGAUGCAUGUUGCAAAAUUUAGAAGAUUGCAGGCUGGAGCUUGACGUGUUCAAGAGACUGCAGCUCAGUUACUUGAACUUGGGUAAUGAACAAGUGCAACAGUGUUUCCUGCAUUUAAUCCUUUGUUUUGGAGAUAUCCUUUCAGCAGAUGGCAAAAAGUUUUGCAUAGAGUCUUUGAUAGAUGAGGGUUUGUUAGGUGGAAUUGCCACUAGGAAUAGACUGUACGAACGGGGUAACGAAAUAUUGGGUAAAAUAGAAGGGGCUGGCCUGUUGGAUUUUGAAGAAGGGCAUCGGUGUCUACACCCAUUGACAAAGGACAUGGCAUUGCAUAUGGUGCCGAGCACAACUCACAUGUUUAAGGCCAUUAUGGGUUUGAGAGAAAUACCGGACGACGUAUUCUGGACCGAUCGUCUAGAGAAAGUCUUUUUACAUGGCAACAAAAUAGAAGAAAUCCCAUACGGCGUAUCACCAAAUUGCCCUAAACUGACGAGGCUGUCUUUACAUAGCAAUUCCACCUUGGCAGUCAUCCAUGGAUCUUUCUUUGGACAUCUAAAGGGGCUGACUGUUCUAGAUCUCAGCUGCACCGGAAUCACGGAAUUACCAGACUCCAUCUCUGAGUUGGAGAGCUUGGAAGCACUGUUACUGCAAGGUUGUUCCUCAUUGCGUUUUAUUCCUUAUGUAGGAAAGUUGCGAUCCCUAAGAAAGUUGGACCUCAGUGAGUGUAGAAGUCUUGGAGAAGUGCCAGAGGGCAUGGAGAUGUUGGCAAACCUGAGGUACCUCGCCCUACUUGUUGCAGAGAUCCAGACAUUACCGGAGGGAGUGUUGGGGAAGCUGGUGAACUUGCAAUAUCUCGCGAUUAAUGAGCUAAGGGUGGGAGAAGAGGUAAAAUUACUGGAGGUGGAUGAACUUUAUUGUUCUGUUUCCGAUGUGGAAAUGUUCAAUGCAUGCGUGGGGUGUCUUGAGCGAAAUGGAUCCGCAUGCUACAGGCUCAUGAUGGGUGCACGAAGCGGUGAGGUCCUUUGGGGUGGGAUUGACACUGAGAGGUUGUUACUCAUUGAUAGUUGCGACCGUAUCGCCGGGAGCGUAGAUGGAACAAGUGGUGAUGGCUGCGUUCUGCUUCCGGAAAGUGUGCAAUCAUUGGUAUUGUCCCGGUGUCAUAAAAUGAAGAGAGUGAUGGAAUGGGAGUGGCUGACUGCUCACCUUCCAAAUCUGGAGGAGAUUGUAACCAUUAGUUGUGAGAACUUAGAGGAGAUAAUACAUGGGCCAUUGCCAAGUGAAGCCACUUGUCGCCUUAGACAUCUUGAAGUAAAUGGAUGCAACAACAUGAAGAGGGUGCUGCUGACGCAAGACAUGGUGCUCCAUCUCCCUUUCCUCGAAGAUAUAGUAGUCCACGACAGCAAGGGCAUAGAGUUGAUAAUGGGCACUGUUGCCAAAAUGACGUACUUCUCCUUCCCGAAGUUAAUGAACCUGGUUCUACAUAAACUUCCGGAACUGAAGAGUGUAUGUGAUGGGAUCAUGAGAUGCAAUUCCCUCCAACGGGUUUCUAUAGACAAUUGUCCAAAACUGAAGAGGAUUCCUCUGCAGCUGCCCCUGCUUGACAAUGGGCUGCCUUCUCCUCCCCCUUCUCUUCGAGAGAUUCGGAUAAAUCGGCAGAUGUGGGAGUCGCUUGAGUGGGAUCAUCCCCUUGCCCGUUCUUCACUUGAACACUUCAUCAAGUUUCUUGGUAAGUAACCCACAAAUUUUACUUAUUUUAUCCUUUCUAACUCCCUUGGUGGUCCCUUGUAAGGAUCUGUUCACCCGCAGUAUGGGAAAUUCAUUUUUUUUUCCAAAACUUUUAUAGCAAGUGUUAUACCACAUAACUGGUUUGAAACUAGCAAUUAGGCCCGUGCUACACACUGAUAAUUGAAUUCUAUUACUGCUUGAAAGUGCAGCAGAUUAGCCAUGUUAUUAUUAGACCUUAGCGAUGUUAAAAAGUUAUUUAAAAAAAAAAUAAAAGAUCUCCCUUAACUUUGAAUGAAUAACAACGCAAUUGUCCUUGCUCUCUCUGUUUUUUUUUUUUUUUGGCCAAGGCACUCGUAUAUUUAGAAGAUGUUUCUCACGCCAAUUUUUUUUAAAAAAAAGCCAUUCUGAGUAUACGAAAUUGUGCAUAUGCUGAUAUGGAAAUCCCUCUUUCAUAAAUGAUCAGUUUUUGUGGUCACAAAAUGAUCACGACAUGGAGAUAACAAAUGAUUAGUGGCUGCAGAGUUUCUCAUACGAAAAAAUUGAAAUUUAUCAUGACAUCCUUGUUGGGAAGAUGCUAAAGCCUAGUAAAAGUAAAAUUUGAUUGGGAAGUUCUACUUUAUUGGUUGGGAUGGUUUAAGAGAGCAUGUUAUAUGCUUUGUACCUUUUCUUUUUGUUGUCUUUUCUGUUUUACCUCAUCCAGUACUUCUAUUUUCAAUUUCAAGUCUUCUGUUGCUUUUUAAAUUGAUCACUAUUCUUCAUGAAUACUUUUGAUGGACUUUGUAUUUUCGAUUGCAUAUUUGAACUUUUUGAAUUCCUUUCUUUUAAAUUUGAUUAAGUUCGGUUGGCCGGAGGAGUCUCUAAUUUCUUUAGUUUGUUUAUGUUCUCUCUUUAAUUCGAUUAGGUUUUAUCAUUCAAAGAAGUCUCUAAUGCCUUCAAAUUGUUUUUGGAAUAGAAAAAGAAAUGAGGGGUUAGCUAUAUCUGGAACCUCGUGAAAUCUAUGAGGGCUGAUCUUUUGGAAGCGCAAAUAUUGGACAGAAAUAAGAUUGACUUAGGUGUCAAGAAGCGAAUUGGCCAGUUCAACUUUUUUCUAAGCUCUCUCAAAAUGCACCACGAUCUGUAUAUAGAUUUCUCAUGCAUAGUCAUGCGGUAUGCAAUGAUAUUGGGUAUGAGUACGAGAAAGGUCCUGGGGGAUCAAUUGCUCGCCAACUAUAGAAAAACCCCUCUCCCUCUCCCUUUCUCAACUGCUUUUAGGUCCUUUGGACCCACUUUGCGAGCUACUAACAAAAGAAUAUUUCUGGUUCCAGACUGAUGAAAGCGAUGGAGGAUCCUUCUGAGUAUGAAUUGUCUUCUGAUGGCAGUGGACAUCAACCUCAACGCCAUUGCUACAUCAAUGUGCUCGAUUUAUGUUUAAAGUACCUCUGAACUUUGUGAUGACAUAUGGUUAAUUCAUGCCUUAUUUUAUAAUCUAUGAUAACUACGUCAGGUUUCUGGAGUCUUGGGUUUGUAUUAUCCCUCAUUUCUACCUCGUGAAACAUUUCUCUGCCCCCCCCCCCCCCCCCCCCCCCCCAACUGACUCGUUUAAAGAAUUGAUGUGGAUAUGAAUUUGAUUGUCUACUACUUUAAAGUAUAAUCUACUGUGGGAGGUGCUCUUGGUUUGGAGCAGAUUAGUGGCUAUUUCA